UAGCACAUACUUCAUGGUUUUGCUGUUUUAUAGAUUGAAACAGCAGAAACUGCUCCGGCUUCGUUACGUUGGGAUUGUAUAAAUUGUAUGUACAGUUAGUUGCCAGCGCUGCGUGUGUAAAAAAAAAUCCUUGCAUCUAUUGCAAGCAAAUUGUGCUGGCCAAACAGAACCGAAAAAGAAAUUGUCUCAAGGGAGAUCAACUCCUGAUGAAAUAUGAGUUGUGCAGCAACCAUGAUUUUGAGUCGCUUUUGGUGGUACCAAGGAAUGCUUGAUGAAACUAUGCAAUCAUGCAAAAGAAGAAAAGAAAAAGGCAAGCAGCAAAACAUGAGAAGUCUUAAACAUUGGCAGAUCUGUCUUUCCUAAAUUGCAUUUGAUGGACAUAUGUCUGAACAAAGGAAGCGCGAUGCGAGUAUUAUAGAACUGUAGAACACAGCUCUUAACCAACAUUUUGAUAGCAAAAAACAACUUUUUUUCUGCACAAGUAGAGAAGUAGAGAUACUAUAGCAUUGUGUAUGUAUACCACCGUUCUCGGGCACCUCUUCCCACGAGUUAGCAGAAGAACGGGGGCACCUACCAUCAGCAAUUAUCAUUUAACACACCAGGAGCUCAAAAAACUUGCACCUGAUAUCGUUUCUAGGCAGAAACAUGAGUUGCCUGGUUGUCGCCCUGCUUCACGGCUGGGUUCCAUAUGAUUUGCUUCUUCUUUUUUGUCUUCUCUACAUAACCCCUAUCAUCAUAUUUUAUUUCAUCCAUAGUGCUAUAUUCAUGGCUCACGCUCAUGUAUUACGUGAAAAUUGAAAAAAGUUUGAAAUUACUAAAGUAUGAAACAAUUGCUUGGCUUGUCAUCGGGGUUGUACAUGAUAAAAGCAUUCUUGUGUGACGAAAAUAGAGCAUGACCAAACUAUAUGACUUUGUAGGGAUGAAUUUUCUUUUGCCAUGUUAUUUUGAAAAGACAUGAUUGCUUAGUUAGUAUGCUUGAAGUAUUAUUAUUUUUAUGUCAAUAUUAAAAUUUUGUCUUCGAAUCUGAACAUUCAUGCCACAAUAAAGAUAAUUACAUUGAGAAUUAUGCUAGGUAGCAUUUCACAUCAAAAAUUCUGUUUUUUUAUCAUUUACCUACUCGAGGACGAGCAGGAGUUAAGUUUGGGGAUGCUUGAUACGUCUCCAACGUAUCUAUAAUUUUUGAUUGUUUAAUGCUAUUAUAUUAUCUGUUUUGGAUGUUAAUGGGCUUAUUUAUACACUUUUAUAUUAUUUUUGGGACUAACCUACUAACCCAAGGCCCAGUGCAAAUUGCUGUUUUUUUUGCCUAUUCAGUGUUUCGCAGAAAAAAAUAUCAAACGGAAUCCAAACGGAAUGAAACCUUCGGGAGAGUUAUUUUUGGAACAAACUUGAUCUAGAGGACUUGGAGUGGACGUCAAGAAAUCAACGAGGAGGCCACGAGGCAGGGAAGCGCGCCUUGAAGGAAAUAUGCCCUAGAGGCAAUAAUAAAGUUGUUAUUUAUAUUUCCUUAUAUCAUGAUAAAUGUUUAUUAUUCAUGCUAGAAUUGUAUUAACCGGAAACUUAGUACAUGUGUGAAUAUAUAGACAAACAGAGUGUCACUAGUAUGCCUCUACUUGACUAGCUCGUUGAAUCAAAGAUGGUUAAGUUUCCUAGCCAUAGACAUGAGUUGUCAUUUGAUUAACGGGAUCACAUCAUUGCAGAAUGAUGUGAUUGACUUGACCCAUCCAUUAGCUUAGCACGAUGAUCGUUUAGUUUGUUGCUAUUGCUUUCUCCAUAACUUAUACAUGUUUCUAUGACUAUGAGAUCAUGCAACUCCCAAUGCCGGAGGAACACUUUGUGUGCCAUCAAACGUCACAACGUAACUGGGUGAUUAUAAAGGUGCUCUACAGGUGUCUCCGAUGGUGUUUUUUGAGCUGGCAUAUGUAACACCCUCGAUGCGACUAUAUCUCCCACGUGUCGAGGAACGACUUAGAGGCAUAAUCGCAUUGAAGGCAUAUGUCGCAAGUUAGGCAAUCUUCACAACAUCCCAUGUAAUAUAGAUAAUAAAAGGGGAGAUAACAUAGUUGGCUUACACUCGCCACGUCAAUCAAGGUACAUAAUUAACAUUACAUCAUCCAAACACUCAUGGCCCGACUACGGCGCCAAAAUAAAAGAUAACCCAACAUGCGACACGGUCCCGAUCACCCCCAACUGGGCACCACUACUGAUCAUCAGGAAAGGAAACAUAGUAUCGGAGAGUCCUCAUCGAACUCCCACUUGAGCUCGAGCGCGUCACCUGGAGCAGAAUCAUCAGGCCAUGCAUCUGGUGUAAUAGUAAUCUAUGAGCCACAGGGACUCAGCAAUCUCGCACCCUCGCGAUUAAGACUAUUUAAGCUUAAUAGGUAUGGCAAGGUAAAUAUGUGUGGAGCUGUAGCAAGCGACUAGCAAAUAUGGUGGCUAUCCUGUUCGCAAAAGAGAGCAAGAAGAGGAGGCAAAGCGCGAGCGAGAAACUAGAGAGCAACCUGCGCAAGCAUUACUCCAACACCGUGUCCACUUCCCGGACUCCGCCGAGAAGAGGCCAUCACGGUAACACACUCAGUUGAUUCAUUUUAAUUAAGUUAAGGUUCAAGUUAUCUACAACCGGACAUUAACAAAUUCCCAUCUGCCCAUAACCGCGGGCAUGGCUUUCGAAAGUUCAAAUCCCUGCAAGGGAGUCCCAACUUAGCCCAGGACAAGCUCUCACGGUCAACGAAGGAAUAGACCUCUUCCCGAGACGUUCCGAUCAGACUCGGUACCUCGGUUCUUCAAGACACUUCGACAGGUUAAAACAAGACCAGCAACACCACCCAGAUGUGCCGACAAAUCCCGAUAGGAGCUGCACAUAUCUCGUUCUCAGGGCACACCGGAUGAGCAAGCCGUCGGGUAGGCCAGCCCAGAGUUGCCCCUGNNNNNNNNNNNNNNNNNNNNNNNNNNNNNNNNNNNNNNNNNNNNNNNNNNNNNNNNNNNNNNNNNNNNNNNNNNNNNNNNNNNNNNNNNNNNNNNNNNNNNNNNNNNNNNNNNNNNNNNNNNNNNNNNNNNNNNNNNNNNNNNNNNNNNNNNNNNNNNNNNNNNNNNNNNNNNNNNNNNNNNNNNNNNNNNNNNNNNNNNNNNNNNNNNNNNNNNNNNNNNNNNNNNAGAAGAUGACCCUUGGGCUCCGGAAACCCAAGGGAAAAGAGGCUAGGUGGCAAAUGGUAAAACCAAGGUUGGGCAUUGCUGGAAAAACUUUAAUAAAGGCGAACUAUCAAGGGGUUCCCAUUAUAACCCAACCGCGUAAGGAACGCAAAAUCCGGGAACAUAACACCGAUAUGACGGAAACUAGGGCGGCAAGAGUGGAACAAAACACUAGGUGAGAGGCCGAGCCUUCCACCCUUUACCAAGUAUAUAGAUGCAUUAAGAUAACAUGGCAAUAUAAUGAUAUCCCAACAAGUAAAUAAAUGUUCCAACAAGGAACGGCCUCCAAUCUUCACCUGCAACUAGCAACGCUAUAAGAGGGGCUGAGCAAAGUGGUAACAUAGCCAAUCAACGGUUUGCUAGGACAUGGUGAGUUAGAGGUUUGACAUGGCAAUUUGGGAGGCUUGAAAGCAAGUGGUAGGCAUCGUAGCAUUGGCAUAGCAAAAGAGCGAGCAAUCUAGCAUAGCAAAGAUAGUAGUGAUUUUGAGGGUAUGAUCAUCUUGCCUACAAAGUUGUCAGAGUUGACUGGAUCCUCGAAAGCAAACUCAACGGACUCCUCGUUAGCGAACUCGUCUCCCGGCUCUACCCAAACAAGACAAACAAGCAACAAGGACACAAUCAACCACGUGCAAGGAUCAAACAAUAUGAUGCAAGGAUGGUAUGCUAUGCGGGAUGCAUAUGCAAGAUUUGACAAGGGAUGCAUGAACCUGGCCUCAACUUGGAAAACCAAGUGUGCCACUGGGAAGAUGAGAUGAAAUCGCUUGAAAACGAUAUAAAGAACGCCGGAAUCGGAGCUACGGUUUGGAAAUGGCAAGCGAUUCGAAUAUGACACCGGUCUGCAAUUUACAGCAAGUAGCCAUCUAAAUGCAACAAGAUGAACAUGCUACAGCACCCAAACAUGACAACAAAAUACAUAGCAGGGAUGCAUUCAAGAUGCUUAACAAAAGUCUAGCACUGAGCUACGACCAAUUCAUCUAUUAACAGGUUCAAACAAACAUGUCAAAAAUGCAUAUGGUAAACAGAUCUCAGACUUAGUGAAAUUAACACUUGUCUGGAAUUUCAGAUCAGGUAGCACUCUUUGGAGCAACAAAACUACAUGCUACAUGACCUGAACAUGGCAAAGUAAAGCAUGGCAUGGUGCUACUCAAAGAUCUUAACAAAAGUUCCUUAGUGACCUUGAGCCAAAAGGGAUCUGAAAAUAUAAUUGCAAGCAUGUGAACAUGGCAAAAACAUAAUCAGAUCACAGACUUAGAGAAAAACUGGAGCAUGCAAAACAGAUAUCAAGUAGGCAUGUUUACAAGCUCGAUGCACUCACUACAGAGCAAGUCAUGAUAAUCUAAGCUUACAACCAUCAAGAAUACACAAAAUGCAAUCUAGACAUGGCAAGAACAAUCGCAUAGCAUGCACAGAUCAACUACAACAUCCUCGGCAAAAUCGCUAACAAGUAGACAAUCUGCCCAGAUUCACGAAGUAGCAAAAGUAGAGCUCGAUUGACUCAAGCUAGGGUGCUCCAUAAUUGCAAACAAAGACAUGGAUGGAUAAAGCACUACAAGAUUAACAAAACAUCCUUACUGAUCAUCCUCAAAAGAGGCACGGAUCACUAGGAAACAACAUGAACAUAUGCCAACAUGAGAUAAACAGAUCAAGGACUUGGUGGAAAUGCUAAGUCCCUAAAAUCAGCAUUACCAAGUGCCUCACUUUGCAAGCUUGUGCUAGUCACCACACACAUCACAAAAAUACAUGGGUUGCACCUCUGGAAAGAUGGCAAAACCCUUAACAAAACAUAUGUAGAGCUCAUGGGCAUAUCUUGCACACAAUAAUCGUGGCAAAAAUGACAAAUAUCUAAAUGGAGCAGCAGAUCUGACAAUUAUCUCAAGUAGCCCGCUUCUAACAACAUUUCGGGCAUCAAGAUGAACUCAAAUGAAAAUGAGACGAUGGAAAUAAAUGAUGUGCUCUCUGAGACGAACAUUUUGAUAUGCUAUAUGCCCAAAACGGAGCUAGGGAUGCAAAGUUACGAUGCGAUGAAUAUGCCAAAAAUAUUAGGGUUUCGGGGCAAAAGUCAACCCGAGGCAAUCUCAGAUCCAGAUCUAGAUCGGCACGCUUUAUGAGGUUCGCCGGAAAUGGAGUUGGCCGCCGGAGACGGAGAGGAAGCCGGGGCGGAGGGCAGCCGGAGCUCAUCGGUGGUGGCCAGCGCCGGUGCGGCGAGGCGGCNNNNNNNNNNNNNNNNNNNNNNNNNNNNNNNNNNNNNNNNNNNNNNNNNNNNNNNNNNNNNNNNNNNNNNNNNNNNNNNNNNNNNNNNNNNNNNNNNNNNNNNNNNNNNNNNNNNNNNNNNNNNNNNNNNNNNNNNNNNNNNNNNNNNNNNNNNNNNNNNNNNNNNNNNNNNNNNNNNNNNNNNNNNNNNNNNNNNNNNNNNNNNNNNNNNNNNNNNNNNNNNNNNNNNNNNNNNNNNNNNNNNNNNNNNNNNNNNNNNNNNNNNNNNNNNNNNNNNNNNNNNNNNNNNNNNNNNNNNNNNNNNNNNNNNNNNNNNNNNNNNNNNNNNNNNNNNNNNNNNNNNNNNNNNNNNNNNNNNNNNNNNNNNNNNNNNNNNNNNNNNNNNNNNNNNNNNNNNNNNNNNNNNNNNNNNNNNNNNNNNNNNNNNNNNNNNNNNNNNNNNNNNNNGGGCCUCGGGGGCCCCUCCUGGGCCUCCCGGGCCGGCGGCGAUGGCGAAGUGGGGCGGGGGCGCGGCGAAUGGCAGCGCGCCACGUGGCGGCGGCGGGGCGGACCGGACACGUCCGCCGGCAGUGGUUUUGUCCGGCGGCGGCGGGUGGAGAUGGAUCUAGGGUUUUCGGGAGGAAGGAGAAGGAGAUUUUUGGGGUGUCUUUAAAUAGGCAUAGAGGGAGCUAGGAUAGUCCAAAUGAGGUGCGGUUUUCGGCCACGCGAUCUUGAUCGAACGCUCUAGAUGAUGGAGAGGGUCAUGGUAGGUUUUGGUCCAACUUGAAGGGGUGUUGGGCUGCAACACACACGAGGCCUUUUCAGUCCCUCGGUUAACCGUUAGAGUAUCAAACGAAGUCCAAAUGAUACGAAACUUGACAAGCAGUCUACCGGUAGUGAACCAAGGCUGCUUGGCAAGUCUCGGUCCAAUCCGGAAAUGUUUAAACCCCACACACAAAAGAAAGCUAGAAAUGACCACCAGAGGAGAACGAAGCGCCAGAAUGCAAAACGGACAAUGGGGAAAAUGCUCGAAUGCAUGAGAUGAACACGUAUACAAAUGCAAUGCACAUGAUGACAUGAUAUGAGAUGCAUGACAACAAUAACAACACACGGAGACAAAAACCCGAACCCGAGAAAAUAAAAUAACUUAACGCCGAAAACGGCAAGAGUUGGAAUACAAAUUGGGAAAGUCAUAUCCGGGGUGUUACAACACUCCACCACUACGAAAGGAUCUCAUCCCAAGAUCUAGGACUGAAAGAACACCGGGUACUCAGAACGGAGGUGAUCCUCGCGCUCCCAGGUAGCUUCACGGUCGAAAUGGUGUGACCACUUGACUUUGAGGAAUUUGAUUGACUUGUUGCGAGUCUUGCGUUCAGUCUCUUCAAGAAUAGCAACGGGGUGCUCACGAUAGGAGAGAUCUUUUUGGAGCUCAAUGUCCUCGAAGUUGACGGUGCGGUCAGGAGUCUUGAAGCACUUUCGAAGCUGAGAGACGUGGAACACAUCAUGAACAUUUGCAAAGUUUGAAGGAAGCUCGAGUUGAUAGGCGAGAUCGCCUCUCUUGCUGAUAAUCUUGAACGGUCCCACAUAUCUGGGGGCAAGCUUCCCUUUGAUACCGAAGCGACGAGUACCUUUCAUAGGAGAGACGCGGAGGUAAACAUGAUCUCCGAUCUCGAAAGCCAAAUCACGGUGCUUACUGUCAUAGUAGCUCUUUUGGAGGGAUUGGGCUGCUUUGAGGUUAUCUUGAAUGACUUUGCACAUCUCCUCUGCCUCUGUGAUUAAGUCAUUUCCCAAAAGUUGACGUUCACCGGUUUCAGACCAGUUGAGAGGGGUACGGCACUUCCUGCCAUAUAGAAUUUCAAAUGGGGCCUUGCCCGAACUUGCUUGAAAACUGUUGUUGUAGGAGAAUUUAGCAUAAGGAAGACAAUCCUCCCACUUCAUGCCGAAGGAAAUCACACAAGCCCUGAGCAUAUCUUCAAGAAUCUGGUUGACACGCUCGACUUGACCGCUAAUUUGAGGAUGGAAAGUUGUGCUGAAGCGGAUGUUGGUGCCCAUGGCCUUCUGAAAAGAAUCCCAAAACUUGGAGGUAAAGAUGCUGCCACGGUCUGAAGAGAUCACCUGUGGAAUACCGUGCAGAGAGAUAAUCCGAGAGGUAUAGAGCUCCGCCAAUUGAGCUGCAGUGAUCGACUCUUUGAUAGGCAGAAAGUGAGCCACUUUGGUGAGUUUGUCGAUGACAACGAAUAUAGCAUCAUUGCCACGUUUGGACUUUGGAAACCCAGUCACGAAGUCCAUUUCAAUGUGGUCAAACUUCCAUUCUGGAAUGGCAAGCGGUUGGAGGAGACCAGCUGGCCUUUGGUGUUCUGCCUUCACUCUUCUGCAGACAUCACAUUCAUUCACGAAUUGAGCAAUCUCGCGCUUCAUUCGAGUCCACCAAUAAGCCUGCUUGAGGUCCUGAUACAUCUUCGUACUCCCAGGGUGGAUGGAGAGGAGAGAAUUGUGAGCCUUGUUCAUGAUCACUUUACGGAGGUCACCUUUGGGUACAACAAUACGAUCCUCAAAGAAGAGAGUAUCCUUGUCAUCAAGGCGGUAGCACUUGUACUUGGGUUGACUCUUGGCAAUCCCAAUCUUCACCUUUUUCACCAUAGCAUCAAGAAGCUGGGCUUGGCGAAUAUGGUCUUCCAAGGUAGGAGAGACUUGAAGGUUGGAGAGGAAACCUUCAGGAACAACUUGCAGGUUAAGUUUGCGGAAAGCUUCACAAAGCUCGGGUUGAUAAGGCUUGAGAAUAAGACUGUUGCAAUAAGCCUUUCUGCUCAAUGUGUCAGCAAUCACAUUGGCCUUGCCUGGAGUAUACUCGAUACUCGGAUUAUACUCUUGAACCAUUUUGACCCAUCGAGUUUGCCUGAGGUUGAGAUUAGGCUGAGUGAAGAUGUACUUGAGAUUCUUGUGGUCAGUGAAGAUGUCCGCUUUUCUUCCCAAUAAGAGAUGUCUCCAAGUCAAAAGAGCAUGCACAACUACCGCCAACUCGAGAUCAUGAGUGGGGUAGUUCUUCUCAUUAGGCUUCAACUGGCGACAGGUAUAAGCAACAACUUUCUUCUCUUGCAUCAACACUGCGCCAAGACCUUGGAGAGAGGCAUCACAAAAGACCUCGUACGGCUUGGAUUCAUCAGGCGGAGUCAGAACUGGAGCAGUGAUCAAUUUCUCUUUCAAAGUGUUGAAAGCAAUGUCACACUCCGGAGACCAAACGUACUUGACGUGCUUCUGGAGAAGAUUUGAGAGAGGCUUCACGAUCUUAGAAAAGUUUUCAACGAAUCUUCGACAGUAGCUUGCGAGAACGAGGAAGCUGCGGAGUUGCUUCACGUUCUGAGGAGGUUCCCAAUUCACAAUUGCAGACACCUUCUCAGGAUUCACCGCAAUGCCCUUGGCAGAGAUGAUAUGACCAAGAAAAAGAACCUCAUCGAGCCAAAAUUCGCACUUGGAGAACUUGGCGUAGAACUGGUGUUCCCUCAACUUAUCAAGUACCAAACGCAAGUGCUUGGCAUGAUCUUCCUUGUUCUUCGAGAAAACCAGAAUGUUGUCGAGAUAGACCAAAACGAAGUCAUUGGUGUAGGCGUUGAAGAUGAAGUUCAUCAUGCGAGAGAACGUCGGAGGAGCGUUGACGAGGCCAAAAGACAUGACAGUGUAUUCGUAUGAACCAUAGCUUGUUCUGAAAGCCGUCUUGGGAAUAUCUUGCUCAUGGAUUCGAAUCUGAUGAUAACCCAUACGGAGAUCAAGCUUGGAGAAUACUUGGGCACCUUUGAGUUGUUCGAACAGCUCGUUGAUGUUGGGAAGUGGGUAUUUGUUCUUGAUGGUCUUCUUGUUCAAUGGACGGUAAUCAACACAAAGUCGGUCCAUUCCAUCCUUCUUCUUCACAAAAAGAACACCACAACCCCACGGAGAAGAACUAGGCCGGAUGAGACCCAUUCUUUCUUGAAUAUCGAGUUGCUUCUUCAGCUCCUUCAACUCUUCAGGUCCGAGCUUGUAAGGACGCUUGCACACUAGUUCCGUGCCAGGACCAAGAUCAAUAACGAAUUCAACUGGCCGGUGCAGAGGCAUUCCUGGAAGCUCUUCUGGAAAGACGUCUUGAUAUUCGCAAACGACUGGCAUUUGCGAGAUAGCAUCGAGUUCACCCUUCUCAUUGAGAGAAAACAGACGGAUAGUAUCAUCACGAGCGGCAAAGACAAUUACAUCCUCAGACGAAUGAGUCAAUUGAAUCUGCCUGGCUGCACAGUCAAGAUGUGCCUUGUGCUUAGAGAGCCAAUCCAUCCCGAUAAUAAGAUCAAUAUCCGAGUUGCCAAGAACCAUAGGAGAAGAAAGGAACUUGUAGUCACCCAAGGUGAUAGUAAUGUCCGGAGCCAUCAUUUUAGUGUUCAUGAACAAACCCGGAGAAGAAACCGCUAUCGGCUUAGGCAAAUCAAUAGUAUGCACAUAAUGCAUGGAUGCAAAAGGCUUCGAUAAAAAUGAUAAAGAUGCACCAGUGUCAAAAAGAACUCUUGCGGGAAUAUCAUUAACAGGAAGGUUACCCAUGAUGACAUCUGGUGAGUCCUCUGCCUGAGCUGCAUUCAGCAAGUUGACCUUGGCGGACUUGGGGUUAUGCUUGACCACAGCUGUACUUGCUGAUCUGACAGGAGGAGGAGGAGGAAGACGCCUUUAGUUGUAACACUUGUUGGCAUAGUGACCCUUCUGUUGGCACUUGUUGCACGUGACCUCUGAAAGCGGACGGUGGUACGGAGCACUCGAUCUUGGAGCUUGAGACGAAGUCUUGUUCUGAAAGCCAGGGUUGGGUGGGUGGGAAGAUCCACUGCCACCUUUGCUCUUCUGCUGAUACGGCUGACGGAACGGAGGAGGAGGAAGCCAAUACUUCUGCUGCUUGGCCACUUGAGUAGAGGAAGAAGGAGUAGCAUCUCUGACUCGCCUCUUGAAAGCAUCACACCUCAGUUGAGCGGCCUCUUGCUUCAGUGCCAUGUUGUAGAACUCAUCGUACCUCAAGGGCUCAAAGAGAACAAGAGCUAGCUGAAUUUCUUCUCUGAGACCACCCCUGACCUGGUAUAUCAUGCUCUUCUCAUCAGGCACGUCCUGCUUGGCAAAGCGGGCGAGCUUCUGAAACAACUUGUUGUAGUCAUAGACAGACAAAGAGCCUUGCUUCAGGUUGCGGAAUGCCUCACGCUUGCUUUCAAUCACGCUCUUAGGGAUAUGGUGAGCUCUGAAAUCUUGACGGAAUUCAUCCCAAGUAAUUACACGUCCACCUCUGGAAUCCUUGUACUGCUGGAACCAUUCUGCAGCUUGAUCUUUGAGUUGGAAGGAAGCAAACUUGACGAAGUCCUCAGGCCUGACGUUACUGCACUCGAAAUGCUUGCACAGAUCCACAAGCCAAUCAUCAGCAACGGUUGCCUCAACACAAUUGCUGAAAGUCUUUGGCCCGUUAGCAAGGAACUGGUUGAGUGUAGCAAAGUGAUUCUGAUUGUUUCCUUGGUUCCCUUGGUUGCCUUGAUUGCGCUCUUGAAGAAUUUGCAUGAUCAACUGUGUGUUUGCAUUGGUUGCGGCCAUCACAGCUUGCCAUGCCUUCGGAGGAGGUGGAGGUGGUGGCGGAUCAGGAUUCGGAGUCGUGCGCGUUGGAGGAGCCAUCCUGAAGAGGUUGACAUCCAUUAGCACAUUGAUAGAUAAAUAUUGAAGCUGAAUCCAACGGAAUGAAAAUUUCAACAUAUAGUCUUCACAUCCGAACAAAAUGAACGAAUGCAUUCCUCUUGAAAUGGUCACAUAUCCAUAAAUUGAGAAGCCACGUAGAAUUUAGGUAGAGAAAUAAAUCAACAAGGUACGGAUCAAGAACGAAUAAUCGGUAAGAAAUCCCAAUCUCAAACCAACUAUCCGUGGAAGAAGAACUAGAGCUACUAAAAUUCCCACCUAUGAAACUCCCGAACCUUUCCGGUUAUGCAAUCAGGUGUUGGGGAUACAGGGGAAGCAUAAUAUCUCACCCAAAUCUAGCAAAUCCUACAUCCAGCUGUAUCCAUCCUUCAACACAUAACCGAGAAAAACUUCGGAAACCAUCUACCUCAACCUUCGAAAAGCAUCCGUUAUACAAGUUAUGGCGAUACUCCCGAACUCCCUCCCCAGUACUGGGUGGCGUCGACGUUAUCUCACCAAAGAACUGCAUAAAAGAGAUUUUCAAUGUCGGCGUACUAAACUCAGGUAUUCCAGAACUGCAACGAUAAAAUUAUGAUGACAACACCUCAGAGCUCAACUCCCCGGGACACUUCCACAAAACCCCUGACAGGAGGCACCAAGACAAUGUUCUCAUCAUAAAACCAUCGGAACGAUUCCAAGAUACCCGCGUGAUCCUAAAUUUUUUUAGUGAAAUUUGAGAAGAGAAGAGUCAAAACUCUACGUCAGGAUGCCUUACCAGAGCGAUGAGGAGACUGGGAAGUAAAAAGAAUUCCUAAACUCUCUGAUAUAUAAUUCCUAAAUGACUCAAAAACAUUUUUCUAGACACAACUCGGCUGCUAAAAACGAUCAAGCAAUGGGGCUCCUAAGGUCGGGGAAGGCUCUGAUUACCAACUUGUAACACCCUCGAUGCGACUAUAUCUCCCACGUGUCGAGGCACGACUUAGAGGCAUAAUCGCAUUGAAGGCAUAUGUCGCAAGUUAGGCAAUCUUCACAACAUCCCAUGUAAUAUAGAUAAUAAAAGGGGAGAUAACAUAGUUGGCUUACACUCGCCACGUCAAUCAAGGUACAUAAUUAACAUUAGAUCAUCCAAACACUCAUGGCCCGACUACGGCGCCAAAAUAAAAGAUAACCCAACAUGCGACACAGUCCCGAUCACCCCCAACUGGGCACCACUACUGCUCAUCAGGAAAGGCAACAUAGUAUCGUUGAGAGUCCUCGUCGAACUCCCACUUGAGCUCGAGCGCGUCACCUGGAGCGGAAUCAUCAGGCCAUGCAUCUGGUGUAAUAGUAAUCUGUGAGCCACAGGGACUCAGCAAUCUCGCACCCUCGCGAUCAAGACUAUUUAAGCUUAAUAGGUAUGGCAAGGUAAAUAUGUGUGGAGCUGCAGCAAGCGACGAGCAAAUAUGGUGGCUAUCCUGUUCGCAAAAGAGAGCGAGAAGAGGAGGCAAAGCGCGAGCGAGAAACUAGAGAGCAACCUGCGCAAGCAUUACUCCAACACCGUGUCCACUUCCCGGACUCCGCCGAGAAGAGGCCAUCACGGUAACACACUCAGUUGAUUCAUUUUAAUUAAGUUAAGGUUCAAGUUAUCUACAACCGGACAUUAACAAAUUCCCAUCUGCCCAUAACCGCGGGCACGGCUUUCGAAAGUUCAAAUCCCUGCAAGGGAGUCCCAACUUAGCCCAUGACAAGCUCUCACGGUCAACAAAGGAAUAGACCUCCUCCUGAGACGUUCCGAUCAGACUCGGUACCUUGGUUCUUCAAGACACUUCGAUAGGUUAAAAUAAGACCAGCAACACCACCCAGAUGUGCCGACAAAUCCCGAUAGGAGCUGCACAUAUCUCGUUCUUAGGGUACACCGGAUGAGCAAGCCGUCGGGUAGGCCAGCCCAGAGUUGCCCCUGGUAGCCCCGGACAUCCCUCGGUUGGACCAACACUCAAGAGGAGCACUGGCCCCCGGGGGGGGGGGGGUUAAAAUAAGAUGACCCUCGGGCUCCGGAAACCCAAGGGAAAAGAGGCUAGGUGGCAAAUGGUAAAACCAAGGUUGGGCAUUGCUGGAAAAGAUUUAAUCAAGGCGAACUAUCAAGGGGUUCCCAUUAUAACCCAACCGCGUAAGGAACGCAAAAUCCGUGAACAUAACACCGAUAUGACGGAAACUAGGGCGGCAAGAGUGGAACAAAACACUAGGUGAGAGGCCGAGCCUUCCACCCUUUACCAAGUAUAUAGAUGCAUUAAGAUAACAUGGCAAUAUAAUGAUAUCCCAACAAGUAAAUAAACGUUCCAACAAGGAACGACCUCCAAUCUUCACCUGCAACUAGCAACACUAUAAGAGGGGCUGAGCAAAGCGGUAACAUAGCCAAUCAAUGGUUUGCUAGGACAUGGUGGGUUAGAGGUUUGACAUGGCAAUUUGGGAGGCUUGAAAGCAAGUGGUAGGCAUCGUAGCAUUGGCAUAGCAAAAGAGCGAGCAAUCUAGCAUAGCAAAGAUAGUAGUGAUUUCGAGGGUAUGAUCAUCUUGCCUACAAGGUUGUCAGAGUUGACUGGAUCCUCGAAAGCAAACUCAAUGGGCUCCUUGUUAGCGAACUCGUCUCCCGGCUCUACCAAACAAGACAAACAAGCAACAAGGGCACAAUCAACCACGUGCAAGGAUCAAACAAUAUGAUGCAAGGAUGGUAUGCUAUGCAGGAUGCGAUGCGGGAUGCAUAUGCAAGAUUUGACAAGGGAUGCAUGAACCUGGCCUCAACUUGGAAAACCAAGUGUGCCACUGGAAAUAUGAGAUGAAAUCGCUUGAAAACGAUAUAAAGAACGCCGGAAUCGGAGCUACGGUUUGGAAAUGGCAAGCGAUUCGAAUAUGACACCGGUCUGCGAUUUACAGCAAGUAGCCAUCUAAAUGCAACAAGAUGAACAUGCUACAACACCCAAACAUGACAACAAAAUACAUGGCAGGGAUGCAUUCAAGAUGCUUAACAAAAGUCUAGCACUGAGCUACGGCCAAUUCAUCCAUUAACAGGUUCAAACAAGCAUGUCAAAAAUGCAUAUGGUAAACAGAUCUCAGACUUAAUGAAAUUAACACUUGUCUGGAAUUUCAGAUCAGGUAGCACUCUUUGGAGCAACAAAACUACAUGCUACAUGACCUGAACAUGGCAAAGUAAAGCAUGGCAUGGAGCUACUAAAAGAGCUUAACAAAAGUCCCUUAGUGACCUUGAGCCAAAAGGGAUCAGAAAAUACAAUUGCAAGCAUGUGAACAUGGCAAAAACAUAAUCAGAUCACAGACUUAGAGAAAAACUGGAGCAUGCAAAACAGAUAUCAAGUAGGCAUGUUUACAAUCUCGAUGCACUCACUACAGAGCAAGUCAUGAUAAUCUAAGCUUACACCCAUCAAGAAUACACAAAAUGCAAUCUAGAAAUGGCAAGAACAAUCGCAUAGCAUGCACGGAUCAACUACAACAUCCUCGGCAAAAUCGCUAAGUAGACAAUCUGCCCAGAUUCACGAAGUAGCAAAAGUAGAGCUCGAUUGACGCAAGCUAGGGUGCUCCAUAAUUGCAAACAAAGACAUGGAUGGAUAGAGCACUACAAGAUUAACAAAACAUCCUUACUGAUCAUCCUCAAAAGAGGCACGGAUCACUAGGAAACAACAUGAACAUAUGGCAACAUGAGAUAAACAGAUCAAGGACUUAGUGGAAAUGCUAAGUCCCUGAAAUCAGCAUUACCAAGUGCCUCACUUUGCAAGCUUGUGCUAGUCACCACACACAUCACAAAAAUACAUGGGUUGCACCUAUGGAAAGAUGGCAAAACCCUUAACAAAACAUAUGUAGAGCUCAUGGGCAUAUCAUGCACACAAUAAUCAUGGCAAAAAUGACAAAUAUCUAAAUGGAGCAGCAGAUCUGACAAUUAUCUCAAGUAGCCCUCUUCUAACAGCAUUUCGGGCAUCAAUAUGAACUCAAAUGAAAAUGAUGCAGUGGAAUGAAAUGAUGUGCUCUCUGAGACGAACAUUUUGAUAUGCUAUAUGCCCAAAACGGAGCUACGGAUGCAAAGUUACGAUGCGAUGAACAUGACAAAAAUAUUAGGGUUUCGGGGCAAAAGUCAACCCGAGGCAAUUUCAGAUCCAGAUCCAGAUCGGCACGCUUUACGAGGUUCGCCAAAAAUGGAGUUGGCCGCUGGAGACGGAGAGGAAGCCGGGGCGGAGGGCGGCCGGAGCUCGGCGGUGGUGGCCAGCGCCUGCGCGGCAAGGCGGCGUGGGCGCGGCGGCUGAGGCGGCGUGCACCGGCAGCCAGGGCGGCGCACGCUGGUGAGGGCGACGGGCGACGGAGGAAGUCCGGUGGGCGGCCGGCAGCGGGGACGAUGGCCCCGGGUGGNNNNNNNNNNNNNNNNNNNNNNNNNNNNNNNNNNNNNNNNNNNNNNNNNNNNNNNNNNNNNNNNNNNNNNNNNNNNNNNNNNNNNNNNNNNNNNNNNNNNNNNNNNNNNNNNNNNNNNNNNNNNNNNNNNNNNNNNNNNNNNNNNNNNNNNNNNNNNNNNNNNNNNNNNNNNNNNNNNNNNNNNNNNNNNNNNNNNNNNNNNNNNNNNNNNNNNNNNNNNNNNNNNNNNNNNNNNNNNNNNNNNNNNNNNNNNNNNNNNNNNNNNNNNNNNNNNNNNNNNNNNNNNNNNNNNNNNNNNNNNNNNNNNNNNNNNNNNNNNNNNNNNNNNNNNNNNNNGGCGGCGCGAGUCAACGGGCCUCGGGGGCCCCUCCUGGGCCUCCCGGGCCGGCGGCGAUGGCGAAGUGGGGAGUGGCGCGGCGAAUGGCAGUGCGCCAUGUGGCAGCCACGGGGCGGACCGGACAUGUCCGCCGGCGCUGGUUUUGUCCGGCGGCGGCGGGUGGAGAUGGAUCUAGGGUUUUCGGGAGGAAGGAGAAGAAGAUUUUUGGGGUGUCUUUAAAUAGGCAUAGAGGGAGCUAGGAUAGUCCAAAUGAGGUGCGGUUUUCGGCCACGCGAUCUUGAUCGAACGCUCUAGAUGAUGGAGAGGGUUAUGGUAGGUUUUGGUCCAACUUGGAGGGGUGUUGGGCUGCAACACACACGAGGCCUUUUCGGUCCCUUGGUUAACCGUUGGAGUAUCAAACGAAGUCCAAAUGGUAUGAAACUUGACAGGCGGUCUACCGGUAGUGAACCAAGGCCGCUUGGCACCUCGGUCCAAUCCGGAAAUGUUUAAAUCCCACACACAAAAGAAAGCUAGAAAUGACCACCGGAGGAGAACGAAGCGCCGGAAUGCAAAACGGACAACGGGGAAAAUGCUCGAAUGCAUGAGAUGAACACGUAUACAAAUGCAAUGCACAUGAUGACAUGAUAUGAGAUGCAUGACAAUGAUAACAACACACGGAGACAAAAACCCGAACCCGAGAAAAUAAAAUAACUUAACGCCGGAAACGGCAAGAGUUGGAAUACAAAUUGGGAAAGUCAUAUCCGGGGUGUUACAGCUUAGAUCAAGAUUAGGAUUUGUCACUCCGAUUGUCGGAGAGGUAUCUCUGUGCCCUCUUGGUAAUGCACAUCACUAUAAGCCUUGCAAGCAAUGUAACUAAUGAGUUAGUUACGAUAUGUUGCAUUACAGAACGAGUAAAGAGACUUGCCGGUAACGAGAUUAAACUAGGUAUUGAGAUACCGACGAUCAAAUCUCGGGCACGUAACAUACCAAUGACAAAGGGAACAACGUAUGUUGUUAUGUGGUUUGAUCGAUAAAGAACUUCAUAGAAUAUGUAGGAACCAAUAUGAGCAUCCAGGUUCUGCUAUUGUUUAUUGACCGGAGAUGAGUCUCGGUCAUGUCUACAUAGUUCUCGAACCCGUAGGGUCCGCACGCUUAACGUUCGGUGACGAUCGGUAUUAUGAGUUUAUGUGUUUUGUUAUACCGAAGGUUGUUCGGAGUCCUGGAUGAGAUGAGGGACAUGACGAGGAGUCUCGAAAUGUUCAAGACAUAGAGAUCUAUAUGUUGGAAGGCUAUAUUCGGACAUCGGAAAGAUUCCGAGUGGUUCGGGUAUCUAUCGGAGUACCGGAGAGUUGCGGGAAUUUGCCGGGGAGUAUAUGGGCCUUAUUGGGCUUUAGGGGAAAGAGAGAGGGGCUGCCUAGGGCAGGCUACGCGCCCCCAAGGCCUAGUCCGAAUUAGACUAGGGGGAGGGGCGGCGGCCCCUCCUUCGUUCUCUUCUCUUUUCCCUUUCCUUCUCUCCUACUCCUACUACAUGGAAGGGGGGGAUCCUGCUCCCGGUGGGAGUAGGACUCCCCACGGAGCGUCAUAGUAGAGGGCCGGCCCUCCCCCUCCUCCACUCCAUUAUAUACGAGGGAGGGGGUCACCCCAUGGACACACAAGUUGAUCAUUGAUCUCUUAGCCGUGUGCGGUGCCCCUCCACCAUAAUCCACCUUGGUCAUAUCGUAGCGGUGCUUAGGCGAAUCCCAGUUCCGGUAGCAUCAUCAUCACCGUCAUCACGCCGUCGUGUUGACGAAAUUCUCCCUCGACACUUUGCUGGAUCGUGAUUUCGUGGGACGUCACUGAGCCGAACAUAUGCAGAUCGCGGAGGUGCCGUACCUUCGGUGCUAGAUCGGUCGAUCGUGAAGACGUACGACUACAUCAACCGUGUUUUCAUAACGCUUCUGCUUACGGUCUACGAGGGUACGUAGACGAUACUCUCCCCUCUCGUUGCUAUGCAUUGAUAACCCACAAGUAUAGGGGAUCAAUUGUAGCCUCUUUCGAUAAGUAAGAGUGUCGAACCCAACGAGGAGCUAAAGGUAGAACAAAUAUUCCCUCAAGUUCUAUCGACCACCGAUACAACUCUACGCACGCUUAACGUUCGCUUUACCUAGAACAAGUAUGAAACUAGAAGUACUUUGUAGGUGUUUUUGGAUAGGUUUGCAAGAUAAUAAAGAGCGCAUAAAUAAAAAAUAGGGGCUGUUUAGAUAAAGAAACAAUAAAGUUAGUAUAGUGAGUUUGGAAAAGUGGUGGUAGGAGUUGUGAUUGUCCCUAAGCAAUUGACUACUUUACUAGACCGAUAGCAAGUUUUAUGUGGGAGAGGCCACUGCUAGCAUGUCAUCCCUGACUUGGAAUUCUAUACACUUAUGAUUGGAACUAUUAGCAAGCAUCCGCAACUACUAACGUUCAUUAAGGUAAAACCCAACCAUAGCAUUAAGAUAUAUUGGCCCCCCUUCAAUCCCGUAUGCAUCAAUUUCUAUGAUAGGCUGAAGUUUCUGUCACUCUUGCCCUCCAAUACAUAGUCCUAUCAACAUACAACUAACCCUAUGGUGUGAUCCACGCGCGCGCUCAUAUGAUGGGCACCAAAGGACAACAACAUAACCACAAGAAAAUUAAGUCAAUCAUAGCAAUUCAUCAACCACCGAUAGGACAACGAAAAUCUACCCAGACAUCAUAGGAUGGCAACACAUCAUUGGAUAAUAAUAUGAAGCAUAAAGCACCAUGUUCAAGCAGAGGGUACAACGGGUUGUGGGAAAGUGGACCGCUGUAGAUAGAGGGGGGCAGGUGAUGGAGAUGUUGGUGAAGAUGGCGGAGGUAUUGGUGUAGAUUGCGGUGAUGAUGAUGGCCCCCGGUGGCGUUCCGGCGCCACCGGAAGCGAGGGGGAGAGAGCACCCCUCCUUCUUCUUCUUCCUUGACCUUCUACCUAGAUGGGAGAAGGGUUUCCCCUUAGGUCCAUGGCCUCCAUGGCAUGGGAGGGGCGAGAGCCCCUCCGAGAUUGGAUCUGUCUCUCUGUCUCUCCCUUUUUCUGCGUUCUCAGAUUCCGCCCUUUCACCAUUUCUUAUAUUCCUGGAGAUCCGUAACUCCGAUUGGGCUGAAAUUUUAACACGAUCUCUAUCCGUAUAUUAGGUUUCUUGCGGAGAAAUAAGGGCAUCCGAAUAUCGCAAAACUAUUGCGAGGAAUCAAACAUAUCAUAUUCAGUGAUCUACAAGUUUUAUGUAGGAUUUUAUGACUAACCAUGUGAAUGACCAAUUCCUGUCAUCUCUCUAAAUAGAUAUAAGUGAAUCAAGAGAGUUUAAUUCUUUCUACAAGAGAUAUGCCCACGCUCUAACAAAUAUAAGUGAAUCAAAAGAGCAUUCUACAAAUGGCGGUUUUCCAUGUGAAGAGAGAUAGGCAAUCCAAACUUCAAAUGAUAUAAGCGAAGCACAUGAAGCAUUCUAUAAAGCCAUACUCAAAAGAUAUAAGUGGAGUGCAAAGAGCAUUCUAUAAAUCAACCAAGGACUAUCUCAUACCAUCAUGGUGCAUAAAAGAAAAAUGAAAACUAAAUGCAAAAGACGCUCCAAGAUUGCACAUAUCGCAUGAACAAAACGAAUCCGAAAACAUAUCGAUACUUGUUGAAGAAAGAUGGGAUGCCUUCCGGGGCAUCCCCAAGCUUAGACGCUUGAGUCUCCUUGAAUAUUUACUUGGGGUGCCUCGGGCGUCCCCAAGCUUGAUCUCUUGCCUCUCUUCCUUCUUCUCACAUCGAGACCUCCUCGAUCUUCGAACACUUCAUCCACACAAAACUCAACAAAAAACUCGGUAAGAUCCGUUAGUAUAAUAAAGCAAAUCACUACUCUGAGUACUAUUGUAAACUAAUUCAUAUUUUGUUUUUGCAUUUUAGCUACUGUAAUAUAACUUUUCCAUGGCUUAAUCCACUGAUAUAAAUCGAUAGUUUCAUCAAAACAAGCAAACUAUGCAUCAAAAACGGAAUCUGUCUAAAACAGAACAGUCUGUAAUAAUCUGAACAUUCACCAUACCUCUGGUACUCCACAAAUUCUACAAAAAUUAGGAAAAAUAAACAAUUUGUAUAGAAAGACAGUGCAAAAAGUUUCAAAACCAUUUGACGUUCCAGUAAAAAAAUGUAAAAUCGCGCACUACAGCCGAAGUUUCUGUCCUGCACCGUACAAACCAACAAGUAAUCUAAAACAUCCUAAAGGCAAACCUUGGCACAUUAUUUUUAUUUUUAAACCUUAUAAAGUCACACAAUGUAAAUAAAUGACUCUCUAAAACUUCCGGGUUGUCUCCCUGGCAGUGCUUUCUUUAAAGCCAUUAAGCUAGGCAUAUAGUGCUCAAGUGAUGGAUCCACCCGGAUCCCAAGGUAUAUCAAAGCCAAUUUUAAUUAACAAUGAUUUGGCAUUUAGUAGUGAGCACAAAGUAACAUAUAUCAUGUAAUUACGAAGUUUAAAUCUCUUCCUAUGCAUCGGCAUGUCAUAAAAGAACAAUUCAUGCACACAUAGUAAAGGCCAAUGCAUAGUAUAAGCAGUUUCUUGCAAUUUUAUCAUGUUGGAAAUAUAAAGAGGUGGAGAUGUAGUUCCUAUCUCAGAAUAAUUGCAAGUAGGAGAAGCAAGCACAUGCAUAUUAUAUCUAUCAAAAUCAUCAUGUGUAAUAGUAAAACACAACCCAUCAAUAUAAUCCUUAAUAAGGGUAAACUUCUCCGAUAUAGUGUAGUUGGGAUAAUUCAAAAAGAUAUUAGGACUAUCAUGCGUGGGUGCAAUAGCAACAAUUUCAUGUUUAACAUAAGGAACUAUAGCAAGUUCAUCUCCAUAAGCAUAAUUCAUAUUGGCAUCUUGGCCACAAGCAUAGCAAGCAUCAUCAAAAAGGGAUAUUUCAAGAGAAUCAACGGGGUCAUAACAGUCAUCAUAGCAAUCAUCCUUCGGUAAGCACGAAGGGAAAUUAAACAAUGUAUGAGUUGAAGAGUUACUCUCAUUAGAAGGUGGGCACUGGUGAUCAAUCCGCUCUUCCUCCUUUUGUUCUUCGCUCUCCUCCUCAUCUUUUUCAUCCAAUGAGCUCACAAUGUCAUUAAUUUCUUCUUCCAUAGACUCCUGCAAAAUAUUAGUCUCUUCUUGGACAACAGAGGAGUCCUCAAUAUAUGGUUUAACAUAUGCAUUAGAAGCAUAAUUAUCAUAACAAUAUUUAAGUAUGGAAAAAAUUUCAGAUUUGUAAAGAGUAGCAUCAUACUUUUCAAUCAAAGAAGCAAUUUCAUAAGCACCCUUAAAAGCAACAAAUUCUUCAAUUUGUUGAACAUCAUAGUAAUUAUAAAAACCCUUAGCAUAUGAAGAUAUGAUUCCACUAUCACUAAACUCACAUUGGUAGGGAAGGUGUUUCUUAGGGUUUUCAGAACAACAAGUAACAUCACAUAUUUCACAAAAAUUCCAAGCAUAGCACUGCAAACGAUGAAUUUAAUCCAAUAAAACUUCCCCUUUUUGAGAUAAGCGGUGUUGCAUAUAACAAGCAUGCUCAUUUAAAGAUUUGCCCUCAACUAAGCUAGUUGGGGUUUCAGCACGAGCACAAAGGGAUCGAAGAUGAUCCAAGUAAAAAGCUUUAGGAGUGUGAUAGAUUUUGAAUGGUUCUUCAACCAUUGAUGUAGUAGGUACAACUAAUUUUUUUGGUAUUUUGUGUUUCCUACCCAUAACUAAAGGUAGAAAACAAGAGCACAAAAUAAAAACUACUUAGUGAUAAAGCAAACAAGCACACACGAGAAUAUUCACCCCACGCUAUUGCUCCCCGGCAACGGUGCCACAAAAAGGUCUUGAUAAUCCACAAGUAUAGGGGAUCAAUUGUAGCCUCUUUCUAUAAGUAAGAGUGUCGAACCCAACGAGGAGCUAAAGGUAGAACAAAUAUUCCCUAAAGUUCUAUCGACCACCGAUACAACUCUAUGCACGCUUAACGUUCGCUUUACCUAGAACAAGUAUGAAACUAGAAGUACUUUGUAGGUGUUUUUGGAUAGGUUUUCAAGAUAAUAAAGAGCGUGUAAAUAAAAAGUAGGGGCUGUUUAGAUAAAGAAACAAUAAAGUUAGUAUAGCGAGUGUGGAGAAGUGGUGGUAGGAGUUGUGAAAUUGUUCCUAAGCAAUUGACUACUUUACUAGACCGAUAGCAAGUUUUAUGUGGGAGAUGCCACUGCUAGCAUGUCAUACCUGACUUGGAAUUCUAUGCACUUAUGAUUGGAACUAUCAGCAAGCAUCCACAACUACUAACAUUCAUUAAGGUAAAACCCAACCAUAGCAUUAAGAUAUAUUGGUCCCCCUUCAAUCCCGUAUGUAUCAAUUUCUAUGCUAGGCUGAAGUUUCUGUCACUCUUGCCCUCCAAUACAUAGUCCUAUCAACAUACAACUAACCCUAUGGUGUGAUGCAAGCGCGCACUCAUAUGAUGGGCACCAAAGGACAACAACAUAACCACAAGCAAAUUAAAUCAAUCAUAGCAAUUCAUCAACCACCGAUAGGACAACGAAAAUCUACUCAGACAUCAUAGGAUGGCAACACAUCAUUGGAUAAUAAUAUGAAGCAUAAAGCACCAUGUUCAAGUAGAGGGUACAGCGGGUUGCGGGAGAGUGGACCGAUGUAGAUAGAGGGGGGAGGUGAUGGAGAUGUUGGUGAAGAUGGCGGAGGCGUUGGUGUACAUUGCGGUGAUGAUGAUGGCCCCCCGUGGCGUUCCGGCGCCACCGGAAGCGAGGGGGAGAGAGCACCCCUCCUUCUUCUUCUUCCUUGACCUUCUUCCUAGAUGGGAGAAGGAUUUCCCCUCUGGUACAUGGCCUCCAUGGAAUGGGUGGGGCGAGAGCCCCUCCGAGAUUGGAUCUGUCUCUCUGUCUCUCCCUUUUUCUGCGUUCUCAGAUUCCGCCCUUUCACCGUUUCUUAUAUUCCCGGAGGUCCGUAACUCCGAUUGGGCUGAAAUUUUAACACGAUCUCUAUCCAGAUAUUAGCCUUCUUGCGGCUAAAGAAGGGCAUCAACCGCCUUACGGGGUAGCCACGAGGGCCCAGGGCGCGCCUGACCCCCUGGGGCGUGCCCCCUGCCUCGUGGCCCCCUCGGGAAUCGUCUCAUGUUGAUUGUUCUUCCAAAAAAUCACAUAUAUUCCAAAAAAAAUCUCCGUUAGUUUUUAUCCCGUUUGGACUCCGUUUGAUAUGGAUUUACUGCGAAACAAAAAAACAUGCAACAAUCAGGAACUGGCACUUGGCACUGGAUCAAUAUGUUAGUCCCAGAAAAUAGUAUAAAUAGUUGCCAAAAGUAUAUGAAAGUUGUAUAAUAUUGGCAUGGAACAAUAAAAAUUAUAGAUACGAUGGAGACGUAUCAGGCAUCACCAUGAUCCUGCGUGUGUGUAGGAAAUUUUAAAAUUACUACGUUCCCCAAUAGUGGCAUCCGAGGCAGGUUUAUGCGUAGAUGUUAUAUGCACGAGUAGAACACAAAGUAGUUGUGGGCGUGGGUAUAUACAUAUUGCUUGCCGUCACUAGUUGAUUCUUGAUUCAGCGGCAUUGUUGGAUGAAGCCGCCCAGACCGACAUUACGCAUACGCUUACACGAGACUGGUUCUAUCGACGUGCUUCGCACACAGGUGGCUGGUGGGUGUCAGUUUCUCUAACUUUAGUUGAAUCAGAUUCAAUGAACAAGGUUCUUUCUGAAGAUCAAAAAGCAAUCAAUAUACCGCGUUAUGGUUUUUGAUGCGUAGGUAAGAACAGUUCUUGCUAAGCCCAUAGCAGCCACGUAAAACUUAAACAACAAAGUAGAGGACGUCUAACUUGUUUUUGCAGGGCAUGUUGUGAUGUGAUAUGGUUAAGACGUGAUGAGAUAUAAAUUGUUGUAUGAGAUGAUCAUCUUUUGUUAAAGUUAUCGGCAACUGGCAUGAGCCUUAUGGUUGUCUCUUUAUUGCAUAAGAUGCAAGUCCCAUGUAAUUGCUUUACUUUAUCGCUAUGCGAUAGCAAUAGUUGCAAAAGCAAUAGCUGGUGAGACGACCAUGUGACGACACGUUGAUAAAAGAUCAAGUCGAUGAAGAUCAUCGUGUCAUGCUGGUAACAAUGAAGAUCAUGACAGUACUUUGGAGAUGGAGAUCAAAAGCACAAGAUGAUGAUGGCCAUAUCAUGCCACAUAUUUUGAUUGCAUGUGAUGUUUAUCUUUUAUACAUCUUAUUUUGCUUAGUUCAGCGGUAGCAUUUAAAGAUGAUCUCUCACUAAAUUUCAAGGUAUAAGUGUUCUCCCUCAGUAUGCACCUUCGCGACAGUUCGUCGUGCCGAGACACCACGUGAUGAUCGGGUGUGAUAAGCUCUACGUUCACAUACAACGGGUGCAAGCCAGUUUUGCACACGCAGAAUACUCGGGUUAAACUUGACGAGCCUAGCAUAUGCAGAUAUAGCCUCAAAACACUGUAGACCGAAAGGUCGAGCGUGAAUCAUAUAGUAGAUAUGAUCAACAUAGUGAUGUUCACCAUUGAAAACUACUCCAUCUCACGUGAUGAUCGGACAUGGUUUAGUUGAUUUGGAUCACGUGAUCACUUAGAUGAUUAGAGGGAUGUCUAUCUAAGUGGGACUUCUUAAGUAAUAUGAUUAAUUGAACUUUAAUUUAUCAUGAACUUAGUCCUGAUAGUAUUUUCAUGUCUAUGUUGUAGAUCAAUAGCUUGCGAUGUAGCUCCACGUUUAUUUUUGAUAUGUUCCUAGAGAAAAAUAAGUUGAAAGAUAUUAGUAGCAAUGAUGCAGACUAGCUCCGUGAUCUGAGGGUUAUCCUCAUUGCUGCACAGAAGUAUUAUGUCCUUGAUGCACCGCUAGGUGACAGACCUAUUGCAGGAGCAGAUACAAACGUUAUGAACGUUUGACAAAGCUCGGUAUGAUGACUACUUGAUAGUUUAGUGCACCAUGCUUUACGGCUUAGAGCCGGGACGUCAAAAAUGUUUUGAACGCAACGGAGCAUAUAAGAUGUUCUAAGAGCUGAAAUUGGUAUUUCAGACUCAUGCCCGAGUCAAGAGGUAUGAGACCUCUGACAAGUACUUUGCCUACAAGAUAGAGGAGAAUAGCUCAACCAGUGAGCAUGUGCUCAGAUUGUCAGGGUACUACAAUCGCUUGAAUCAAGUGGGACUUAAUCUUCUAGAUAAGAUAGUGAUUGACAGAGUUCUCUAGUCACUAUCAACAAGUUACUGGAACUUCGUGAUGAACUAUAAUAUGCAAGGGAUGACGAAAACAAUUCCCUGAGCUCUUCAUGAUGCUGAAAUCGGCGAAGGUAGAAAUCUAAAAAAGCAUCAAGUGUUUAUGGUUGACAAGACCACUAGUUUGAAGUAAAAGGGCAAGGGAAAGAAAGGGAACUUCAAGAAUAAUGGCAAGCAAGUUGCCACUCCCAUGAAGAAGCCCAAAGCUAGACCCAAGCUUGAAACUGAGUGCUUCUAUUGCAAAGGAAAUAGUCACUAGAAGUGGAUCUGCCCUAGAUACUUGGCGGAUAAGAAGGAUGGCAAAGUGAACAAAGGUAUAUUUGAUAUACAUGUUAUUGAUGUGUACUUUACUAGUGUUUAUAGCAAACCCCUUGGUAUUUGAUACUGGUUCAGUUGCUAAGAGUAGUAACUCGAAACAGGAGUUGCAAAAUAAACAGAGACUAGUUAAGGGCGAGGUGACGAUGUGUGUUGGAAGUGAUUCCAAGGUUGAUAAGAUCACCAUCGCACACUCCCUUUACCUUCGGGAUUAGUGUUGAACCUAAAAUAAAUGUUAUUUGGUGUUUGCGUUGAGAAUAAUAUGAUUGGAUCAUGUUUAUUGCAAUAAAAUUAUUCAUUUAAGUCAAAGAAUAAUUGUUAUUCUGUUUAUAUGAAUAAAACCUUUUGUGGUCAUACACCCAAGGUGAAUGGUUUAUUGAAUCUCUAUCGUACUAAUACACAUAUUCAUAAUAUUGAAGCUAAAAGAUGCAAAGUUAAUAAUGAUAGUGCAACUUAUUUGUGGCACUGCCGUUUAGGUCAUAUUGGUGUAAAGCGCAUGAAGAAACUCCAUGCUGAUGGGCUUUUGGAAUCACUUGAUGCUUGCGAACCAUGCCUCAUGGGCAAGAUGACUAAGACUCCGUUCUUCGAAACAAUGGAGCGAGCAACUGACUUAUUGGAAAUAAUACAUACUGAUGUAUGCGGUCCAAUGUGUGUUGAGGCUUGUGGCGGGUAUCGUUAUUUUCUGACCUUCACAGAUGAUUUGAUAAGAUAUGAGUAUAUCUACUUGAUGAAACAUAAGUCUGAAACAUUUGAAAAGUUCAAAGAAUUUCAGAGUGAAGUGAAAAAUCAUCAUAACAAGAAAAUAAAGUUUCUAUGAUCUGAUCACGGAGACGAAUAUUUGAGUUACGAGUUUGGUCUUCAAUUAAAACAAUGUGGAAUAGUUUCACAAACUCAUGCCACCUGGAACACCACAACAUAAUGGUGUGUCUGAACGUCGUAAUCGCACUUUACUAGAUAUGGUGCGAUCUAUGAUGUCUCUUACUGAUUUACCGCUAUCAUUUUGGGGUUAUGCAUUAGAGACAGCUACAUUCACGUUAAAUAGGGCACCAUCUAAAUCUGUUGAGAUGACAUCAUAUGAACUAUGGUUUGGCAAGAAACCUAAGCUGUCGUUUCUUAGAGUUUGGGGUUGCAAUGCUUAUGUGAAAAAGUUUCAACCUGAUAAGCACGAACCCAAAUCGGAUAAGUGCAUCUUCAUAGGAUAUCCAAAAUAAAAUAUUGGGUACACCUUCUAUCACAGAUCUGAAGGCAAGAUCUUUGUUGCUAAGAAUGGAUCCUUUCUAAAGAAGGAGUUUCUCUCGAAAGAAGUGAGUGGGAGGAAAAGUAGUACUUGAUGAGGUAACUGUACUUGCUCCCUUAUUGGAAAGUAGUUCAUCACAGAAAUCUGUUCCUGUGACUCCUACACCAAUUAGUGAGGAAGAUAAUGAUGAUGAUCAUGUAACUUCAGAUCAAGUUACUACCGAACCUCGUAGGUCAACCAGAGUGAGAUCCGCACCAGAGUGGUAUGGUAAUCCUGUUCUGUAGGUCAUGUUACUUGACCAUGACGAACCUACGAGCAAUGAGGAAGAGCCCAGAUUCCGCGAAAUGGCUUGAGGCCAUGAAAUCUGAGAUAGGAUCCAUGUAUAAGAACAAAGUGUAGACUUUGGUUGACUUGCCCGUUGAUCGGCAACCCAUUGAGAAUAAAUGGAUUUUCAAGAGGAAGACGGACGUUGAUAGUAGUGUUACUAUCUACAAAGCUCGAAUUGUCGCAAAAGGGUUUUCGACAAGUUCAAGGUGUUGACUACGAUGAGAUUUUCUCACUUGUAGCGAUGCUUAAGUCUGUCUGAAUCAUGUUAGCAAUUGCCACAUUUUAUGAAAUCUGACAAAUGGAUGUAAAAACUAUAUUCCUUAAUGGUUUUCUUAAAGAAGAGUUGUAUAUGAUGCAACCAGAAGGUUUUGUCAAUCCUAAAGGUACUAACAAAUUGUGCAAGCUCCAGCGAUCCAUCUAUGGACAAGCAUCUUGGAGUUGGAAUGUACGCUUUGAUAGUAUGAUCAAAGCAUAUAGUUUUAUACAGACUUGCGGUGAAGCCUGUAUUUACAAGAAAGUGAGUGGGAGCACUACAUCAUUUCUGAUAAGUAUAUGUGAAUGACAUAUUGUUGAUCGGAAAUAAUGUAGAAAUUUCUGGAAAGCAUAAAGGAGUGUUUGAAAGGAGUUUUUCAAACAAAGACCUUGGUGAAGCUACUUACAUAUUGAUGCGGAGCAUCCCAAGGUCAUCCCCCUGGACCUACCACCGUCUCACCAAGUGCCUAGCGGACCCUGACACGAGCACGUGCAAGAGCUCUCGAAACCGAGGUGACAUCUCUCCUCUCACACUUCCACUUCGAUACACAUGAGACAUGGUUACUACCUCAAACUGAGACAUUAUGCAUACUCAGGUAUCUAGGAGUUGUCCAUGAAGAAGCUAAGGAGCAAGGAGAAGAAGAAGAGGAAGAUGGACGUGAAGAUGGAGAAGAAGAAGAGAUGCAGAAGAAGCUACAGGCUCCGGACGACCGACCAGGACCGGACGUCCGAUGAUCUCCAGGCUCCGGACGUCUGACCCAGACCAGACGUCUGGCACCUCCGCACUCGAGCCAAAACAACAGAAUUCCGAGGCCUCCCGGACGACCGAUGCCCGGACAACCGACCCCGACCGGAUGUCCGACCGAAGAACACCCGAGCCGAAUCUACGGAUGUCCGACAGGCACCGGACCCUCGCGAGCCUCCAGACGACCUGUGACUCCCGGACGUCCGACGCCUAUGUGCUUCCAUGAGUUGGGCCACAGCCCAUGUAUCCCCCACUUCGCCCCCUUUUGCACUAAGGCUAUAAUAGACCUCCUAUUCCUUGUAGCUAAGGUUAGCAUUGGUUCAGCUCAUUUUAGAGAUAGAGCAUUGCUCAUCCACAUCAGAUCUACUCCACGAGAGAGACCGCGGCCAAUCUUCGGAGAAGAUCCCUUUGGAUUCAAGAACUCCUUGCAGAGAAGAACAUCAAGACCUCCUCACGGAGAAGACUGGCUACCUUUGUAUCGUCCUUAGUUGUCCGUGGAUCAUGUGAUCUCUUAUGUACUCGAGGAUCUAGCACAUGUGUGACUAUUUCGUGUUGGUUUAGUGAUUUUCUCGUGUUUCCCCUUGUUUUCCCCCUUGUGUUCUUCGUGUUCAUUGCGGGAUCCGCUCCUUUCGUGAAAGAUCGGGCGACUAAGGGUUCUGCCCUACAUCAUCUUGGUAUCUAGAGCCACGUUGAUCAUGAUUUAGGAGCCUUCCCAUUGUGUUGCUAGCCUAGUUUUUGUUGAUUUCGUCCCUAAUUCGAAAAGUCCCCACAAAAAUAGACCCAAUUUUUUUUGUGAUUUGUUGGUGUGUUGAAAUUUUGUUGGAUUUGAUCCGUGGAUUUUCUUUGUCUUGAGUGGAUCUACCUUUCCCCCCUUGUCUCCCCACCUCUUCCAUCCACGAAAUCACCCAGAUUCGAUGAAUUUUGACCUCUCCACCUCGUACAUGUGUUGUUCUUCCUGUGCCCGAAAAUCGCCCAGGCACCGGACGUCCGAACCCUUCCAGACGUCCGACGACCAAACGAUCGGCCCAGCCCGGACGUCCGACGAUACCUGACGAAACUGAUUUUUUUUUCAGUUUAGUCACCACCACCGCCCCACAUUUCCGCAUACGCACUCCAACCACCUAUACACCAUCACCACUUCCGCAUACCACCACCAUUGCUUACUCGUUUCACACUCUGACGUGUUUUGUCAUUUAGAGCUUUGAUAAUUUGAGUUGUGGUUCCAUAUCCUUUUGUGUUUCGGCUAUCUAGGUACGGUUCGACAUCAACAUCACCGCCGCUCAUCUUCGCCACGGACGCGUCAUCAACAACAACCAGCUCGACUACAUCUUGGUAUUCGUGCCACCAUUUUGACACCAUACCGUAAGCAAGAACGGUAACCUCGUCUUGGUAUUGGACAUAUCACUCUUGCCAUUACAUUGAUAGCAAUCAUAGACUUACUCCUUUGCGUCGCUUACCCAUCGAGACUAGCCGUUGAGUAUUGCCGGCAACGUGACUUGUGCACAUUUGUGAUCAUACUUCCCAUAGCAUACAUACAUCAUUGUUGCAUAUCUUGGUAUCAUCUCUUCUGUCACAAGGUUGUCAUCACAUACACAAUUGCUAUCUUGGUUCGUGAAGCAUUGCAUGAGAAAAGAGCUCAGACAACAAAGAUCCAAACAAGCUUUUAAGCAAAACGGAAAGAUAAGCAAAGAGCUUUUAAGCAAAAACCAUAGCAUCAUACAACAUUAAGAUUGUCAUAUUAGAUCAUCUUGGAUCAUAUCAUAGAAACACCUUGCAUAGAGCAUACUUGGGAUAGAAGUCGUUGCAUUUUUGCUUAGUAGGUUGUGCACAAGUCUUUGUAUCCGCCUGUUGUGCAAUCGUGCUAGCGUCUCUCUAGUGUUGUGCAAUAAGAGCAUUUUUGUGGAUUCCACAUUUUGGCUCACCCUUGGUUGCACGACCCCACCUAUCUUUUUGCGUGUGUGUUUCCGUGUACCUUAUAUUGCUUGGUCUACUUGUUGCAUUGCAAUCUUGUGAAUCUUUUCCAACAUUAUUGAAGCUCACUUACAAUUGCAUUAAAUUUUGUGCCACCAUCCUAACCAAGCUCCACCAUAAGCUUUUACUUGUGUAGGUGUGAGAAACCGACAAGAAUUGGUACCAAUUGUAGUAUUUCCUUGUCCACAUUGGAGUGAUCAUUGAUCCACUUUCAACUUCGGUCAAGGUACAUUUGGUAUUCGUUCUUCUCUUUCUACCACUCACAUUUUUCUCUUGGAAUGAUGGAUAGACCAAGUACUUCCACCAACCCACUCUUCAUUGAGCACGACGACGACAUGAACUCCUACGUCACCAAGAGCCACCUCUUUGGUGCACAACGUGCUUUGCAUCAAGAGCAACAAGCAAUGAGUGAACGCAUCUACAACCUCGCCGCCGACUUACGACUCUUCGAGCAACGUACAAGGGAGUACUUCGAACACAAGCUCGAUGAUCACAAGCAAGAGAACGGCGCAAGAAUGGACGAGAUUAGCGCUUUGUUUCUCAACCUCUCUUCUUCCACUUCGUCUUCAUCAAGAAGGAGCCGCUCAAGUCGACACUCUGACUUCACUCUUUCCGGCUCAAGUACACCGACAUCGAACACUCUUCGAUGUGCCGCGCGCAACGAUCCUCAAGCAAGCCUUUUUCCUCUACGCGAGAAAAACUCUCAAGAGCACCGACAAUGUCAAACCCAAGAGGCUUUUGCGCUAGCAUGAUAACGACAACGACAACGCCAACAUGAAGAGGAAGAGAGAGCGCGUCUACACCAAGAUGCAGAAGAUGCCGAGGCACAACGCCAAGAACAACAACUCCAUGAAGCUCAAGCACUUGCGGCGCAACAUGACCUUCAAGAUUCAAGUCGAGCCAUAGCCAACCGAGGCCGACAAGCUCGUGAACAUGAAGAAGCACUUCAUGAAGAAGCUCACGAAUGAAGAUUUCAAGCUCGCAUGCAUCAUCAAGUUCCUGAAGUUCCUCCUCGAGCUCGACAAGCUCCUCCACAAGCUCACCAAGAACAUCAAGUUCACCAAGAGCAUGAAGACAAUGGGAAUCCUCCACGACAAGAGCAACAUGAGGUCGACAACCCUCUUCUCCAAGAGCAACACGAGCUUGACAAUCAUCAACAACAUGGACGUCAUCAUCCCCGACCCCAACACAAUGAAGAGAAACGCUAUGGCAAGCUAAAGUUCACCAUGCCCAAGUUCAAUGGAAGCAACAAUCCCGAAGAGUACCUAUCAUGGUCAUUGAAGGUCGACAAAAUCUUUCGUUUGCACAACUAUGACGAAGAUAAGAAGAUUGUGAUGGCAUCCCUUGAGUUCCAAGACUAUGUCCUCAUUUGGUGGGAACAAGUUAUUGAGCACCGAGAGGCAAGAGGUGUGUCGGUGUCAAAACUGGCGGAUCUCGGGUAGGGGGUCCCAAACUAUGCGUCUAUGGCGGAUGGUAACAGGAGGCGGGGGACACGAUGUUUACCCAGGUUCGGGCCCUCUCGAUGGAGGUAAUACCCUACUUCCUGCUUGAUUGAUCUUGAUGAUAUGAGUAUUACAAGAGUUGAUCUACCACGAGACCGUAGAGGCUAAACCCUAGAAGCUAGCCUAUGGUAUGAUUGUUUUUCUCUCUAUCGACUAGCAUGGCCCUGGUUUAUAUAAUGCACCAGAGGCCUAGGAUAACAAGAGUCCUAGCCGAAUACGCCGGUGGGGGAGGAGUCCUUGUCUUGACCAUCAAGUCUUGUGGAAUCUUCCUUGUAUGUGGCAUGGGUUGUCCGAACUGGCCCAAUAGUGAACCACCAUGGGGGUCCUCGGCCUGAUACACCUGUUCGGUAGACGACGUGUUGAGUACCCCCUAGUCCAGGACACCGUCAGUAGCCCCCUGAACUGGUCUUCAAGUUGGGGACUCUCCUCGAUUCUUCCAAACUAUUCUUCAUCUUCGGUCGUCGGUCUUAAAAACUGGUUCAACAAAUCUUUCCAUCUUCGAUCUUGAGGAUCGCCAAAGUGAAUCCGAAGAGUUUAUGUGUUGGGUAUCCGAGGAGCCCCUUUAAGUUUCCGGCCUUUAUCCAUUCCUUGUUAUUUUUAUGCCACACCUCAGGUUUGAAGUUGUUCUCGGGUGGCAGUGUCCUCUUGCAUCCGAGCUCCAACGCCAGACUGCAUUCGAUAUAUCUUUUGCAGACGAGCACCAACACCGGACCGCUUUCCGAGCUCCAACGCCGGAAUGUAUCCGAGCUCCAACGCCAUACUAUGUCCAAGCUCCAACGCCGGACUGUAUCUGGGCUCCAACGCAGGACUAUAUCCAAGGUGUCAUAAAUCACCUUGGUUCAAAAAAGUUGAAGGAGUUUAGCCGAGCUUAAUGCCGGAAAUGCCCUCUAUGGAGCCAGCCACUCGCGCUCGAGCUUUAUGCCGGACUGCUUCCGAGGUGGUGCACCACCCCGACUGUGGGCUGAUUUUUUGUCAAUAUUUUUUAUUGGUGCAAUUUAUUAUCUGCCGAGAUAUAUAGCCAGUAGCCCUCAAGGUGUGUAUCGGUCUAAAACCCGAGAUGCGCCUGAAGGAUGACACAAGACCGCUGAUCCCAGUAGCCGCUGAGACUCAGGUUGAUUUGCAAAAUUGAUCUGAGGGUCAACAACUAGCUAGGCAGAAUACUUCGGGACACAAAAAGCGCUGUGCAGAGUCCUCGAGACUCAGGUUGGGUGUGGCCGACCAACCUGAGGAUCAUAAUCUCCUCGAAAACUAUAUUGCACUUAAAUUUUCUGCACUGGAUUGCCAAUGCAGUAGCCCCCGAGACACUGGUCGGGUGGCAACACCAGAUUAGGGGAUCGAUGUGCCCCUUUAAUAUUAGUAAAUGAUAAGCCAGAAGACCAGUAGCCCCCGAGCCUUAAUGCGGGCACGGGUGGCCAAAUUGAGGAUCGAUAUCCAUAGUAAAAUCACAAAUUAUGUGUAAUGACUCUAUGUAUCCAAGUACUUUACAUCAUUAAUGCUCGGAUCCGCAUUGUACAAAACUUUGUUGACCAACCAUCGGCUCCAACCUCUUCGGCCAGUAGCCAAGGAGUGUUUUCCUACUUUAUAAAGCUAUUUUAAGGGCAAAGAUUUAUGGAAAACAAGGCAAUCUGGCCAUACGGUUUUAUAAACAAAGGUACACGGAGAGAUAUGUUAUAUUACGUUUUAACGUAAGAAACAUCUUCCAAAGAAAAUAGUCCCGCUAUCGGUUCCUUUCUUUGGGUCUUCAUGCUUAUCAUGAUCAUGAAACCUCACCUCCGAUCAAUGUGGGAGGAAAAUAUUGAGGAUUUAGUUCGGGGAAAGUUCCCGAACUCUAUGGUACUAAUGAACCAAAAUUUUCACUUCCGUCAUUGCCGACCAAUGUGAUCCUUUAAGAUUGCUAGCUUUCGGCUUCACCCACUCUACGGUACUUACUCGGAUGACCCGGUAGUAACAAUCACAGAGGUGCUCCCUUUACCGCCUAGCCGAACAAUCGGGGACGUAGGGGUAAGCACAGGAGCCAGGCAACCCAGCUUGGCCAAAAUCUUAAGUCAAAUUGAUGCAUGUUUAUGGCUUUAUAUAAUGAUAAUUAUGGAAGGCAACACUUGUAUAAUGAAUACAAAUGCUGAUGAUAUAUACUUAUUUUGACUCCAUUGCGACCGUUUAUCAGUUGAAAGUGGCCCAUCGUCGGCUUCUACCCCCUUGUAGAUACUACACAGGGUGUUUCUGCAAUAACUACACAACCCUUUAGCCGACGUCUCGGUGCCCGGAGGCGGUUGUGUUAGCAGAAACGAGGCAAUCAAAUAUCUUAGCUUUAUAAAUUUAAACUUAGUCAUAGGAGCUUUAAACUAGGGAAGCUAGCUUCGAGCCCCCGGUUAGUGUUCGGCGAUAGCUGAGGUCAAACCGUAAACACUUCGGCCAAUGUUAUGAACGGCCCAUCAUUUAACACGGUCAUCAGAUCACUGACCAGUUUGCGCUUAUUGUGAAAGUCAGUUUUCUGCUUUCUCCACUGAGGUGCUUAUCCAUGCGAGAUGGAAGCACAAUCGCAGUGGUUCUCCCGUUGCACACCUAGCCGAACAAAGCGGAAUAUAUGAGUGAAGCACAGGAGUCGGGCAACCCAACUAUUGACCGAAGACACAAUUCGAAACCGAUGCAUAUAUAGCAAUAUCCGAGAAUGUUUUUGGCGAAUCUCUAAAGAUGUCCAGCAUUGCACUGCGAGACUUGUGCUGAAAACUCACAAAUAGUUUAAAAGUGCCAUAAGCUUGGAAAACCAAAAAUCGUCAGUAAAAACUUGACGUCCGAACAAGAUCAAGUGUUUGGUGCCAAUCCAAAAAUUGGAAAAAAAUAAAAAAAUUGUGCUUCUGUCGUGCUUUAACAUGACACACCUGAUCUCAACACUUCAAGCGGGCCAGCUAACGGCUUCGAGCUCCUUAUCUCAAAGGCAGAGUACUUCUUUGAGGCCAGUUUAGCGAACUAAACUCGAGCGGUAGAAAAAGACUUUGCAACGGCCAAGAAGAAAACACAUUUACUAUUAAACAACUCAUAUAAAUUUUAAGAGCCCCCAAGUGACUUGGGUAAAAGAAUUUUAUGUAUAAUGAUUGUAUGUACCGAAGUACUUAUAUCAUAUAUGUGUUCACCCGAACUUUAAACGCGUCUUAACCGACCGUCAGCUUCUCCCUCUUCGGCCAAGGGUCGAAAAGUGUCAUGUACUCCACCUGUCGACAGUAUCGACGAUGUUUCCAAUGACCAGGAAAUCAGGCCAUAAGGCUAUAACAGACAAAGAGCGCUCAGGGAACUUAUGCUAUAUUACUGACGAAGUGUAAGAAGAAUCUUCGAAGAAAAUAGUAUCCCCACCGAUACCUUUCUUCGGUGCUCAUUAUUACUAUGAGACUUGUGCAAUAGAUUUUUUGUACUCAUGAGUUCCAUUGUACACCGACCAUGAUUGAAAACAAUAAGAGCGCUAGCUUUCGGCUUCACCCAGUCUAAGGCCAGAGCUCGGAUGACCCGGUCGUGACAAUCGCAGAGGAGCUCCCUUUACUCCCUAGCCGAACAAUCGGGAACGUAGGGGUAAGCACAGGAGCCAGGCAACCCAGCUUGCAAAUCGCUUAGGUCAAUAUGGUGGAUAUUGUGGCGUAAUACACAAAUAAGGAACGAAGCCGUACAAGUACAAUCAUAUGCAAGAGGAAAAGCUCCAUCAAGGGAGCCCCCAAACGAACGGGGUAUUUGAAUAUGCGCGUCACAAAAAAAGUUUUGACAAGGAACUUUGUCACAAAUAACUUUGUGCCAAAAAGUAUAAUGGUUGGUCGAAAUGAACAAAAUUUAAAAUUGAAAGUUUUUAAGCAUGAAAGCAACUUAGCUGGUUAAUGUGCUCGGUGUUGAUGACGCGAUUCGGGCUUGUGGCGGGACGAAGACGCCCAUUGAUCUAUGACAGAUCCGACAAGGUUCGCAGUCCUCAGCAUGGCCGAGGUCCCAGCCCCCAGGCCCGAGGUGUCCGAGCAAGGAGUUCGGCACUCUGGAGUAAUGACCACCUAACGCAGUCAAAAUCGAUUACCUGCACACAUGAAACAAUGCGGUGUAGGAAAUAAUAAUAAUAUAUAUAUAAUCCUUGUAUAAUUGCUUUAUGCAAAAAUAAUUUAUUUAAAGAAAUGUGGCCUGGCGCCGAAGCCAAUGUCGAUGCAGGGCGUCAGCGGACGCAGUGAAGGCAUGACAAAGUCUGAAUUUGCAGGACGGUCCGGGCUCCGGAUGCGGUGUUCGCCGAACUAUGUACGGAAAAUGAUCGAACCACCACGCGACCGUUUUUAAUGUGGCCACCAUUUGAUAGACCUGUGUAAAGAUGAUGGAACAAAUCAGAGUAAUAAUUCCUUAAGAAGAAUAAACCCAACAAGAAAAAAUUGUUAGAUUAAUAGCACCUAGUUUAUUUUUUGUAGCAUUCCGAAGAAAAGCGACUCCCAAAAUCGGGAAUCGAUCCGCACACCCAUUUUCUGAUGGACGAUAAAGUAAUGGCCUGGUGAUGCUGGCAAAGGUUGGCUUGCCGAGGCGAAGCCCUCAGUCCAGCUAACGUGACGAAGCUGGUCGGCUGGUGACACCGAAGUCACCGGAGUAUUUUGAUGAAGAAAUAGCCAAUUCCUCGGUCCAGCCGAGGUGACAGAGCAGGCCGGUGAGGAGUUGUUGUAGCUGCCAUGUCAGCCGACGUGUUGAAGUAGUUCGGCGUGAUGGACAUUGGCUCGAAGAAGCGACAGUGCGGCCAUGCCGACCCAGGUCGUAACUUGUGACGCGAGCAAUGCUGGUUUGAUGAAGUGACCAUGCGGUGAUGCCAGUGUGCCUGUUCCGUGUAAUCCAUGGGGCGGCGAUGUUUGUGAUGAUUUAUCCUUGGCGAUUCCAAACUCUUAUUCGGCUCGCCAAGGUGAGGAUCCGAAGAAGUUGAGCUCGGCUUAAAAAGCGACGCCAUGUCUUGUCACACCCUAGCUAGUUCAAGCAUUAGAGUGUGCAUCAUGUUUAAAUUCCUCUUAAAUUCGAAAUGGUGAAGACAGAACCCCCAGCACCCCCCCUGGAACAACUAGGGUUUACUAAAAACUUUUCCAAUGAACCUGAAAUGCCCUUCUAAAAAGCCCACCCUUUAUGUUUUGGGUUAAAACCUUUGACAAAAAUGGUGCACAUUUUUCUAGGACAUCAAAGGUCAUUGGAUUAAUCCUUAUGGUAUUUGCAUUUGGGCAUUUAAAUGCUAUAAAAUAUUUUAAAUGCUCAAAUAAUCAUAAACUAAAAUGUUGCUGUUGGAUAUAUUCUAAGCAGUGGCCAUGAUUAAUUUUAUGAUUUUUGGUAAUGCCCUGGCAUUUUUAAUAAAGCACUGAAGUUACAGAAAUAUUAAAUAAAUAAAAAAACAGAAAAGGAGAGAAAGAACAGGGACUUACCUGGCGCAGCCCACCAGCCCACCCGGCUCGGCCCAGUCCACUGGCUCAUGCCAGUCGUUCCCCUCCUCUCGCCAGGAGGACGAGGAGCGCGUGGCCGGCGCCCGCGGCCACACGCCGGCCACCUCCUGCUUCCGCCGACGCCCUCGAGGCGUCCACGAGUGCCACGCCGACUCCCACGUCAACCUCACUUUCUUCCCACUCUCCUCGUGGCCUCUCCCCCUCUCUGGCUCUCUCCCCAUCUUCCUACUGAGCGCAGCCGUCGCCGCCGACAAGCUUCACCGCAACCACCGCCGUCCAUUUGUUGCCCCGUCAUGCCAGGAAGCUCCGCCGUCGUCGACUACAUCAAGUAGGCCGAGCCCCGAGCGCUCGCUCGCCCCGGAGACGCUGCACCGAGCUCGUCCUCAACUCCGGCCACCGGAGAUCCCCUUCGCCGCCCCGCUCGCUCCAGCCCUUCCCCGAGCUCGCUGUUCGCUCCCCUGCAACUGCUGUGAGCUCCGCCACCGUUUCCCCCUCUCCCCGCGCUCGUCCGUGUCCUCUAACCACCUCUGCCAUCGAAGCCGAAGCUCGCCGCCGCCACCGCACGUUGCCGUCGUGGCCAUAGCCACGUUUGGAUGCCACCGAGCACGCCUUCGUCUUCCACGCACUCGCAGGAGCCCGUAGCACCCCCGCACGCCCCUCACUGUGCCCCCUAGCGACUAGCUCGACCUCACCCGAGCUCCGGCCGCCGCCAAACUCAUCGCCGGCGACGUUUCCGGCCACCCCAGCUCCACCCACUGCCACCACUCGACGCGGCUUACUCCCUGCAUCACGUAGAUAGUCUCCGCCGCCCAUUUGGUCGCCGGAGUGCAAAUCCCGCACUGCUCCGCCGCGUCUGGCCUCGCCGGCGGCUAAACGCCGGCGAGUUUGACUCUGUUUGACCCCUAUGUGUGCCCAGGUUGACCCCCUUGAGUCUAUGACAGGUGAGGCUGGUCUGCUAAUUAGUUUAGGAUUAGUUUUAACUAAUUUUAAUUAGUUUAGUCACUGACAUGUGGGCCUAGGCCCCACUGACAGCUAACUAGUGUUAAUUUAAUUUUUUCAAUUAGUUGAGUCACUGACAGACAGGGCCCACCAGUCAGGUUUGACCUGGCCAACCCAGUUGACCACUGACGUCACACCUAUGUCAUGCUGACGCAUAAUUUAAUUACUGGAUUUAUUCUUUAAUAGGAAAUUCCAAAAAAUAGCCAAAACUUCUAAAAAUCAUAGAAAAUCAACUAUAGCUCCAAACGCAAAGAUUUAUAUAUGAAAAAUGAUCAGAAAAAUUCAAUCUAUCCAUCUGUAAUGGUUUCAUGCAUGACAAAACAAGUUAACCUUGUUGUUUAAGUAGAAUAAGAUAAUGCACUAAUAAGGCCAUGUUAAAUGAGCUAACAUUUGAAUCUUUGAUUCAAAUGAGUUCAUUCCAUCCUGUUUUAGCUUGCAUUAGGCCAAGACACAUUCAUUUUGCCAUGUCAUAGCAUGCAUCAUACUGUUGCAUAUUUUCAUGUGUUGAUUAUGUUCGGUGUAUCUUUCGUGGUAGGUUCCGCCUUCGAGGAUAACCCCGAGUAUCCGUCAGAAGGGCAGUACCCUACUACCACUACAACAUGCAAGCAACCAUUGAUCAUUCCGAUACAAACCCAUGUUCUUGCUUCUGCUCUUGUUUACUGCAUUAAGACAACACGAUUCAAACUGCUGUGUGCUACGGUAGUUGAACCCUUAUCCUCUGCACGACCUGUCAUUGCCACAGUAACUAGAUGAAACCCACUAGCAUGUGUAGGAGUUGAUUGAGCCAUGUAUGUGAUUCCUACCUUGCUAUGCCUGCUAUGCUUAGAGUUGUGUCAGGUCUGGUCCAUCUGGGUGAUGGGCUAGAGUGAAAUGGUUAUAUCGGUAAUGUGAGGGAUGUGAUGAACAUGAUUUGGUAAAGGUAUCGAUGAGAGGCCAUGUAGGAGUACAUGGUGAGUUGUUUCAUUGAGGCCGUCCAUAAGAACUGAGAUCUGUAUGUGUGAUUUAAGAUGCAGUUACUACCAUACAUUGGGCUCGAAACCAAUGGACCCUCUCGGCUUCUUAUUCACCCUAGUACUCUGUCCAGGAGUUGCAAAUAGUUUCUGGUAUUUGUAGGUUAUGUGUUGGCGGCCGUGCGUAGCACUGAUCCUAGGGGUGGGCUAUGUUGCGGUAGAUACACCAUGGCACGGUGUACCGAGUUGCCCGUUUGGUGUCUCGGGAACCCUGUUCACAUCGUUCGGGGCCGUAUGUGGAAACCUCGGCCGGACUCCCUGCGGAUGGAACCUAGAUAGGCGAUACACAUGGACUAGAGACUUGAGUGUUUGGGUAGGCCGUGGCCGACACCCUCGUUGGGCUUCCGCUUGAAGGUUGCCGAGUACAUGUCGUGUAAACAGCGGUAAGUGAUGAAACCGUGUAUGAAGAAGUACACCCCUGCAGGGUAUAAAACUAUUCGAAUAGCCACAUCCGCGGUAAAGGACUACUUGGUUGCCUAUACAGUUCAUAGACAAGUUAAUGGUUACUACUAAAAGACUCAAGAUAAGUGUGAGUACCGAGGAUGGCCCUCUCGUAGGAUGAUGAGGGAGGAUCCCCGGUGGAGUAUUGUGUUGGUGAGUAGUGGACUCGUGUGCGAAAACUAUUUUACUAGUGGAGUUCCGUAGGAUAGCCUAGCCAAGAGUCAAAGCUGGCUUGCUGCAAUAACCCCACCACCUUCUUGAGAAUGAGCAUGUAUAGUAGGUUCUGUUGUAAGACUUGCUGAGUACCUUUGUACUCAUGUUUGCUUAAUUACUAUUUUCAGACGACAACACCGCCCCCUCCGAUGGGUUCUACGUAGACCUUGAUGUCGACGAGUGACUAGCCACCCAGGUGGUGAUCCUGGCCAUGGAGGGGCCUAUGUAGAUAGACAGGCUACGAAAGCCUUCUUGCUUUCUAGUUCUGUACCCAGACUAUUUACUUCCGGUUGUGCUUGUAUGAUUGUAUGACUUGAGUGUUGGGUCGUGUGACCCCUACUUGUAUGAACAUGUUAUGUAUGGCUGUCUGGAGCCUUUAAAUAAAGUACUUGAGUUGUAGAGUUUUGUUGUGAUGCCAUGUUGUAUGUACUCAUGUCGGGCAUAUUGUGUGUAUGAUUGAAAUGCUUGGUAUGAGUGGGAUCUGACAAUCUAGUUGUUUAUCCUUGGCAGCCUUUCUUAUGGGGAAAUGUAGUCUAGUGUUCCUCGAGCCAUAGUAGUCCGCUACAGCCCGGUUCACUGGAGUCCUGCUAGCCCAGCACUACUGCUCAGGACACUUGACUGGCCGGCAUGUGUUUCACUUCGUUCCUAUGUCUGUCCCUUCGGGGAAAUGUCACGCGGUGACAUCCGGAGUCCUGCCUAGCCUGCUACAGCCCGAGUUCCCCGGAGUCCUGUUAGCCCAGUGCUACAGCCCGGAAUCACUCGCUGAUGACCGACAUGCUCGAUGUGAUUCAUGUAUUCCUGUCUCCAUAGGCCUGUGCCGCUUUGGGUUCACGACUAGCCAUGUCGGCCCGGGUUCUCUGUCAUAUGGAUGCUAGCGACACUAUCAUAUACGUGAGCCAAAAGGCGCAAACGGUCCCGGCCAUGGUAAGGCGACAACCGUGGGAUACCGUGCGUUAGGCCGCAAUGUGAUAUGAGGUGUUACCAGCUAGAUCGAUGUGACUUGGAAUCGGGGUCCUGACAGCGUUGGCAUCAGAGUUGGACUGCCUGUAGGUUCGUUGAGCCAAACUGGUCGAUGUCGAGUCUAGAAAUGCUUUAGUUAUAUGUAGGGGAAUUGAUUGUGGGAGGGAACGUAAGGCUCUUUUACUCCUUUACCAUAUGCCCUCUGAUCUGAGUUAUUUUCUUCUCAUUCAACAUGGGUUAAGGACUAGGCUCUCUUCUUCUAUCAGGUUCACGUGUUACUAAUCCGUAGUAGCUUAUAGGAUUGUUGUUACAAGCCUCAGUACAGUUCCUACUAUUUUUAGUAUGUUGCCAAUUGAAUCAGAACCUUGAUAUGAUGUUGUUGAGUGGUAUUGCAAACUGUUGUGAAUGUCUCAAAUCUUUUUCUGAGCAUUUACAGCCGUUAUGCUGUCCAAUUUCCCCCAGAAAUUCUAAUGUCUUUGCAUUGUGAUUGUGCUUUCAGAUGGCCACUCGUGCUCAAAACCAAGUGGUUCGCCUGACCCGGUGCCUCGAUGUGCCCGGUCAUACUGCUAUGUUAGUCCGGGUAAUGAUCGAGACGGGUUACCAUUGGUAUCCCGAAUACACUGUCGAAGAGCAGUUUCGAGACUUUAAUCAAAGCCAAUAUUUCUGCACCGUCAGGAUAUUUCCUUCUUAUCCUGGAUCUAUCGAGCCCCUCCACUGUUCCUACGGACUCGGGGUUACUGUUGAGAUGGCUGUGCAAGAUGCUGCCUAUUCCAUGAUGACCAUCAUGCGAGUCCGGACUGGCCUGCUUCGGAACACCGACUUCCGUUACAUGCCAGCUUCACUUCCGGGAGCGCAAGGGUAUCUUCAGGCUAUCUAUGCUGACUCCACUCAGGAGGACUCAUUAACUCGUACCACUGCCGAGAUGCUCGAAGAUAAGGACCGAGAGAAUCGGGCCUUGAGGCUGGAGCUUUUCAAUACCCGUGCUGAUCAUUGGGCCACAUUGACUCGGUUUGCACCUGCGGUGCAAGCUGGAUGUAUGGAUACAAGGGAUCUGUAUCCCGUGAGAUCUGCUCUGCCAGACAUGGUGGAUUGGCGUGAUGUGGGAGGCAUCACCCCACCCCAUGGUCCCCGCAGGCCACCGUUUGUUGGUCCAAGACCUCACCCUAGCCCCUUUGGUCCACAAGCUCCUCAGGACCGUCUGUUCCCGGAUGAUCAUGUUGAACUUCCAGGCUAUGGAGGUGACUUCUAUGAGGACUACUACGGAGCCGUCUGAGUUAGCAGCAGUACCACUAGUAUUGUAAUAGUUGUAUCUUCACUGUCCUGCGUGACUUGUGGAAUAUGACUUUGUGUGUAAUCGAUUCUGGAGGUGUAGACAAAUAAUGUAUAGGAGCUUGGAAUGCCUCCGAUGAGAUGUAAUGUCUUCCACCGUAGUUGUACUCUAGCCUGGGCUUGUACUAAAUUAUGUACAGUGUGUAUGACCAAUGGUAUAUAUAUGGCAGUUUCUAUAUUACCAUGUCGUACAAUGAACAUCUUAGCAUUCCAUGUUAUCCAUUACAUUCUGCACUUCCUUGCUAAGUUGUGCCAUCCUUAUCUAAACCAUUGUCUUGUUUUCUCCUAGGAUGGUCAACACCCGCAGCAACCCUGCUGCCCCGGAGCAGGGGGAAGCCAGUGCAGCUAGGGGUGAAAAUCUGCCUCACCCGCCUUCCCUGGCCGAAGUGAUGCUGGAGGCGGAAAGAAACAAGCGUGAGACUAACCGCCUGCUGGAGCGGAUUGAGCAGAACACUGCACGCCAUCCGCAAAAUGACUUGGUGUCAAUCAAUGACUUUAUCAAGCUGUACCCACCAAAGUUUAACCAUUCCGUCGAGCCCCUCGACGCGGAUGACUGGCUUCGCAGCAUCACCCACAAGCUACGUUCUACCAACGUGGCCGAAGCUGAUAAAGUUACUUACGCUGCCUACCAUCUCGAAGGCCCUGCUAGCCUCUGGUGGGAAAAUUUUGAAGCUAUGCGCCCGGUCGGCCAAAUCACUACUUGGGCUGAAUUCAGUGAGGCUUUCCGUGAGCAUCACAUUCUGGAAGAACUCAUAGAUCGUAAGAGGGAGGAGUUCUGCAAUUUCACCUAAGGAAGACUGACUGUGGAUGCAUAUAGCUGUGAAUUUGGGAAUCUGGCACGUUAUGCUCCUGAAGAAGUAUCUACGGACGCUAAGAAGCAGGCAAGGUUCCGCAAGGGCCUUAGCCCUGAGCUUCGCCGUGAUCUUCGUCUGCACGAGUGCACAUCCUUCCAGAAGUUGGUCAAUAAAGCCAUCAGCGCUGAGACAGGCCAGUCUGACUAUGAUGCUUCACGCAAACACUCACGAGAUUUUGGCUCUUCAUCCGGCUCUGGAGCUCAGAAGCACCAGGUGUGGAUCCCAAGCACGGCACUGCCACCCAGGUUCAUUCCGAGGCCAUCCUUUGAGGUGCCUCGUCCUAACCAGCAGUUUGCACCGCCCAAGCCCUAUGGUGGCCCCACUGCUAAUGCUGCUCCACGCCCCAAUGUGGUGACAUGCUUCAAGUGUGGAGAGCCGGGUCACUAUAGUCGAGAGUGUCCCCAGAACAACCCCAAUCAAACUGGAAAGUCCGUUGGCCGUGGUAAGCCAGCGGGAAAGACAUUCUACGCCAAGUCGGUCACCACUGCACGUGGCCAUGUCAACUAUGUCUCAGCCGAGGAGGCUCACGAGGAUCCUAAUGUCGUCCUUGGUACGCUCCUUGUUAACUGCCAUCCGACAUCUGUUCUUUUCGAUACUGGAGCAUCUCAUUCAUUCAUAUCCGAGAACCAUGCUCGAUUGCAUAACAUGACAUUCUGUGACAUGCCCACUUCCAUGGUAAUUCAAACUCCAGGUUCCAAAUGGCAAACUUCUAGAGUAAGCCAUGGGAACGAAAUUCUUGUCGAUAGACUUGUCUUCCUUGCAUCCUUAAUAGCUCUCAAGUCCUUGAACAUAAACUUCAUCUUGGGUAUGGACUGGAUGUCAGCUCAUUAUUCUAAGAUUGAUUGUGCCACUAGAACCGUUCAACUUACUCAUCCAUCGGGCAAGACAGUCAAUGUCUUAACUCGAGUGGCCAAGCGCCAGCUUUAUUCCCUAAAUGCCAACCCCUUCCAGACCUUGAGGAUGUUCUGGUAGUCCGGGACUUCCCGGAUGUCUUUCCCGAAGAACUGCCAGGUGUUCCACCUGACAGGGAUGUCGAGUUCGUGAUAGACCUUGUCCCAGGAACCGUUCCAAUUUCUAGGAGGCCCUACAAGAUGGCACCCUUACAACUAGCCGAGCUUAAGAAUCAACUCGAUGAGUCCUUGAAAAAGGGUUUCAUCCGUCCUAGUUCCUCUCCUUGGGCUUGCCCCGUCCUCUUCGUCAAGAAGAAGGAUGGAACGGAUCGAAUGGUUGUAGAUUACCGACCUGUCAACCUGGUCACCAUCAAGAACAAGUAUCUGCUUCCUAGGAUCAACGAUCUGUAUCAUCAGCUCGCUGGAUCCUCAAUCUUUUGCAAGAUGGAUUUGAGGUUAGGCUACCAUCAGAUCAAAAUCAGAAACGGGGACAUUCCCAAAACGGCCUUUGUUACUCGUUAUGGCCAAUACGAGUACACCGUUAUGUCCUUCGGUUUAACCAAUGCCCCAGCUACCUUCUCUCGGUUAAUGAACUCGUCCUUCAUGGAGUACCUGGAUAAAUUCGUCAUAGUAUACCUCGAUGACAUACUCAUCUACUCCAAGAAUGAAGAGGAACAUGCCGAACAUCUAAGGCUGGUAUUGAUGAAACUUCGAGAGCAUCGCCUUUAUGCCAAAUUCUCCAAGUGUGAAUUUUGGUUGCCAGAAGUGACCUAUCUAGGCCAUGUAAUCUCUGGUAAGGGUAUUGCUGUCAAUCCCGAGCGAGUUCAAGCCGUCCUUCAUUGGACUCCACCUAAGACGGUCAAGCGAGUUCGGAGUUUCCUUGGCUUAGCGAGCUAUUGCCGCCGCUUCGUCGAGAAUUUCUCCAAGGUUGCUAAACCUCUAACUGAACUCCUCAAGAAAGAUAAAAGGUUCGAGUGGACUCCAAAGUGCGAGUUCAGUUUUCAGGAACUGAAAAGACGCCUGACAUCUGCUCCCGUACUGGUACCACCAGAUUUCUCCAAGGACUUCAUUAUCUAUUGCGACGCCUCGCGAUAAGGACUAGGUUGCAUACUCAUGCAGGAUCGUCAGGUAAUUGCCUAUGCUUCACGACAAUUACACCCACAUGAGGAAAACUAUCCCACACAUGAUCUAGAGCUUGCAGCUGUAGUCCAUGCACUCAAAACUUGGCGACAUUACCUCCUUGGUAAUCGUUGCGAGAUCUUCACUGAUCACCAAAGUUUGAAAUAUAUCUUCAGCCAACCGGAUUUGAAUCUCAGGCAAGGACGUUGGGUCGAGUUGAUCUCGGAUUACGACUUAGGAAUAACUUACACCCCGGGCAAAGCCAAUGUCAUGGCUGAUGCACUAAGUCGUAAAUCUUAUUGUAACAACCUGAUGUUACACCAAAGCCAACCACUUCUCCACGAGGAAUUUCGUAAGCUCAAUCUUCACAUUGUUCCUUGAGGAUUCCUAUCCACACUAGUGGCGAAACCUACCCUUACGGAUCAGAUCAUCAAGGCACAGAAGGUAGAUCCGGGAAUCUCCCGUAUUAAGAGAAACGUUAAGAAAGGAGUCGCGAAUUGUUUCUCUGUUGAUGAUCAAGGUGUCGUAUACUUUGGAAACCGCUUAGUGGUUCCAAAGGCACGAAACCUGAGGCGGCUGAUCCUUAAGGAAGCUCAUGAAUCCCCUCUCACCAUUCAUCCCGGUAGUACUAAAAUGUAUCAAGACCUACGCCAGAGGUUUUGGUGGACUAGGAUGAAGAGAGAAAUCGCUCAAUACAUUGCUAAUUGCGACGUUUUUCAUCGUGUUAAAGCAGAGCAUCAAUGACCUGCUAGCACCCUUCAACCUUUGGCUAUUCCUGAGAGGAAAUGGGAUAAAAUCAGUAUGGAUUUCAUCACUGGGUUUCCCAGGACCAAGAGAGGGAAUAAUGCCAUCUUCAUCGUGAUCGACCGCCUUUCCAAGGUAGCCCAUUUCCUACCUGUUCGUGAGAGUAUCACCGCUUGCCAGCUAGCUGAGUUAUACAUCUCCCGAAUAGUGUCACUUCAUGGUGUCCCAUUGGAAAUUAACUCAGACCGUGGGAGUCUCUUCACCUAUCGAUUUUGGGAAAGUUUCCAAAAUACUAUGGGAACUCGUCUCUCUUUUAGCACCGCCUUCCAUCCUCAAUCAAGUGGUCAAGUAGAGCGAGUCAAUCAAAUUCUGUAAGAUAUGCUCCGAGCUUCUGUCAUCUCGUUCGGAAUGGGUUGGGAGAAUUUCCUUCCAUUCGCGGAGUUUGCUUAUAACAAUAGUUAUCAAUCUAGCUUGGGCAAGGCUCCUUUCGAAGUUCUCUAUGGACGAAAAUGUCAAACGCCUCUUAACUGGUCAGAAACCGGGGAAAGACAACUCUUUGGCCUGGAUAUGAUUCAGGAAGCAGAAGGGCAGGUUCGCAUUAUUAGUGAGAAAUUGAAAAUAGCCCAAUCUCAUCAAAAGAGUCAAUAUGAUCGUAAACAUAAGCUUAUGACUUAUGAAGUCGGCGAGAAGGCUUACCUUCGGGUUACUCCGUUAAAGGGAACCCAUCGUUUCAGUAUCAAAGGCAAAUUGGCUCCUCCUUGCAUCGGACCCUUUCGCAUUCUUGCUAAACGAGAAGUUGCCUACCAAUUGGAACUACCUUCGCAUCUUUCCAGAGUUCAUGAUGUCUUCCACGUUUCUCAACUCAGGCAUUGCUUCGCGGAUCCUAUCCAUGGAGUGGACCACGAAACGCUUGAUUUACAAGAUAACCUCUCAUAUCGGGAAUAUCUCGUUCGUAUCCUUGAUCAAGCCGAGUGUACCACUCGAUGCCAUAAUAUCAAGUUUCUCAAGGUUCAAUGGUCACACCAUUCCGAGAAAGAAGCCACUUGGGAAAGGGAGGAUCGUCUUCGACUCGAGUACCCCACCUUCUUUCCGGAGGAUCCUAAAUCUCGGGACGAGAUUCUUUUGAGUGGGGGUGAGUUGUCACACCCUAGCUAGUUCAAGCAUUAGAGUGUGCAUCAUGUUUAAAUUCCUCUUAAAUUUGAAAUGAGGAAGACAGAACCCCCAGCACCCCCUGGAACAACUAGGGUUUACUAAAAACUUUUCCAAUGAACCUGAAAUGCCCUUCUAAAAAGCCCACCCUUUAUGUUUUCGGUUAAAACCUUUGACAACAAUGGUGCACAUUUUUCUAGGGACAUCAAAGGUCAUUGGAUUAAUCCUUAUGGUAUUUGCAUUUGGGCAUUUAAAUGCUAUAAAAUAUUUUAAAUGCUCAAAUAAUCAUAAACUAAAAUGUUGUUGUUGGAUAUAUUCUAAGCAGUGGCCAUGAUUAAUUUUAUGAGUUUUGGUAAUGCCCUGGCAUUUUUAAUAAAGCCCUUAAGUUACAGAAAUAAUAAAUAAAUAAAAAACAGAAAAGGAGAGAAAGAACAGGGACUUACCUGGCGCAGCCCACCAGCCCACUCGGCUCGGCCCAGUCCACUGGCUCAUGCCAGUCGUCCCCCUCCUCUCGCCAGGAGGACGAGGAGCGCGUGGCCGGUGCCCGCGGCCACAUGCCGGCCACCUCCUGCUUCCGCCGACGCCCUGGAGGCGUCCACGAGUGCCACGCCGACCCCCACGUCUCCCUCACUUUCUUCCCACUCUCCCUGUGGCCUCUCCCCCUCUCUGGCUCUCUCCCCAUCUUCCUGCCGAGCGCAGCCGUCGCCGCCGACAAGCUUCAUCGCAGCCACCGUCGUCCAUUCGUUGCCCCGUCCUGCCAGGAAGCUCCGCCGUCGUCGACUACAUCAAGUAGGCCGAGCCCCGAGCGCAUGCUCGCCCCGGAGACGCUGCACCGAGCUUGUCCUCAACUCCGGCCACCGGAGAUCCCCUUCGCCGCCUCGCUCGCUCCAGCCCUUCCCCGAGCUCGCCGUUCGCUCCCCUGCAACCACUGUGAGCUCCGCCACCGUUUCCCCCUCUCCCCGCGCUCGUCCGCGUCCUAUAACCACCUCUGCUAUCGAAGCCGAAGCUCGCCCCUGCCACCGCACGUCGCCGUCGUGGCCAUAGUCACAUUGGGACGCCACCGAGCACGCCUUUGUCUUCCACGCACUCGCAGGAGCCCGUAGCACCCUCGCACGCCCCUCGCCGUGCCACCUAGCGACUAGCUCGACCUCACCCGAGCUCCGGCCGCCGCCAAACUCGUCGCCGACGAUGUUUCCGGCCACCCCAGCUCCACCCACUGCCACCACUCGACGCGGCUUCCUCCCUGCAUCACGUAGAUAGUCUCCGCCGCCCAUUUGGUCGCCGGAGUGCAAAUCCCGCACUGCUCCGCCGCGUCUGGCCUCGCCGGCGACUAGACGCCAGCGAGUUUGACUCUGUUUGACCCCUGUGUGUGCCCAGAUUGACCCCCUUGAGUCUAUGACAGGUGAGGCUGGUCUGCUAAUUAGUUUAGGAUUAGUUUUAACUAAUUUUAAUUAGUUUAGUCACUGACAUGUGGGCCUAGGCCCCACUGACAGCUAAUUAGUGUUAAUUUAAUUUUUUCAAUUAGCUGAGUCACUGACAGACAGGGCCCACCAGUCAGGUUUGACCUGGCCAACCCAGUUGACCACUGACGUCACACCUAUGUCAUGCCGACGCAUAAUUUAAUUACUGGAUUUAUUCUUUAAUAGGAAAUUCCAGAAAAUAGCCAAAACUUCUAAAAAUCAUAGAAAAUCAACUAUAGCUCCAAAUGCAAAGAUUUAUAUAUGAAAAAUGAUUAGAAAAAUUCAAUCUAUCCAUCUGUAAUGGUUUCAUGCAUGACAAAACAAGUUAACCUUGUUGUUUAAGUAGAAUAAGAUAAUGCACUAAUAAGGCCAUGUUAAAUGAGCUAACAUUUGAAUCUUUGAUUCAAAUGAGUUCAUUCCAUCCUGUUUUAGCUUGCUUUAGGCCAAGACACAUUCAUUUUGCCAUGUCAUAGCAUGCAUCAUACUGUUGCAUAUUGUCAUGUGUUGAUUAUGUUCGGUGUAUCUUUCGUGGUAGGUUCUGCCUCCGAGGAUAACCCCGAGUAUCCGUCUGAAGGGCAGUACCCUACUACCACUACAACAGGCAAGCAACCAUUGAUCAUUCCGAUACAAACCCAUGUUCUUGCUUCUGCUCUUGUUUACUGCAUUAAGACAACGCGAUUCAAACUGCUGUGUGCUACGGUAGUUGAACCCUUAUCCUCUGCAUGACCUGUCAUUGCCACAGUAACUAGAUGAAACCCACUAGCAUGUGUAGGAGUUGAUUGAGCCAUGUAUGUGAUUCCUACCUUGCUAUGUCUGCUAUGCUUAGAGUUGUGUCAGGUCUGGUCCAUCUGGGUGAUGGGCUAGAGUGAAAUGGUUAUAUCGGUAAUGUGAGGGAUGUGAUGAACAUGAUUUGGUAAAGGUAUCGAUGAGAGGCCAUGUAGGAGUACAUGGUGAGUUGUUUCAUUGAGGCCGUCCAUAAGAACUGAGAUCUGUAUGUGUGAUUUAAGAUGCAGUUACUACCAUACAUUGGGCCCGAACCAAUGGACCCUCUCGGCUUCUUAUUCACCCUAGUACUCUGUCCAGGAGUUGCAAAUAGUUUCUGAUGUUUGUAGGUUAUGUGUUGGCGGCCGUGCGUAGCGCUGAUCCUAGGGGGGGCUAUGUUGCGGUAGAUACACCGUGGCACGGUGUACCGAGUCGCCCUUUUGGUGUCUCGGGAACCCUGUUCACAUCGUCCGGGGACGUAUGUGGAAACCUCGGCCGGACUCCCUGUGGAUGGAACCUGGAUAGGCGAUACACCUGGACUAGAGACUUGAGUGUUUGGGUAGGCCGUGGCCGACACCCUCAUUGGGCUUCCGCUUGAAGGUUGCCGAGUACAUGUCGUGUAAACGGUGGUAAGUGGUGAAAGCGUGUAUGAAGAAGUACACCCCUGCAGGGUAUAAAACUAUUCGAAUAGCCGCAUCCACGGUAAAGGACUACUUGGUUGCCUAUACAGUUCAUAGACAAGUUAAUGGUUACUACUAAAAGACUCAAGAUAAGUGUGAGUACCGAGGAUGGCCCUCUCGUAAGAUGACGAGGGAGGAUCCCCGGUGGAGUAUUGUGUUGGUGAGUAGUGGACUCGUGUGCGAAAACUAUUUUACUAGUGGAGUUCCGUAGGAUAGCCUAGCCAAGAGUCAAAGUUGGCUUGCUGCAAUAACCCCACCACCUUCUUGAGAAUGAGCAUGUAUAGUAGGUUCUAUUGUAAGACUUGCUGAGUACCUUUGUACUCAUGUUUGCUUAAUUACUGUUUUCAGACGACAAGACCGCCCCCUCCGAUGGGUUCUACGUAGACCUUGAUGUCAACGAGUGACUAGCCACCCAGGUGGUGAUCCUGGCCAUGGAGGUCCCUAUGUAGAUAGACAGGCUAUGAAAGCCUUCUAGCUUUCUAGUGUCUGUACCCAGACUAUUUACUUCCGCUUGUGCUUGUAUGAUUGUAUGACUUGAGUGUUGGGUCGUGUGACUCCUACUUGUAUGAACAUGUUAUGUAUGGCUCUUUGGAGCCUUUAAAUAAAGUACUUGAGUUGUACAGUUUUGUUGUGAUGCCAUGUUGUAUAUACUCAUAUCGGGCAUAUUGUGUGUAUGAUUGAAAUGCUUGGUAUGAGUGGGAUCCAACAAUCUAGUUGUUUAUCCCUGGCAGCCUUUCUUAUGGGGAAAUGUAGUCUAAUGUUCCUCGAGCCAUAGUAGUCCGCUACAGCCAGGUUCACUGGAGUCCUGCUAGCCCAGCACUACUGCUCAGGACACUUGACUGGCCGGCAUGUGUUUCACUUCGUUCCUAUGUCUGUCCCUUCGGGGAAAUGUCACGCAGUGACAUCCGGAGUCCUGCCUAGCCUGCUACAGCCCGGGUUCCCCGGAGUCCUGUUAGCCCAGUGCUACAGCCCGGAAUCACUCGCUGAUGACCGACAUGCUCGAUGUGAUUCAUGUAUGCCUGUCUCCAUAGGCCUGUGCCGCUUUGGGUUCACGACUAGCCAUGUCGGCCCGGGUUCUCUGUCAUAUGGAUGCUAGCGACACUAUCAUAUACGUGAGCCAAAAGGCGCAAACGGUCCCGGCCAUGGUAAGGCGACACCCGUGGGAUACCGUGCGUGAGGCCGCAAUGUGAUAUGAGGUUUUAUCGGCUAGAUCGAUGUGACUUGGAAUCGGGGUCCUGACAGUGUCUAGUGCAGGUCGGCAGUCAUGGAGCUAUAUUGCCGGACUUGUUUGACACCAGCGUGAUGGCGAAAAUUACCUCAGAGAAGGAUUAAAAUUUCAUGGGCGCAUGUUAAAAACACCGCACAAUAUCUUAGAAGGAAAUUCCUUUUAAAAAGGUUAUCAAAUAUCACGUUCAUAAAGAAACAUGAAUUCGGGUCGGAUCCGUAUUCACGCAGGAAACAGAUCUGAAAAGUGAUGCACUAAUCGGAAUGUACCCGGAGUUUGGACGGUUAGAUCGAGCUGAAAUUUUAAGGGGUGGUAGAUAUGGGAAUUAUGCAGAAGAUGAAUGGUUGGAUUUUCCAAAGGACUUUCGAGCUGGACUCUAGAGACCACGCCCUAAACUCGUCCAGAUUCUCGUCUGGAUUUGACAGGGCUCCGGUAUAUCGUAGAUUGUCAGAGAUUCCUCCAUCGGAACUCGACCAAAUUUUCCAGGGUAGUUGUAGACUCGAUUCCGCACAAUUCCACCGAGGAGAUCGUUAAAAUGACACUCGAGGAGGCGGUGGCGGCGGAUACGCGUUCGCUGACCAGAAAAACAGCACGGUCGCCCGAGGGCAAUGUUGACGUUGAGCCCCCGAGCUCCAUGGACGAUUUCUCCAUGAUAUCAAUAGAGAUUGAAGUUGGUGUUGAUGAAGGCCCUCGUCCGAACAUGAUGAUCGGAGGCAGGGCACAGUUCUCGGUCAAGCCAAGGUGACCAAUCAAGCCGGUGAUGAAAAUGUUGAUGUCGCAGUUAAUCUGCAGACGAGCCAUCGAUCCUUUUGCCGAUCGCACAACGGAACUCUCAAUGAAAGCACCAAUGUCGGUGUCAAAACCGGCGGAUCUCGGGUAGGGGGUCCCGAACUUUGCGACUAAGGCGGAUGGUAACAGAAAGCGAGGGACACGAUGUUUACCCAGGUUUGGGCCCUCUUGAUGGAGGUAAUACCCUACUUCCUGCUUGAUUGAUCUUGAUGAUAUGAGUAUUACAAGAGUUGAUCUACCAUGAGAUCGUAGAGGCUAAACCCUAGAAGCUAGCCUAUGGUAUGAUUGUUUUUCUCUCUAUCGACUAGCCUGGCCCUGGUUUAUAUAAUGCACCAGAGGCCUAGGAUAACAAGAGUCCUAGCUGAAUACGCCGGUGGGGGAGGAGUCCUUGUCUUGACCACCAAUUCUUGUGGAAUCUUCCUUGUAUGCGGCAUGGGUUGUCCGAACUGGCCCAAGAGUGAACCACCAUGGGGGUCCUCGGUCUGAUACACCUGUUCGGUAGACAACGUGUUGAGUACCCCCUAGUUCAGGACACCGUCAAGGUGAACCACCCAUCACUACUUGGGCGCAAAUGAAGGAUGUCAUGAGAGCGCGCUUCGUACCUACCUACUACAACCGCGACCUCUUCAAGAAACUUCAACUAGUCAAGCAAGGAACCAAGAGCAUUGAAGAAUACUACAAGGAGAUGGAGAUUGCCAUGAUAAGAGCCAACGUCACGGAAGAUGAUGAGAAAACAAUGGCACGUUUCUUGAAUGGACUCAACCAUCCUAUCAAGAAGAUCGCCGACUUCCAACCCUACUCGAAUCUUCUUGAGCUAGUGCACCAAGCUACCAAAGUGGAACAUCAUGUGCAAGAUGAUUACAAGUAUGACAAGUUCUCAUCCAAGUCAUACGGCUUCUCCAACACCCAAGCUUCAACGACUCCAACACCGUCAACCAAGCCUUCUACAAGCAACAUCGACAAGUCGAGUUCCAAGAAAGCUUCGUCAACUCCAAGUCAUACUCCUACUACAAGCAAUUUCAAGCCGAAAACUUCAUCAUCAUCAACCCCCACUGAUGAGACUGUCAAGACAAGUUCCUUCAAAUGCUUCACAUGCGGAGGCCGAGGCCACAAGUCCUAUGAGUGCACUAACAAGCGGACCAUGAUCCUCAACGACGACGGCACUUACGACUCAAUGAGUGAAGGAGAAAUGGACGCCCUCGAGCAAGUCUCCAUGCACCGGCAAGUGAACGAUGAAGAAUAACAAGUCUUUUGCGAUGAAGAUUCAAGCCCCGCUCUUGUUUUCUCCAAGGUCUUGACUCUCCAACAUCACCAAGAAGAAAACCAACAAUGCCACAUCUUUCAUACCAAGGCCGGCAUCAAUGGACGAUCCGUCAAGGUCAUCAUCGAUGGAGGGAGUUGUCAUAACCUCGCAAGUGAAGAACUUUGCUCCAAGCUCCAAUUGCCCAAGACGAAGCACCCACAUCCAUACAAAUUUCAAUGGCUUAGCGACUCCGGCACUAUCCAAGUCAAGCAUCGAGUACAAGUCUCCUUCAAAAUUGGCGUAAAGCAUCUCAUAGACCAUCGGCAUUGCUACCUCUUGAGCACUGCGUUGGUUUUCCCCGAAGAGGAAGGGAUGAUGCAGCAAAGUAGCAUAAGUAUUUCCCUUAGUUUUUGAGAACCAAGGUAUCAAUCUAGUAGGAGGCUACGCGCGAGUCCCUCGUACCUGCACAAAACAAACAAAUCCUCGCAACCAACGCAAAUAGGGGUUGUCAAUCCCUAUAAGGCCACUUAUGAGAGUGAGAUCUGAUAGAUAUGAUAAGAUAAGAUUUUUGGUAUUUUUGUGAUAAAGAUGCAAAGUAAAAUAAAGGCAAAUUAAAUAGCAAAGGAAAUAACUAAGUAGUAGGAGAUCAAUAUGAUAAAGAUAGACCCGGGGGCCAUAGGUUUCACUAGUGGCUUCUCUCGACAGCAUAAGUAUUCUACGGUGGGUGAACAAAUUAUUGUUGAGCAAUUGACAGAAUUGAGCAUAGUUAUGAGAAUAUCUAGGUAUGAUCAUGUAUAUAGGCAUCAUGUCCGAGACAAGUAGACCGACUCCUGCCUGCAUCUACUACUAUUACUCCACUCAUCGACCGCUAUCCAGCAUGCAUCUAGAGUAUUAAGUUAAAAACAGAGUAACGCCUUAAGCAAGAUGACAUGAUGUAGAGGGAUAGACUCAUGCAAUAUGAAGAAAACCCCAUCUUGUUAUCCUCGAUGGCAACAAUACAAUACGUGACUUGUUGCCCCUACUGUCACCGGGAAAGGACACCACAAGAUUGAACCCAAAGCUAAGCACUUCUGCCAUUGCAAGAAAGAUCAAUCUAGUAGGCCAAACCAAACUGAUAAUUCGAAGAGACUUGCAAAGAUAACCAAUCAUACAUAAAAGAAUUCAGAGAAGAUUCAAAUAUUGUUCAUAGAUAGACUUGAUCAUAAACCCACAAUUCAUCGUUCUCAACAAACACACCGCAAAAAGAAGAUUACAUCGAAUAGUUCUCCACAAGAGAGGGGGAGAACAUUGUAUUGAGAUCCAAAAAGAGAGAAGAAGCCAUCUAGCUACUAACUAUGGACCGGUAGGUCUGAGGUAAACUACUCACACUUCAUCGGGGAGGCUAUGGUGUUGAUGUAGAAGCCCUCCGUGAUUGAUGUCCCCUCCGGCGGAGCUCCGGAACAGGCCCCAAGAUGGGAUCUUGUGGAUACAGAAAGUUACAGUGGUGGAAUUAGGGUUUUGGCUCCGUAUCUGAUCGUUUGGGGGUACGUGGAUAUAUAUAGGAGGAAGGAGUACAUCGGUGGAGCAACAGGGGGCCCACGAGGGUGGAGGGCGCGCCUGGUGGGGGUGGGCGCGCCCCCUACCUCGUGGCCUCCUCUCUUGUGCCUUGAUGUAGGGUCCAAGUCUCCUGGGUCGUAUUCGUUGAGAAAAUCACAUUCCCGAAGGUUUCAUUCCAUUUGGACUCUGUUUGAUAUUUGUUUUCUUCGAAACCCUAAAACAGGCAAAAACAACAAUUCUGGGUUGGGCCUCCGGUUAAUAGGUUAGUCCCAAAAAUAAUAUAAAAGUGGAUAAUAAAUCCCAAUAAUGUCCAAAACAGUAGAUAAUAUAGCAUGGAGCAAUCAAAAAUUAUAGAUACGUUGGAGACGUAUCAAGCAUCCCCAAGCUUAAUUCCUGCUCGUCCUCGAGUAGGUAAAUGAUAAAAACAGAAUUUUUUAUGUGGAGUGCUACUUGGCAUAAUUUUAAUGUAAUUCUUCUUAAUUGUGGUAUGAAUAUUCAGAUCCGAAAGAUUCAAGACAAAAGUUCAUAUUGACAUAAAAAUAAUAAUACUUCAAGGAUACUAACAAAGCAAUUAUGUCUUCUCAAAAUAACAUGGCUAAAGAAAGUUAUCCCCACAAAAUCAUAUAGUCUGGCUAUGCUCUAUCUUCACCACACAAAAUAUUUAAAUCAUGCACAACCUCGAUGACAAGCCAAGCAAUUGUUUCAUACUUUUGACAUUCGCAAAACUUUUUCAAUUUUCACGCAAUACAUGAGCGUGAGCCAUGGACAUAGCACUAUAGGUGGAAUAGAAUGGUGGUUGUGGAGAAGACAAAAAGGGAGAAGAUAGUCUCACAUCAACUAGGCAUAUCAACAGGCUAUGGAGAUGCCCAUCAAUAGAUACGUAACACCCACGAUGCGGCUAUAUCUCCCACGUGUCGGAGCACGACUUAGAGGCAUAACCGCAUAGUAGGCAUGUCGCAAGAGGGGUAAUCUUUACACAUCCCAUGUACUGAAUAAGAAAGGGAUAAAGAGUUGGCUUACAAUCGCCACUUCACACAAUACAUAAGUAUAGCAUUACAACAUCCAGAAUACAAUCAUGGUCCGACUACGGAACCAAAAUAAAAUAAGACCACCCCUAAUGCUAGAUCCCCGAUCGCCCCGAAUGGGCUCCACUACUGAUCAACUGGAAACGAAACAACACAACGAACACAAUCUUCAUCAAGCUCCCACUUGAGCUCGGCUGCGACAUCUGCACUGGUAUCAACGGCACGUGCAACUGUUUUGGAAGUAAUCUUUGAGUCACGGGGACUCAGCAAUCUCACACCCGCGAGAUCAAGACUAUUUAAGCUUAUGGGUAGGAAAAGGCAGUGAGGUGGAGCUGCAGCAGGCACUAGCAUAUAUGGUGGCUAACUUACGCAAAAGAGAGCGAGAAGAGAAGCAAAGCACUGUCGUGAACUAGAAGUGAUCAAGAAGUGACCCUGAAACUACUUACGUUCAAGCAUAACACAAGAACCAUGUUCACUUCCCGGACUCUGCCGAGAAGAGACCAUCAUGGCUACACACGUGGUUGAUACAUUUUAAAUUAAGUUAGGUGUCAAGUUCUCUACAACCAGACAUUAACAAAUUCCCAUCUGCCCAUAACCGCGGUCACGACUUUUGAAAGUUCAAAACCCUGUAGGGGUGUCCCAACUUAGCCCAUCACAAGCUAUCACGGUCAAUGAAAGAUAUUCCUUCUCCCAGGAAGACCCGAUCAGACUCGGAAUCCCGGUUACAAGACAUUUCGACAAUGGUAAAACAAGACCAGCAAAGCCACCCAGAUGUGCCGACAAAUCCCGAUAGGAGCUGCACAUAUCUCGUUCUCAGGGCACACCGGAUGAGCAAGAUGUCGGGUUGGCAUAAACCCUGGUUGCCCAGGGGGCGCCGGACAUCGCUCAUGUUGGACCAACACUUAGAGAAGCACUGGCCGAGGGGGUUAAAAUAAAGAUGACCCUUGGGUUGGCCGACCCAAGGGAAGGGUAAUAGGUUGUUAGGCAAAUGUAAAACCAAGGUUGGGCCUUGCUGGAGGAGUUUUAUUCAAAGCAAACUGUCAAGGGGUUCCCAUUAUAACCCAACCGCGUAAGGAACACAAAAUCAAGGAACAUAACACCGGUAUGAUGGAAACUAGGGCGGCAAGAGUGGAACAAAACACCAGGCAUAAGGCCGAGCCUUCCACUCUUUACCAAGUAUAUAGAUGCAUUAAUUAAAAGAAGAGAUAUUGUGAUAUCCCAACAAAUCUCCAUGUUCCAACAUGGAACAAACUCCAUCUUCACCUGCAACUAACAACGCUAUAAGAGGGGCUGAGAAAAGCGGUAACAUAGCCAAACAACGGUUUGCUAGGACAAGGUGGGUUAGAGGCUUGACAUGGCAAUAUGGGGGGCAUGAUAUAGCAAGUGGUAGGUAUCGCGGCAUAGCAAUAGAUAGAGCAACUAGCAAGCAAAGAUAGAAGUGAUUUCGAGGGUAUGGUCAUCUUGCCUGAGAUCCCGCAAGGAAGAAGAACGAGUCCAAGAAGAAGGCAAACAGACGUAGUCGAACGAAUCCUCACAACUCCGGAUCAAAACUGAAGCUAACGAGAGAAGCAAACCGGAAAGAAACAAGCAACAUAGUAAACAACCAUCACCUCAACAUGGCAUGACGCACAACCAAGUAUGAUGCAUGUCCGGUUUAAUGAUUCAUGGCAUGGCAAAGUGCACAAACAAUACUACAAGUUAAGUGGAUCUCAAUAUGCAACGAGUUGCAUAUUGACGGAACACCACAACAAUUAUUUAGUUCACUCCCGGUUAGGUACCCUACAAUAUUAAAUGUUGUUAAACAUGGCAAGAGGUGAAACAUAAGUAAACUAAACCUCUAUCUAAACAAGUUUAAAUGAGGCCGAGACAAACAACAAUUCUGGUAAAUCCCCAUAUGCAUUUAGCAAUUUAAAGCAAACAACAAUUUUAAACAUUUUAAUUGUUGUUAUCAUGAUGCGGAUGACAUGUGAAAGUUUAUGCAGUUUUUAUUAAAAGUUGACGAGAGCAUUAUGAAACAUUUGUCACUGUGGUGGAAAGAAAAGGGGCCACGACGACGAAUCCGAAAAUGAUGCCACGGCACCAUAUCGGUUCCGGUAGCCACGGAGAUACCGGUGCAAAGGAAGCAAGGGUGCGGAUGUUCGGAACAUGCUAGAGAUGGUGGGGUGAUCCCGGAUUCCGGGUGUCCUACGAGUUGGCGACAAGGAAAUGAGUGAAAAUUUGGACACGGUGCAAACACGAGCAUCUUAAACAUCGCAAGCAUUCGUUCAUGGACGUCGUCUCGGGGUUAUACCUUCGAAGCGUGCAAACAAGACGGUUCGGGUUUGAUGGGACAUAGUGGUACUUUCGGUCCUUGGCGACGGAAGAGGUACAGACGUUCUCAAGGCACUUGUCGGUACGGACUUGGUGUAGUUGUACAUGGCAAAUGUAGUGGUACUCGGAGUCUUGUCAAACCCAAGCGACGGUAGUCGUACACGACGCAUUGUGGAAGUAGUUGUACUCGCGGACUUCGGCGACGGUAGUCGUUCAGGGUCUUGGCGGUUCGUCGUGUAGCCGUACAUGUUCGACGUGGUACACGGUUCGAAGUCGUGCAUGUCCCGUAGAUGUUCAGGGUCACCGUGAGGAACUUGUCGAAUCCAGGGUCUCAGUCGUCGGUGGUGGUACACGUUUCGAAGGUGAACUUGACAAACUCGAAUCCCUUCAGGGUUGUCGUGGUACUUGGGGUCUUCGGACCCGCCGGUCUCGUUCUUGUGACAAUAGUUGAACUUGAAGUUGUUGGUUCAUGGGUCUUCGGCGUCGGUAGUCGUACACAUAUCAUAGAGGAACUUGGUCUUGCGAAGAGGUACUUGACGGUAGUGGUACUUGACACGUUCGAGGGUCAUCAUGUCAUGGUACUUGGCAAAAUCCUCGGAGAAGGUGCUUGACGGUCCGGGUACGGGUCUUGGCGUGUCGUUCUUGCAAAUCCAAAACCCAGCGAGACGAAAGGACCUCAGGCGGGCAGCAGCAAGGAGGCGAUGGCGCACACACUGGACAUGGAUGCAGGGCGAGGAGAAGGCGCACAGCUCGGUGACGAGGAGGACCAGCGGGUACAGGGGUGGAGGUGACCAGCAGGAGGCGGUGCUGGGGAUGCUGGGGGUGGCCAGCGACGAUGCUGGGGCGUGGGAGGCCGCUUCCAGCACGGACGAGGCAAGGAGGAGGAGGCGCUGGCCUUGCCGAGGCCGGCAGCAGGCCGCGUUGGGACAGGAGGCCGACGAAGUCCUAGGGCGGCGCGGCAAACUGGGAGUAGAGGAAGGGGUCCGGCGAGUCCCGAGGGCGCAGGCGGGACUUGGCGGCAAGGCUUCGGCAGCAGGGAGGCGCAGCCAUAGCAGGGCCUGACGGUUCCGGACGGGGGCAGCACUUGACAGCGGAGGGCGACGCGAGGCAGAGGAGGAGCGAUCGUCGACCUGCUGGGCUCCGAUGGCACGGGAUGAGGGAGCAGGGCAGCGACCUGCAGGGUCGCCAGCGCGGGCGCCAUGGCCGGAGGAGCUCCGACGUCGGCAGCUGCGAGCUCCUCUCGAGCGGACGACGAAGUCUGGGGGAGGAAGCCGCGAGGUCUUCUGGGCAUUCGUGGCGGGGCAAAGCAGGGUGCGAGGUAGGAGAGGGCGUCGGGGAGGAUGGGAUCGAGGGAGUGGGUGAGGAGGCGGCGGGAGGAGGAACGAGGAGGGGAUCGAGCAGAGGCCUCUCUUGCGGCUAGGGUUAGAAAUGGUUCAGGUGGGCCGGCCCAGAGUUAGGACAGGAAGGGGGUAAGCUGGCCUCGGUGGGACAGUGGGGAAGCGGGCCGGCCUAGCUCUAAGGCCCAAGUGCCCAGCUGGGCUUCUCUCUCUCCCUUACUCUAAAGAACAAAAAAAUAGAGAUAUGAAAGAAAAAGAAAGAGAGGUUAGGGGAAAAGUUGGACAUGUGGAUAAAUUCCCUGGACUCAUAAAAAUAUGAGGAAUUUAAAUAAAAUGGCGAAAGGAAUUUUAGAGAGAAUAAAGUUCACACAAAGGAACAUGUCUGAAUUUUUGAAGCCCAUUUGAAAAGGCUCUAAACGGGCUGAGAUUUGAGGAGAUGAUCCCACACAUUAGAUGUGAUUUAUGGGGAAAUUUGGGACAUUUAUGGAUGGAUUAAAAUUGCAACCCAAUUCUACUAAAAGGCCCCAAAGGAAGAAAUGAAGUUGAGUUGGAUAAAAGAAAUUUCAAGAACGGUGCAAAUGUGUUAUGGGUGAUUCCAAGACAAUGGAAUGGUUUUAUAUAGCUCCCUAAAUAUUGGGAGGAUAUGUUUUAAAGAGAAACCACCAUGUGAAUUCCCUCGAUUUAAAUAGAUCGAAAGAUCUAUGCAAUUUAUUUAGUUGAGUUGAGAUGCAAAGAUUAAUGACAUGUUGGCAUGAUGACAUGAUGCAAUGCACAAGAUGCAAUGAUGAAUGCAACAAACCAACAACUCACAUGACGAAACUCGGAAAAACAUGGAAGGCGUCUGAAGCACUGGUCUUGGGGCAUCACAAGAUAUCAAUGUGAGUGAGUAGGGAUUGGCAUGCAACGGGUGCACUAGAGCUAUAAGUAUAUGAAAGCUCAAAAAGAAACUAAGUGGGUGUGCAUCCAACUUGCUUGCUCAUGAAGACCUAGGGCAUUUUGAGGAAGCCCAUCAUUGGAAUAUACAAGCCAAGUUCUAUAAUGAAAGAUUCGCACUAGUAUAUGAAAGUGAUAACAUGAGAGACUCUCUACUAUGAAGAUCAUGGUGCUACUUUGAAGCACAAGUGUGGUAAAAGGAUAGUAACAUUGUCCCUUCUCUCUUUUUCUCUCAUUUUUUUAUUUUUUUAUUUGGGCCUUUUUUAUGGCCUAUUUUCUUUCUCUUUUUUUCGUCCGGAGUCUCAUCCCAACUUGUGGGGGAAUCAUAGUCUCCAUCAUCCUUUCCUCACUGGGACAAUGCUCUAAUAAUGAUGAUCAUCACACUUUUAUUUUUCUUACAACUCAACAAUUACAACUCGAUACUUAGAACAAAAUAUGACUCCAUAUGAAUGCCUCCGGCGGUGUACCGGGAUAUGCAAUGACUCAUGAGUGACAUGUAUGAAAGAAUUAUGAAUGGUGGCUUUGCCACAAAUAUGAUGUCAACUACACGAUCAUGCUAAGCAAUAUGACAAUGAUGGAGUGUGUCAUAAUAAACGGAACGGUGGAAAUUGCAUGGCAAUAUAUCUCGGAAUGGCUAUGGAAAUGCCAUAAUAGGUAGGUAUGGUGGCUGUUUUGAGGAAGGUAUAUGGUGGGUGUAUGAUACCGGCGAAAGGUGCGCGGUAUUAGAGAGGCUAGCAAAGGUGGAAUGGUGAGAGUGUGUAUAAUCCAUGGACUCAACAUUAUUCAUAAAGAACUCAUAUACUUAUUACAAAAAUCUACAAGUUAUCAAAGCAAAGUAUUACGCGCAUGCUCCUAGGGGGAUAGAUUGGUAGGAAAAGACCAUCGCUCGUCCCCGACCGCCACUCAUAAGGAAGGCAAUCAAAAAAUAAAUCAUGCUCCGACUUCAUCACAUAACGGUUCACCAUACGUGCAUGCUACGGGAAUCACAAGCUUCAACACAAGUAUUUCUCAAAUUCACAACUACUCAACUAGCAUGACUUUAACAUCACCAUCUCCAUAUCUCAAAACAAUUAUCAAGUAUCAAACUUAUCAUAGUAUCCAACACACUCAUAAGAAAGUUCUAUUACUAAUCUUGUGUACCAAGCAUAUUAGGAUUUUAAGAAAAUUACCAUGCUAUUAAGACUCUCAAAAUAAUCUAAGUGAAGCAUUAGAGAUCAAUAGUUUCUAUAAAACAAAUCCACCACCAUGCUCUAAAAGAUAUAAGUGAAGCACAAGAGCAAAACUAUAUAACUCAAAAGAUAUAAGUGAAGCACAUAGAGUAUUCUAACAAAUUCCAAAUCAUGUAUGGCUCUCUCAAAAGGUGUGUACAGAAAUAAUGAUUGUGUUAAACUAACAAAUAAAGACUCAAAUAAUACAAGACGCUCCAAGCAAAACACAUAUCAUGUGGCGAAUAAAAAUAUAGCUCCAAGUAAAGUUACCGAUAGAAGUAGACGAAAGAGGGGAUGCCUUCCAGGGCAUCCCCAAGCUUUGGCUUUUAGGUGUCCUUAGAUUAUAUUGGGGGUGCCAUGGGCAUCCCCAAGCUUAGGCUCUUGCCACUCCUUGUUCCAUAAUCCAUCAAAUCUUUACCCAAAACUUGAAAACUUCACAACACAAAACUUAAAGUAGAAAAUCUUGUGAGCUGCGUUAGCGAAAGAAAAUAAAAGACCACUUCAAGGUACUGUAAUGAACUCAUUCUUUAUUUAUAUUGGUGUUAUACCUACUGUAUUCCAACUUCUCUAUGGUUUAUAAACUAUUUUACUAGCCAUAGAUUCAUCAAAAUAAGCAAUCAACACACGAAAAACAGAAUCUGUCAAAAAAAAAGAACAGUCUGUAGUAAUCUGUAGCUAGCGCAAGAUCUGGAACCCCAAAACUUCUAAAAUAAAUUGCUGGACGUGAGGAAUUUAUCUAUUAAUCAUCUGCAAAAAUAAUUAACUAAAUAUCACUCUCCAAAUAAAAAUGGAAGCAGUUCUCGUGAGCGCUAAAGUUUCUGUUUUUUGCAGCAAGUUCAACAAGACUUUCCCCAAGUCUUCCCAACGGUUCUACUUCGCACAAACACUAAUUAAACACAAAAAACACAACCUAAACAGAGGCUAGAUAAAUUAUUUAUUACUAAACAGGAGCAAAAAUCAAGGAAUAAAAAUAAAAUUGGGUUGCCUCCCAACAAGCACUAUCGUUUAACGCCCAUAGCUAGGCAUAACAAGCAAGAAUAGAUCUAGGUAUUGCCAUCUUUGGUAUUAGGAAAGAAAAGAGAAAACUUGCUAUCUAUAGAAUUAAUCCUUCUAUUUUGAUAAAGCACAUGGCUAUUAAUGGUAGAAGAAAGAUUAAGUAUGUUACGGAAAUUUGUAUCUAGGCUAGACUUUAUCUAUUUAAUAGAUUCAUUUUGGUAAGAGAGCAAAAGAGAUGUAGAUUCAACUUUCUCAUUCAUGGGGUGCCCAAAUAUAGUUUUCAUUUUUUCAUAAGUGUCUACGACAUCCCCUUCAAAAAAACCUUCUUCAAAUAUAGAAUCUAAUACAUGCUUAAAAGAAGAAAGAAGGGCAAUAUAGAAGCUUUUUAAGUAAACUUCUAUUUGAUAUUGAGGAACAUAACUAGCCCUGAUCCUUAAUAGUCUAUACCAAGCAUCUUUCAAAGAUUCAUCAAGUAAAUAACGAAAAAUUCCAGAAUCAUCUUCAUCAAAAUUAUUAAGACUCUCAUUGAUAACUCCAGUAGGUUUUUCCCUAGUAUUCUUAUUUAUAAGCUUAGCAAGAAUACAAGGGUUAUCCAAAGUACUAAAACUCUGGAGAGAACCCCCAACCCUUUUUGAUUCAGACAUGGCGGAAGAAAGGCGAGCGGAAAGAGAGGGUGGAUGGAGAGAGAGAGAGGGCGAAUAAAACGGCAAGGGUGAAGUGGGGGAGAGGAAAACUAGAGGCAAAUGGCAAAUAAUGUAAUGCGGGAGAUAAGGGUAUGUGAUGGGUACUUGGUAUAUUGACUUUUGCGUAGGCCUCCCCGACAACGGUGCCAGAAAUCCUUCUUGCUACCUCUUGAGCACUGCGUUGGUUUUCCCCGAAGAGGAAGGGAUGAUGCAGCAAAGUAGCGUAAGUAUUUCCCUCAGUUUUUGAGAACCAAGGUAUCAAUCCAGUAGGAGGCUACGCGCGAGUCCCUCGUACCUGCACAAAACAAACAAAUCCUCGCAACCAACGCAAAUAGGGGUUGUCAAUCCCUAUAAGGCCACUUAUGAGAGUGAGAUCUGAUAGAUAUGAUAAGAUAAGAUUUUUGGUAUUUUUGUGAUAAAGAUGCAAAGUAAAAUAAAGGCAAAGUAAAUAGCAAAGGAAAUAACUAAGUAGUAGGAGAUCAAUAUGAUAAAGAUAGACCCGGGGGCCAUAGGUUUCACUAGUGGCUUCUCUCGACAGCAUAAGUAUUCUACGGUGGGUGAACAAAUUAUUGUUGAGCAAUUGACAGAAUUGAGCAUAGUUAUGAGAAUAUCUAGGUAUGAUCAUGUAUAUAGGCAUCACGUCCGAGACAACUAGACCGACUCCUGCCUGCAUCUACUACUAUUACUCCACUCAUCGACCGCUAUCCAGCAUGCAUCUAGAGUAUUAAGUUAAAAACAGAGUAACGCCUUAAGCAAGAUGACAUGAUGUAGAGGGAUAGACUCAUGCAAUAUGAAGAAAACCCCAUCUUGUUAUCCUCGAUGGCAACAAUACAAUACGUGACUUGUUGCCCCUACUGUCACCGGGAAAGGACACCGCAAGAUUAAACCCAAAGCUAAGCACUUCUCCCAUUGCAAGAAAGAUCAAUCUAGUAGGCCAAACCAAACUGAUAAUUCAAAGAGACUUGCAAAGAUAACCAAUCAUACAUAAAAGAAUUCAGAGAAGAUUCAAAUAUUGUUCAUAGAUAGACUUGAUCAUAAACCCACAAUUCAUCGUUCUCAACAAACACACCGCAAAAAGAAGAUUACAUCGAAUAGUUCUCCACAAGAGAGGGGGAGAACAUUGUAUUGAGAUCCAAAAAGAGAGAAGAAGCCAUCUAGCUACUAACUAUGGACCGGUAGGUCUGAGGUAAACUACUCACACUUCAUCGGGGAGGCUAUGGUGUUGAUGUAGAAGCCCUCCGUGAUCGAUGUCCCCUCCGGCGGAGCUUCGGAACAGGCCCCAAGAUGGGAUCUUGUGGAUACAGAAAGUUACAGUGGUGGAAUUAGGGUUUUGGCUCCGUAUCUGAUUGUUUGGGGGUACGUGGAUAUAUAUAGGAGGAAGGAGUACAUCGGUGGAGCAACAGGGGGCCCACGAGGGUGGAGGGCGCGCCUGGUGGGGGUGGGCGCGCCCCCUACCUCGUGGCCUCCUCUCUUGUUCCUUGACUUAGAGUCCAAGUCUCCUGGGUCGUAUUUGUUGAGAAAAUCACAUUCCCGAAGGUUUCAUUCCAUUUGGACUCCGUUUGAUAUUCGUUUUCUUCGAAACCCUAAAACAGGCAAAAACAACAAUUCUGGGCCAGGCCUCCGGUUAAUAGGUUAGUCCCAAAAAUAAUAUAAAAGUGGAUAAUAAAUCCCAGUAAUGUCCAAAACAGUAGAUAAUAUAGCAUGGAGCAAUCAAAAAUUAUAGAUACGUUGGAGACGUAUCAGACAUGUGCGUGAAAGUUUGAGCCCUUGUGUCGUCCCGGUCAUUCUUGUGCCAAAACGAGACGGUAGCUUUCGCAUGUGCUCCGAUUGUAGAGCUAUCAAUGCUAUUACCGUUCGUCAUAGGUAUCCCAUUCCACGCCUUGAUGAUAUGCUUGAUGAACUUAGUGGUGCCACUAUCUUUUAAAAAAAUUAUCUUAAGAGUGGUUACUAUCAAAUCCGCAUACAAGAGGGUGAUAAAUGGAAAACUGCUUUCAAAACCAAGUUCGGGUUGUAUGAUGGUUAGUCAUGCCUAUGGGUUUAUCGAAAGCACCGGGUACUUUUAUGCGUCUUAUGAAUCAUGUCUUUCACCCUUACAUUGGUGUGUUUGUUGUGGUCUACUUCGAUGAUAUCCUUGUUCAUAGCAAAUCUCUUCAAGAUCAUGUCACCCAUGUUCGAACCGUUUUACAAACUCUUCGAAAUAAGAAUCUCUUUGCUAACAUGGAAAAGUGCCUCUUCGGCGUGGAUAAGCUCGUUUUCUUGGGUUUUGUUGUUUCUUCUAACGGUGUUCAUGUUGAUGACUCCAAGAUCAAUGCUAUUAAAACUUGAGCACAACCAACAGACUUGCAUCAAGUGCAUAUCUUUCUUGGCCUUGCGGGUUUCUAUCGUCGCUUUGUGAAAUAUUUUAGCACCAUUGCUUUGCCUUAGCAUGCUUUGAGCAAGAAGAAUGUGCCUUUUGUUUGGGGACCAUCCCAAGAUGCCGCUUUCAAUGAGCUUAAGAAUUUGCUAACUCAUGCUCUCGUGCUUGCAUUACCCAACUUUGACAAACCCUUUGAGAUUCAUUGCGAUGCUAGUGGUAAUGGCAUAAGAGGUGUCUUAACGCAAGAGAAGCGGCUCAUAGCUUACUUUUGUGAGAAACUUUCCAGAGCGCAACUCAAUUACCCCAUAUAUGACAAAGAGCUCUAUGCCUUAGUGCGCGUUUUGCAUGAAUGGGAACACUAUCUUCGCCCUCAUGAAUUCAUCAUUCAUACUAUCAUGAAAUGCUCAAAUAUCUUAAGGGCCAAACCAAGUUAAACAAGCGUCAUGCUAAAUGGAGUGAAUUUAUUGAGUCUUUUCCUUAUGUUGUCAAAAGAUUAAAGGCAAGGAAAAUAUUGUGGCGGAUGCCCUCUCCCGCAUAUGCAUGCUUGUUACUCAACUUGAAUUGGAUGUCAUUGGAUUUGAUCAUAUAAAAUACUUCUAUGAGCAUGAUCCUAGUUUUGCUAUUCCUUAUGCCAAAUGUUUGACGCAUACAUCUUGGGAAUGCUAUUACAUCAAAGAUAGAUAUCUUAUGAGAGCUAACAAGGUUUGCAUCCCUGAGUCUUCUCUUCAUUUGUUGCUUUUGCAGGAAUCUCAUGUAGGAGGCUUAAUGGGACAUUUUGGACGCGACAAGACUUUCGCCACGCUUUCCAAGAACUACUAUUGGCCCAAGAUGUUUCGCGAUGUCAACCGCUUCACCAAUCGAUGCUCUACAUGUCGCAAAGCUAAGUCUAAAUCUCAAUCCCAUGGCCUUUACGUGCCUCUCCCAAUUCCAUAUCAACCAUGUGAAGACAUUAGCAUGGAUUUUGUACUUGGAUUUCCUAGGGCUAGAAAUGGAAAGGAUUCGGUAUUUGUCAUUGUGGACCAUUUCUCUAAGAUGGCCCAUUUCAUUCCUUGCAACAAGAUAGAUGAUGCUUCACAUGUUGCUAAUCUCUUUUGUAGGGAAAUAUUGCGUCUACACGGAGUGCCAAAGACGAUCAUCUCGGACCGCGAAGUCAAGUUCUUUAGCUACUUUUGGAAGACCCUAUGCGCCAAGCUCGGAAUCAAGCUACUCUUCUCCAUGGCGUAUCAUCCACAAACAGACGGCCAAACGGAGGUGACCAACUGCACAUUCUCCACUCUACUUCGAGUACUCAUCAAGAUGAACAUCAAGGAGUGGGAGGAGUGCCUACCUAUAACCGAGUUUGCCUACGACCGAGCAAGACACUCAACAACCGGCAAGUCCCCCUUCGAGGUCGUCUACAGAUUCAACCCAUUGUCACCAUUGGACAUCCUCCCUCUACCACUACAAGAGCGCAUCAAUUUGGACGCAAGUGCAUGUGUGAAUCAUCUCAAGAAGGUGCAUGAAGGUACAAGGCAAACCAUCGAGCGCCAAGUACAAUGCCUUGCUGAUACGUCUUCAACGUAUCUAUAAUUUUUGAUUGCUCCAUGCUAUAUUAUCUACUGUUUUGGACAUUAUUGGGCUUUAUUAUCCACUUUUAUAUUAUUUUUGGGACUAACCUAUUAACCGGAGGCCCAGCCCACAAUUGUUGUUUUUUUGCCUAUUUUAGGGCUUCGAAGAAAAGGAAUAUCAAACGGAGUCCAAACAGAAUGAAACCUUCGGGAACGUGAUUUUCUCACCGAACAUGAUCCAGGAGACUAGGACCCAACAUCAAGAAACAAAGGAGGAGGCCACAAGGUAGGGGGGCGCGCCUACCCCCCCCCCCCCUCGGCGUGCCCUCCACCCUCGUGGGCCCCCUGUUGCUCCACCGACGUACUCCUUCCUCCUAUAUAUACCUACGUACCCCCAAACGAUCUGAUACGGAGCCAAAACCCUAAUUCCACCGCCGCAACUUUCUAUAUUCACGAGAUCCCAUCUUGGGGCGUGUUCCAGAGCUCCGCCGGAGGGGGCAGCCAUCACGGAGGGCUUCUAUAUCAACACCAUAGCCUCUUCGAUGAAGUGUGAGUAGUUUACCUCAGACCUUCGGGUCCAUAGUUAUUAGCUAGAUGGCUUCUUCUCUCUUUUUGGAUCUCAAUACAAUGUUCUCCCCCUCUCUUGUGGAGAUCUAUUCGAUGUAAUCUUCUUUUUAUGGUGUGUUUGUUGAGAUCGAUGAAUUGUGGGUUUAUGAUCAAGAUUAUCUAUGAAAAAUAUUUGAAUCUCCUCUGAAUUUUUUUAUGUAUGACUGGUUAUCUUUGCAAGUCUCUUCGAAUUAUUAGUUUGGUUUGGCCUACUAGAUUGAUCUUUCUUGCAAUGGGAUAAGUACUUAGCUUUGGGUUCAAUCUUGCGGUGUCCUUUCCCAGUGACAGUAGGGGCAGCAAGGCACGUAUUGUAUUGUUGCCAUCGAGGAUAACAAGAUGGGUUCUUUUAUCAUAUUGCUUGAAUCUAUCCCUCUACAUCAUGUCAUCUUGCUUAAGGCAUUACUCUAUUUUAUGAACUUAAUACUCUAGAUGCAGGCUGGAUAGCGGUCGAUGAGUGGAGUAAUAGUAGUAGAUGCAGGCAGGAGUCGGUCUACUUGUCUCGGACGUGAUGCCUGUAUACAUGAUCAUACCUAGAUAUUCUCAUAACUAUGCUCAAUUCUGUCAAUUGCUCAACAGUAAUUCGUUCACCCACCGUAAAAUACUUAUGCUCUUGAGAGAAGCCACUAGUGAAACCUAUGGCCCCGGGUCUAUCUUCAUCAUAUUAAUCUUCCAAUACUUAGUUAUUUCUUUUGCUUUUUUACUUUGCUUUUAUUUCACUUUGCAUCUCUAUCAUAAAAAUACCAAAAAUAUUAUCUUAUCAUAUCUAUCAAAUCUCACUCUCGUAGUGACCGUGAAGUGAUUAACAACCCCUUAUCGCGUUGGUUGCGAGGAGUUAUUUGUUUUGUGCAGGUACGAGGGACUUGCGCGUAGCCUCCUACUGGAUUGAUACCAUGGUUCUCAAAAACUGAGGGAAAUACUUACGCUACUUUGCUGCAUCACCCUUUCCUCUUCAAGGAAAUCCAACGCAGUGCUCAAGAGGUAGCAGAGAAGAUUUCUGGCGCCGUUGCCGGGGAGUCUACGCAAAAGUCAACAUACCAAGUACCCAUCACAUACCCUUAUCUCCCGCAUUACAUUAUUUGCCAUUUGCCUCUCAUUUUCCUCUCCCCCCACUUCACCCUUGCCAUUUUGUUCGCCCUCUCUCUCUCUAUCCUCCAUCUCUUCGUCUAUUUUCCUCUUUCCCCUCGCCAUGUCAGAACAAAAAAGAAUUUGGGGUUCUCUCCCAAGUUCUAGUGCUUUAGACAAUCCUGCUAUCUUAUCUAAACUCAUAAAUCGGAAUGCUAUGGAACAACUUGCCGAAGUUAUCAAUGAGAACCUUAGUAAUUUUGAUGAAGAUGAUUCUGGAAUUUUUCAUUAUUUACUUGAUGAAUCUUUGAAAGAUGCUUGGGAUAGGCUGUUAAGGAUCUGGGCUAGCCAUGUACCCCGGUAUCAAAUUGAGGUUUACUUAAAAAGCUUUAUUGUUGGACUGCCCGCUUCGUUCAAACAAGUUUUAGAUUCUAUAUUAGAGGGGGGUUUUCUUGAAGGGGGCCCCAUAGAUACCUAUGAGAGGAUGAAAACUAUAUUUGGGCACCCCAUUAACGAGAAAGCUGAAAUCACAUCUCUCUUGCUUUCUACCAAAACGAUUCUAUGAAAGAGAUAAAAGCUAGCCUAAAUGCCAAUUUCUGCAAUACUCUUAAUCUUUCUUCUACCAUUAAUGGAAAUGUACUUUGUAAAAAUAGAAAGAUUAAUUCCAUAGAUAACAAGUUUGCUCUCUUUUUCCCUAAAACCAAAGAUGGCAAUACCUAGAUCUAUCCAUGUUAUGCCUAGCUAGGGGCGUUAAACGAUAGCGCUUGUUGGGAGGCAACCCAAUUUUAUUUUUAUUCCUUGCUUUUUGCUCCUUUUUAGUAAUAAAUAAUUUGUCUAGCCUCUGUUUUGGUUGUGUGUUUUUUGUGUUUAAUUAGUGUUUGUGCCAAGUAGAACCGUUGGGAAGACUUGGGGAAAGUCUUGUUAAUCAUGCUGUAAAAACAGAAACUUUAGCGCUCACGAGAACUGCUGCCAUUUUUAUUUGGAAAGUGAUAUUUAGUUAAUUAUUUUUGCAGAUUAUUAAUAGAUAAAUUACUCACAUCCACAAAUUUAUUUUAUAAUUUUUUGGGGGUUCCAGAUCUUGCGCUAGCUACAGAUUACUACAGACUGUUCUCUUUUUGACAGAUUCUAUUUUUCGCGUGUUGUUUGCUUAUUUUGAUGAAUCUAUGGCUAGUAAAAUAGUUUAUAAACCAUAGAGAAGUUGCAAUACAGUAGGUUUAACACCAAUAUAAAUAAAUAAUGAGUUAAUUACAGUACCUUGAAGUGGUCUUUUUUUUCUUUCGCUAACGGAGCUCACGAGAUUUUCUUCUUUGAGUUUUGUGUUGUGAAGUUUUCAAGUUUUGGGUAAAGAUUUGAUGGAUUAUGGAACUAGGAGUGGCAAGAGCGUAAGAUUGGGGAUGCCCAUGGCACCCCCAAUAUGAUCUAAGGACACCUAAAAGCCAAAGCUUGGGGAUGCCCCGGAAGGCAUCCCCUCUUCCGUCUACUUCUAUCGGUAACUUUACUUGGAGCUAUAUUUUUAUUCACCACAUGAUAUGUGUUUUGCUUGGAGCGUCUUGUAUGAUUUGAGUAUUUGCUUUUUAGUUUACCACAAUCAUCCUUGUUGUACACACCUUUUGAGAGAGCCAUACAUGAUUUGGAAUUUGUUAGAAUACUCUAUGUGGUUCGCUUAUAUCAUUUGAGUUAUAUAGUUUUGCUCUAGUACUUCACUUAUAUUUUUUAGAGCACGGUGGUGGAUUUGUUUUAUAGAAACUAUUGAUCUCUCAUUCUUCACUUAGAUUAUUUUCAGAGUCUUAAAUAGCAUGGUAAUUUGCUUAAAUAAUCCUAAUAUGCUUGGUAAUCAAAGAAUAAAAACUUUCUUAUGAGUGUGUUGAAUACUAUGAGAAGUUUGAUACUUGAUAAUUGUUUUGAGAUAUGAAGAUGAUGAUAUUAAAGUUGUGCUAGUUGAGUAGUUGUGAAUUUGAGAAAUACUUGUGUUAAAGUUUGUGAUUCCCGUAGCAUGCAUGUAUGGUGAACCGUUAUGUGAUGAAGUCGGAGCAUGAUUUAUUAUUUAAUUGUCUUCCUUAUGAGUGGCGGUCGGGACGAGCGAUGGUCUUUUCCUACCAAUCUAUCCCCCUAGGAGCAUGCGUGUAAUACUUUGCUUUGACAACUUGUAGAUUUUUGCAAUAAGUAUAUGAGUUCUUUAUGACUAAUGUUGAGUCCAUGGAUUAUAUGCACUUUUCUUCCUUCCACCAUUGCUAGCCUCUCUAAUACCGUGCACCUUUUGCCGGUAACAUACACCCACCAUAUACCUUCCUCAAAACAGCCACCAUACCUACCUAUUAUGGCAUUUCCAUAGCCAUUCCGAGAUAUAUUGCCAUGCAACUUUCCACCGUCCCGUUUAUUAUGACACACUCCAUCAUUGUCAUAAUGCUUAGCAGGAUCAUGUAGUUGACAUCGUAUUUGUGGCAAAGCCACCAUUCAUAAUUCUUUCAUACAUGUCACUCUAGAUUCAUUGCAUAUCCCGGUACACCGCCCAAGGCAUUCAUAUAGAGUCAUUUCUUGUUCCAAGUAUCAAGUUGUAAUUGUUGAAUUGUAAGAAAAUAAAAGCAUGAUGAUCAUCAUUAUUAGAACAUUGUCCCAGUGAUGAAAGAAUGAUGGAGACUAUGAUUUCCCCACAAGUCGGGAUGAGAUUCCGGACAAAAAAAGAGGCCAUAAAAAAGAGAAAGGGCCCAAAUAAAAAAAUGAGAGAAGGGACAAUGUUACUAUCCUUUACCACACUUGUGCUACAAAGUAGCACCAUGAUAUUCAUGAUAGAGAGUCUCUCAUUGCGUCACUUUCAUAUACUAGUGGGAAUUUUUCAUUAUAGAACUUGGCUUGUAUGUUCCAAUGAUGGGCUUCCUCAAAAUGCCCUAGAUCUUCUUGAGCAAGCAAGUUGGAUGCACACCCACUUAGUUUCUUUUGUUGAGCUUUCAUAUACUUAUUACUCUAGUGCAUCCGUUGCAUGGCAAUCCCUACUCACUCACAUUGAUAUCUAUUGAUGGGCAUCUCCAUAGCCCGUUAAUACGCCUAGUUGAUGUGACACUAUCUUCCCCUUUUUGUCUUCUCCACAACCACCAUUCUAUUCCACAUAUAGUGCUAUAUCCAUGUCUCACGCUCAUGUAUUGCGUGAAGAUUGAAAAAGUUUGAGAAUGUCAAAAGUAUGAAACAAUUGCUUGGCUUGUCAUCGGGGUUAUGCAUGAUUUGAAUAUUUUGUGUGAUGAAGAUAGAGCAUAGCCAGACUAUAUGAUUUUGUAGGGAUAACUUUCUUUGGCCAUGUUAUUUUGAGAAGACAUGAUUGCUUUGUCAGUAUGCUUGAAGUAUUAUUAUUCUUAUGUCAAUAUUAAACUUUUAUCUUGAAUCUUUUGAAUCUGAAUAUUCAUAACACAAUUAAGAAGAAUUACAUUAAAAUUAUGACAAGUAGCACUCCACAUCAAAAAUUAUCUUUUUUUAUCAUUUACCUACUCGAGGACGAGCAAGAAUUAAGCUUGGGGAUGCUUGAUACGUCUCCAACCUAUCUAUAAUUUUUGAUUGCUCCAUGCUAUAUAUCUACUGUUUUGGACAUUAUUGGGCUUUAUUAUCCACUUUUAUAUUAUUUUUGGGACUAACCUAAUAACCGGAGGCCCAGCCCAGAAUUGUUGUUGUUUUUGCCUAUUUUAGGGUUUCGAAGAAAAGGAAUAUCAAACGGAGUCCAAACGGAAUGAAACCUUCGGGAACGUAAUUUUCUCACUGAACAUGAUCCAGGAGACUUGGACCCUACGUCAAGAAACAAAGGAGGAGGCCACGAGGUAGGGGGUGCGCCUACCUCCCCCCCCCCCCAGGCGCGCCCUCCACCCUCGUGGGCCCCCUGUUGCUCCACCGACGUACUCCUUCCUCCUAUACAUGCCUACGUACCCCCAAACGAUCAGAUACGGAUCCAAAACCCUAAUUCCACCACCGCAACUUUUUGUAUCCACGAGACCCCAUCUUGGGGCCUGUUCCGGAGCUCCGCCAGAGGGGGCAUCCAUCACGGAGGGCUUAUACAUCAACACCAUAGCCUCUCCGAUGAAGUGUGAGUAGUUUGCCUUAGACCUUCGGGUCUAUAGUUGUUAGCUAGAUGGCUUCUUCUCUCUUUUUGUACCUCAAUACAAUGUUCUCCCCCUCUCUUGUGGAGAUCUAUUCGAUGUAAUCUUCUUUUUGCGGUGUGUUUGUUGAGACCGAUGAAUUGUGGGUUUCUGAUCAAGAUUAUCUAUGAACAAUAUUUGAAUCUUCUCUGAAUUCUUUUAUGUAUGAUUGGUUAUCUUUGCAAGUCUCUUCGAAUUAUCAGUUUGGUUUGGCCUACUAAAUUGAUCUUUCUUGCAAUGGGAGAAGUGCUUAGCUUUGGGUUCAAUCUUGCGGUGUCCUUUCCCAGUGAUAGUAGGGGCAGCAAGGCACGUAUUGUAUUGUUGCCAUCGAGGAUAACAAGAUGGGUUUUUUAUCAUAUUGCAUGAAUUUAUCCCUCUACAUCAUAGCAUCUUGCUUAAGGUGUUACUCUGUUUUCAUGAACUUAAUACUCUAGAUGCAUGCUGGAUAGCGGUCGAUGAGUGGAGUAAUAGUAGUAGAUGCAGGCAGGAGUCGGUCUACUUGUGUCGGAUGUGAUGCCUAUAUACAUGAUCAUGCCUAGAUAUUCUCAUAACUAUGCUCAAUUCCGUCAAUUGCUCAACAGUAAUUCGUUCACCCACCGUAAAAGACAUAUGCUCUUGAGAGAAGCCACUAGUGAAACCUAUGGCCGCCGGGUCUAUCUUCAUCAUAUUGAUCUUCCAAUACUUAGUUAUUUCCUUUGCUUUUAUUUCACUUUGCAUCUCUAUCAUAAAAAUACCAAAAAUAUUAUCUUAUCAUAUCUAUCAGAUCUCACUCUCGUAAGUGGUCGUGAAGGUAUUGACAACCCCUUAUCGCAUUGGUUGCGAGGAGUUAUUUGUUUUGUGCAGGUAUGAGGGACUCGCGCGUAGCCUCCUACUGGAUUGAUACCUUGGUUCUCAAAAACAAAGGGAAAUACUUACGCUACUUUGUUGCAUCACCCUUUCCACUUCAAGGAAAUCCAACGUAGUGCUCAAGAGGUAGCACUUGCGACCAAUCUCAACUUCAACAAGCAACCAAUGGUAUUCAACAUUGGAGAUCUCGUGUGGCUACACCUUCGCAAGGACCGCUUUCCCCAAAAAUGCAAGUCAAAACUUUGACCACGAGCGGAUGGACCCAUCAAGGUGCUGGCACGCGACCUCUCGCCCUUCCUUAGUGAUGAAGAAUUUGAUCCGAGGACGGAUCUUCCCCAAACUUCCCCAUGGACCUACCACCGUCUCACCAAGUGCCUAGCGGACCCAUGACAUGAGCACAUGCAAGUGCUCUCGAAACCGAGGUGACAUCUCUCCUCUCACACUUCCACUUCGAUACACAUGAGACAUGGUUACUACCUCAAACGGAGACAUUGUGCAUACUCAGGUAUCUAGGAGUUGUCCAUGAAGAAGCUAAGGAGCAAGGAGAAGAAGAAGAGGAAGAUGGACGUGAAGACAGAGAAGAAGAAGAGAUGCGGAAGAAGCUACAGGCUCCGGACGACCGACCAGGACCGGACGUCCGAUGAUUUCUAGGCUCUGGAUGUCCGACCCAGACUGGACGUCUAGCACCUCCUCACCCGAGCCAAAACGAUGGAAUUCUGAGGCCUCCCAGACGACCGACCCCGACCGGACGUCCGACCGAAGCACACCCGAGCCGAAUCUACGGACGUCCAACGGGCACCGGAUGUCCGGACCCUCGCGAGCCUCCGGGCGACCGUUGACUCCCUGACGUCCGACGCCUAUGUGUUGCCAUGAGUUGGGCCACAGCCCAUGUAUCCCCCACUUCGCCCCCUUUUGCACUAAGGCUAUAAAUAGACCUCCUAUUCCUUCUAACUAGGGUUAGCAUUGGUUUAGCUCAUUUUAGAGAUAGAGCAUUGCUCAUCCACAUUGGAUCUACUCCACGAGAGAGACCGCGGCCCCUCUUCGGAGAAGAUCCCUUUGGAUUCAAGACCUCCUUGCGGAUAAGAACAUCAAGACCUCCUCACGGAGAAGACCGGCUGCCUUUGUAUCGUCCUUAGUUGUCCGUGGAUCGUGUGAUCUCUUAUGUACUUGAGGAUCUAGCAGAUGUGUGACUAUUUCGUGUUGGUUUAGUGAUUUUCUCGUGUUUCCUCUCGUGUUUCUCCUCGUUUUCCCCCUUGUGUUCUUCGUGUUCAUCGCGGGAUCCGCUGCUUUCAUGAAAGAUCGGCUGAUUAGGGUUCUACCCUACAUCAUCUUGGUAUCUAGAGCCACGUCGAUCAUGAUUUCGGAGCCUCCCUGUUGUGUUGCUAGCCUAGUUUUUGUUGAUUUCGUCCCUCAUUUGAAAAUUCCCCACAAAAAUAGCCCCAAUUUUUUUGUGAUUUGUUGGUGUGUUGAAAUUUUUUUGGAUUUGAUCCGUGGAUUUGCUUAGCCUUGAGUGGAUCUACCUUUUCCCCCUUGUCUUCCCACCUCUUCCAUCCACGAAAUUGCCCGGAUUCAACGAAUUUCGACAUCUCCACCUCGUACACAUGUUGUUUUUCCCGUGCCCGAAAAUCGGCCAGGCACCGGACGUCCGACCCCUUCCAGACAUCCGACGACCGGGCGACCGGCCCAGCCCGACGAUACCUGGCGAAACUGAUUUUUUUUCAGUUUAGUCACCACCACCACCCCACAUUUCCGCAUACACACUCCUACCACAUAUACACCAUCACCACUUCUGCAUACCACCACCAUUGCUUACCCGUUUCACACUCCGACGCGUUUUGUCAUUUCGAGCUUUGAGAAUUUGAGUUGCGGUUCCGUAUCCUUUUGUGUUCCGUCUAUCUAGGUACGGUUCGACAUCAACAUCACCGUCGCUCAUCUUCGCCACAGACGCGUCAUCAACAACGACCACCUUGACUACAUCUUGCUAUUUGUGCCAUCAUUUUGAUACCAUACCGUAAGCAAGAACGGUAACCUCGUCUUGGUAUUGGACAUAUCACUCUUGCCAUUACAUUGAUAGCAAUCAUAACCUUACUCCUUUGUGUCGCUUACCCAUCGAGACUAGCCGUUGAGUAUUGCCGGCAAUGGGACUUGUGCACAUUAGUGAUCAUACUUCCCAUAGCAUACAUACAUCAUUGUUGCAUAUCUUGGUAUGAUCUCUUGUGUCACAAGGUUGUCAUCGCAUACACAAUUGCUAUCUUGGUUCGUGAAGCAUUGCAUGAGAAAAGAGCUCAAACAACAAAGAGGCAAACAAGCUUUUAAGCAAAAGGGAAAAAUAAGAAAAGAGCUUUUAACAAAAAACCAUAGCAUCAUACAACAUUAAGAUUGUCAUAUUAGAUCAUCUUGGAUCAUAUCAUAGAAACACCUUGCAUAGAGCAUACUUGGGAUAGAAGUCGUUGCAUUUUUGCGUAGUAGGUUGUGCACAAGUCUUUGUAUCCGCCUAUUGUGCAAUCGUGCUAGCGUCUCUCUAGUGUUGUGCAACAAGAGCAUUUUUGUGGAUUCCACAUUUUGGCUCACCCUUGGUUGCACGACCCCACCUAUCUUUUUGCGUGUGUGUUUCUGUGUUCCUUAUAUUGCUUGGUCUACUUGUUGCAUUGCAAUCUUGCGAAUCUUUUCCAACAUUAUUGAAGCUCACUUACAAUUGCAUCAAAUUUUGUGCCACCAUCCUAACCAAGCUCCACCAUAAGCUUUUACUUGUGUAGGUGUGAGAAACCGACAAUAAUUGGUACCAAUUGUGCUAUUUCCUUUUCCACAUUGGAGUGAUUAUUUAUCCACUUUCAACUUCGGUCAGGGUACAUUUGGUAUUCGUUCUUCUCUUUCUACCACUCACAUUUUUCUCUUGGAAUGAUGGAUAGGCCAAGUACUUCUACCAACCCACUCUUCAUUGAGCACGCCGACUUGAACUCCUACGUCACCAAGAGCCACCACUUUGGUGCACAACAUGCUUUGCAUCAAGAUCAACAAGCAAUGAGUGAACGCAUUGACAACCUCGCCGCCGACUAACGACUCUUCAUGCAACAUACAAGGGAUUACUUCGACCACAAGCUCGAUGAUCACAAGCAAGAGAAUGACGCAAGAAUGGACGAGAUUUGCGCUUUGUUGCUGAACCGCUCUUCUUCCACUUCGUCUUCAUCAAGAAGGAGCCGCUCAAGUUGACACUCAGAUUUCACUCUUUCCGGCUCAAGUAGACCGACAUCGAACACUCUUCGAUGUGCCACGCGCAAAGAUCCUCAAGCAAGCCUCAACGCGACACAAACUCUCUAGAGCACCGACAAAGUCAAACCCAAGAGGCUUUUGCGCUAGCACGAGAACGACAACAACAACGCCAACAUGAAUAGGAAGAGCGAGCGCGUCUACACCAAGAUGCACAAGAUGCCGAGGCACAACGCCAAGAACAACAACUCCGUGAAGCUCAAGCACUUGCGGCACAACGUGUCCUUCAAGAUGCAAGUCGAGCCAUAGCCAACCGAGGCCGACAAGCUUGUGAACAUGAAGAAGCACUUCGCGAAGAAGCUCAUGAACGAAGAUUUCAAGCUCGCCUACAUAAUCAAGUUCCUCAAGUUCCUCCUCGAGCUUGACAAGCUCCUCCACAAGCUCGCCAAGAACAUAAAGUUCACCAAGAGCAUGAAGACAAUGGGAAUCCUCCAUGACAAGAGCAACAUGAGGUCGACAACCCUCUUCUCCAAGAGCAACACGAGCUUGACAAUCAUCAACAACAUGGACGUCAUCAUCCCCGACCCCAACACAAUGAAGAGCAACGCUACGGCAAGCUAAAGUUCACCAUGCCCAAGUUCAAUGGAAGCAAUGAUCCCGAAGAGUUCCUAUCAUGGGCAUUGAAGGUCGAGAAAAUCUUCCGUUUGCACAACUAUGACGAAGCGAAGAAGAUCGCGAUGGCAUCCCUUGAGUUCCAAGACUAUGUCCGCAUUUGGUGGGAACAAGUUAUCGAGCGCCGAGAGGCAAGAGGUGAACCACCCAUCACUACUUGGGCGCAAAUGAAGGAUGUCAUGAGAGCACGCUUCGUGCCUACCUACUACAACUACGACCUCUUCAAGAAACUUCAACUACUCAAGCAAGGAACCAAGAGCGUUGAAGAAUACUACAAGGAGAUGGAGAUUGCCAUGAUAAGAGCCAACAUCACGGAAGAUGAUCAGAAAAUAAUGGCACGUUUCCUGAAUGGACUCAACCAUCCUCUCAAGAAGAUCGCCGACUUCCAACCCUACUCGAAUCUUCUCGAGCUAGUGCACCAAGCUACCAAAGCAGAACAUCAAGUGCAAGACGAUUACAAGUAUGCCAAGUUCUCAUCCAAGUCAUACGGCUUCUCCAACACCCAAGCUUCAACAACUCCAACACCGUCAACCAAGCCUUAUACAAGCAACGUCGACAAGUCGAGUUCCAAGAAAGCUUCUUCAACUCCAAGUCAUACUCCUACUACAAGAAAUUUCAAGCCGAAAGCUUCAUCAUCAUCAACCCCCACCGAUGAGACCGUCAAGACAAGUUCCUUCAAAUGCUUCACAUGUGGAGGCCGAGGCCACAAGUCCUAUGAGUGCACCAACAAGCAGACCAUGAUCCUCAACGAUGACGACACUUACGACUCAAUGAGUGAAGGAGAAAUGGAUGCCCUCGAGCAAGUCGCCAUGCACCGGCAAGUGAAUGAUGAAUAAGAAUAAGUGUUUUGCGAUGAAGAUUCAAGCCCUGCUCUUGUUGUCUCCAAGGUCUUGACUCUCCAACAUGACCAAGAAGAAAACCAAUGAUGCCACAUCUUUCAUACCAAGGCCGGCAUCAAUGGACGAUCCGUCAAGGUCAUCAUCAAUGGAGGGAGUUGUCAUAACCUCGCAAGUGAAGAACUUUGCUCCAAGAUCCAAUUUCCCAAGAUGAAGCACCCACAUCCAUACAAAGUUCAAUGGCUUAGCGACUCCGUCACUAUGCAAGUCAAGCAUCAAGUACAAGUCUCCUUCAAAAUUGGUGCCUACGAAGACACCUUGGAGUGCGAUGUCGUUCCGACCGUUUGCCACCUUCUUCUUGGACGCCCAUGGCAAUUUGAUAGAGGUGUCAUCCACAACGGCCGAACGAACCAUUGCAUCUUCAAGAUGAAAGGAAAGGAGUACGUACUUCGACCUAUGUCUCCAAGCCAAGUGAUCGCCGACAAGCAAGCCACCCAUCAUGGAGAGAAUAGUGAGAGAGCGAGCCACCAUCAAGUGAGUGAGCGCCACAAGCCCAAAUCGAGUGCCUCCACGAUGAGCGACAAGAAGAAAUUAGUCCUAUUUGCCACCAAAAGUGAGACAAGAGGAGUGUGUGAGAACCCAUCUAGUGUACUCACUAUUUCCUUUUGUGCAAGGACAAUGCACCACAAGCUAACACCUCUCACGCUCUACCUUUAGUGUUAUCUUCUCUUUUGCAGGAAUUUCAAGACGUUUUCCCCGACGAGCUACCUUCGGGACUACCUCCACUACGAGGCAUCGAGCACCGCAUCGACCUCAUCCAGGGAGCACCCCUUCCGAACAAAGCUCCCUACUGCGUCAACCCCGAAGAAACCAAAGAAAUACAAAGGCAAGUAAAGCAUCUCAUAGACCAUGGACAUGUGCGUGAAAGUUUGAGCCCUUGUGCCAUCUCGGUCGUUCUUGUGCCAAAACGAGAUGGUAGCUUUCGCAUGUUCUCCGAUUGUAGACCUAUCAAUGCUAUCACCGUUCGUUAUAGGUAUCCCAUUCCACGCCUUGAUGAUAUGCUUGAUGAACUUAGUGGUGCCACCAUCUUUUCAAAAAUUGAUCUUAAGAGUGGUUACUAUAAAAUCCGCAUACAAGAGGGUGAUGAAUGGAAAACCGCUUUCAAAACCAAGUUUGGGUUGUAUGAGUGGUUAGUCAUGCCUAUGGGUUUAUCGGAAGCACCGGGUGCUUUUAUGCCCCUUAUGAAUCAUGUCUUUCACCCUUACAUUGGUGUGUUUGUUGUGGUCUACUUCGAUGAUAUCCUUGUUUAUAGCAAAUCUCUUCAAGAUCAUGUCACCCAUGUUCGAACCAUUUUGGAAACUCUUAGAAACGAACAUCUCUUUGCUAACAUGGAAAAGUGCUUCUUCGGUGUGGAUAAGCUCGUUUUCUUGGGUUUUGUUGUUUCUUCUAACGGUGUUCAUGUUGAUGACUCCAAGAUCAAUGCUAUUAAAACUUGGCCACAACCAACCAACUUGCAUGUAGUGCACAACUUUCUUGGCCUUGCAGGUUUCUAUCGUUGCUUUGUGAAAGAUUUUAGCACCAUUGCUUCGCCUUUGCAUGCUUUGAGCAAUAAGAAUGCGCCUUUGGUUUGGGGACCAUCCCAAGAUACCGCUUUCAAUGAGCUUAAGAAUUUGCUUACAAAUGCUCUCGUUCUUGCAUUACCCAACUUUGACAAACCCUUUGAGAUUCAUUGCGAUGCUAGUGGUAAUGGCAUAAGAGGUGUGUUAAUGCAAGAGAAGCGACUCAUAGCUUACUUUAGUGAGAAACUUUCCGGAGCGCAACUCAAUUACCCCAUAUAUGACAAAGAGCUCUAUGCUUUAGUGCGUGUUUUGCAUGAAUGGGAACACUAUCUUCGCCCUCAUGAAUUCAUCAUUCAUACCGAUCAUGAAACGCUCAAGUAUCUUACGGGCCAAACCAAGUUAAACAAGUGUCAUGCUAAAUGGAGUGAAUUUAUUGAGUCUUUUCCUUAUGUCAUCAAAUACAUUAAAGGUAAGGAAAAUAGUGUGGUGGAUGCCCUCUCCCGCAUAUGCAUGCUUGUUACUCAACUUUAAUUGGAUGUCAUUGGCUUUGAGCAUAUAAAAGACUUGUGUGAGAAUGAUCCUACUUUUGCUAUUCCUUAUGCCAAAUUUUUGACGCACACAUCUUGGGAACGCUAUUACAUCAAAGAUAGAUAUCUUAUGAGAGCUAACAAGCUUUGCAUCCCCGAGUCUUCUCUUCGUUUGUUGCUUUUGCAGGAAUCUCAUGGCGGAGGCUUAAUGGGACAUUUUGGACGCAACAAGACUUUUGCCACGCUCUCCAAGAACUACUAUUGGCCCAAGAUGUUUCGCGACGUCAACCGCUUCACGAACCGAUGCUCUACAUGUCGCAAAGCUAAGUCUUAAUCUCAAUCCCAUGGCCUUUACAUGCCUCUCCCAAUUCCAUAUCAACCAUGGGAAGAGAUUAGCAUGGAUUUUGUACUUGGAUUGCCUAGGACUAGAAAUGGAAAGGAUUUGGUAUUUGUCGUUGUGGACCGUUUCUCUAAGAUGGCACAUUUCAUUCCUUGCAACAAGAUAGACGAUGCUUCACAUGUUGUUAAUCUCUUUUGUAGGGAAAUAUUGCGUCUACAUGGAGUGCCAAAGACGAUCGUCUCCGACCGCGACAUCAAGUUCCUUAGCUACUUUUGGAAGACCCUAUGCGCCAAGCUCGGAAUCAAGCUACUCUUCUCCAUGGCGUAUCAUCCACAAACAGAUGGCCAAACAGAGGUGACCAACCGCACACUCUCCCCUCUACUUCGAGUACUCAUCAAGAAGAACAUCAAGGAGUGGGGGGAGUGCCUACCUAUCGCCGAGUUCGCCUACAACCAAGCAAGACACUCAACAACCAGCAAGUCUCCCUUCGAGGCCGUCUACGGAUUCAACCCAUUGUCACCAUUGGACAUCCUCCCUCUACCACUACAAGAGCGCAUUAAUUUGGACGCAAUUGCACGUGUGAAUCAUCUCAAGAAGGUGCAUGAAAAUACAAGGCAAACCAUCGAGUGCCAAGUACAAUGCCUUGCGACCAAGCUCAACUUCAACAAGCAACCUAUGGUAUUCAACAUUGGAGAUCUCGUGUGGCUACACCUUCCCAAGGACCGCUUUCCCCAAAAACGCAAGUCCAAACUUCGACCACGAAUGGAUGGACUCUUCAAGGUGCUUUCACGCAACAACGACAACUCUUACAAGAUCAACCUCCCACGUGAUAAAGAGUUCGUCGUAAGGAGGAAUGAGGAAAUAUUUCUUGGUUAUGGAGGUGACAAAGAGUUCGUCGUAAACAGCUACAUCGAUGCAAGCUUGGACACCAAUAUGGAUGACUCUCAGUCUUGAUCUAGAUACAUAUUGAAAGUGGGAGCAAUUAGCUAGAGUAGCUCCAUGCAAAGCAUUUUAGACAUAGAAAAUUUGCAAAAUACAUACGACUCUGUAUGUGGCAGACCCGUUGACUAAAUUCCUCUUACAAGCAAAUCAUGACCACUCUUUGGGUGUUAAUCACAUAGAGAUAUGAACUAGAUUAUUGACUCUAGUAAACCCUUUGGGUGUUAGUCACAUGGAGAUGUGAACUAAUCACAUAAAGAUGUGAACUAUUGGUGUUAAAUCACAUGACGAUGUGAACUAGAUUAUUGACUCUAGUGCAAGUGGGAGACUAAAGGAAAUAUGCCCUAGAGGCAAUAACAAAGUUGUUAUUUAUAUUUCCUUAUAUCAUGAUAAAUGUUUAUUAUUCAUGCUAGAAUUGUAUUAACCGGAAACUUAGUACAUGUGUGAAUAUAUAGACAAACGGAGUGUCACUAGUAUGCCUCUACUUGACUAGCUCGUUGGUGAAUGAUAUGAUUGACUUGACCCAUCCAUUAGCUUAGCACGAUGAUCGUUUAGUUUGUUUCUAUUGUUUUCUCCAUAACUUAUACAUGUUCCUAUGACUAUGGGAUCAUGCAACUCCCGAAUGCCGGAGGAACACUUUGUGUGCUACCAAAUGUCACAACGUAACUGGGUGAUUAUAAAGGUGCUCUAUAGGUGUCUCCGAUGGUGUUUGUUGAGUUGGCAUAGAUCGAGAUUAGGAUUUGUCACUCGGAUUGUCGGAGAGGCAUCUCUGGUCCCUCUCGGUAAUGCACAUCACUAUAAGCCUUGCAAGCAAUGUGACUAAUGAGUUACUUACGGGAUGUUGCAUUACGGAACGAGUAAAAAGACUUGCCGGUAACGAGAUUGAACUAGGUAUUAAGAUACCGACGACCGAAUCUCGUGCAACUAACAUACCGAUGACAAAGGGAACAACGUAUGUUCUUAUGUGGUUUGACUGAUAAAGAUCUUUGUAGAAUAUGUAGGAACCAAUAUGAGCAUCCAGGUUCCGCUAUUGGUUACUGACCGGAGAUGAGUCUCGGUCAUGUCUACAUAGUUCUCGAACCCGUAGGGUCCGCACGCUUAACGUUCGGUGAUGAUCGGUAUUAUGAGUUUACGUGUUUUGAUACACCAAAGGUUUUUCGGAGUCUCGGAUGAGAUCAGGGACAUGAUGAGGAGUCUCGAAAUGUUCGAGACAUAAAGAUCGAUAUAUUGGAAGGCUAUAUUCGGACAUCGGAAAGGUUCUGAGUGGUUCGGGUAUUUAUCGGAGUACCGGAGAGUUACGGGAAUUCGCCGGGGAGUAUAUGGGCCUUAUUGGGCUUUAGGGGAAAGAGAGAGGGGCUACCUAGGGCAGGCUGCCCGCCCCCCAAGGCCUAGUCCGAAUUGGACUAGGGGGAGGGGCGGCGCCCCCUCCUUCCUUCUCUUCUCUUUUCCCUUUCCUUCUCUCCUACUCCUACUACAUGGAGGGGGGGGGGAAUCCUACUCCCGGUGGGAGUAGGACUCCCUAGGGCGUGCCAUAGUAGAGGGCCGGCCCUCCCCCUCCUCCACUCCUUUAUAUACGGAGGAGGGGGGCACCCCAUGGACACACAAGUUGAUCAUUGAUCUCUUAGCCGUGUGCGGUGCCCCCUUCCACCAUAAUCCACCUCGGUCAUAUCGUAGCGGUGCUUAGGCGAAGCCCUGUUCCGGUAGCGUCAUCAUCACCGUCAUCACGCCGUCGUGCUGACGAAACUCUCCCUCGAAACUUUGCUGGAUCGUGAGUUCGUGGGACGUCACCGAGCCGAACGUGUGCAGAUCGCAGAGGUGCCGUACCUUUGGUGCUAGAUCGGUCGAUCAUGAAGAUGUACGACUACAUCAACCACGUUGUCAUAAUGCUUCCACUUACGGUCUACGAGGGUACGUAGAUGAUACUCUCCCCUCUCGUUGAUAUGCAUCACCAUGAUCUUGCGUGUGCAUACGAAAAUUUUAAAAUUACUACGUUCCCCAACACGCCUGCCCCCCUGGGCGCGCCCCCACCCUCGUGGGCCCCUCGUGGCUCCACCGACCUACUUCUUCCUCCUAUAUAUGUCCAUAUACCCCAAAAACAUCCAGGAGCACCACGAAACCCUAUUUCCACCGCCACAACCUUCUGUACCCAAGAGAUCCCAUCUUGGGGCCUUUUCCGGAGCUCCGCUGGAGGGGGAAUCGAUCACGGAGGGCUUCUACAUCAACACCAUAGCCUCUCCGAUGAUGUGUGAGUAGUUUAGCACAGACCUUCGGGUCCAUAGUUAUUAGCUAGAUGGCUUCUUGUCUCUCUUUGUAUCUCAAUACAAUGUUCUCCUUGAUCUUCUUGGAGAUCUAUUUGAUGUAACUCUUUUUGCGGUGUGUUUGUCGAGAUCCGAUGAAUUGUGGGUUUAUAUUCAAGUUUAUCUAUGAACAAUAUUUGAUUCUUCUCUGAAAUCUUUUAUGUAUGAUUGGUUAUCUUUGCAAGUCUCUUUGAAUUAUCAGUUUGGUUUGGCCUGCUAGAUUGAUCUUUCUUGCAAUGGAAGAAGUGCUUAGCUUUGGGUUCAAUCUUGCAAUGUCCUUUCCCAGUGACAGCAGGGGCAGCAAGGCACAUAUUGUAUUGUUGCCAUCGAGGAUAAAAAGAUGGGGUUUAUAUCAUAUUGCUUGAGUUUAUCCCUCUACAUCAUGCCAUCUUGCCUAAAGCGUUACUCUAUUCUUACGAACUUAAUACUCUAGAUGCAUGCUGGAUAGCGGUCGAUGUGUGGAGUAAUAGUAGUAGAUGCAGAAUCGUUUCGGUCUACUUGUCACGGACGUGAUGCCUAUAUACAUGAUCAUGCCUAGAUAUUCUCAUAAUUAUUCACUUUUCUAUCAAUUGCUCAACAGUAAUUUGUUCACCCAUUGUAAUACUUAUGCUAUCUUGAGAGAAGCCACUAGUGAAACCUAUGGCCCCUAGGUCUAUCUUUUAUCAUAUAAGUUUACAAUCUAUUUUAUUUCGUAAUCUUUACUUCCAAUCUAUAUCAUAAAAAUACCAAAAAUAUUUAUCUUAUUAUUAUUAUCUCUAUCAGAUCUCACUCUCGUAAGUGACUGUAACGGGAUUGACAACCCCUUUAUCUUGUUGGUUGCAAGGUUCUUAUUUGUUUGUGUAGGUACCAGGGACUUGCGUGUAGUCUCCUACUGGAUUGAUACCUUGGUUCUAAAAAACUAAGGGAAAUACUUACACUACUUUGCUGCAUCACCCUUUCCUCUUCAAGGGAAAACCAACGCAGUGCUCAAGAGGUAGCACCGCGUGAUUCGGAUUGUUAUGGCUUCACGGGCGGUUUGAGGGUCCGUGUCGAAGAUGCCCUAAUAAAUCUAGUACGAAUUUGUUUUUUAUAUCAGAGCUAGAUUAAACAACCAUUCUCCGUUCAUGGCUUCAGAUUUGGUUUAUUGUUUAUCCCCGAAAAUGACAUGGCCCGGACUGAAGGAAAUAUGCCCUAGAGGCAAUUAUAAAGUUGUUAUUUAUAUUUCCUUAUAUCAUGAUAAAUGUUUAUUAUUCAUGCUAGAAUUGUAUUAACCGGAAACUUAGUACAUGUGUGAAUACAUAGACAAACAGAGUGUCACUAGUUUGCCUCUACUUGACUAGCUCGUUGAAUGAAUGAUGGUUAUGUUUCCUGGCCAUAUACAUGAUUUGUCAUUUGAUUAACGGGAUCACAUCAUGAGAGAAUGAUGUGAUUGACUUGAACCAUCCGUUAGCUUAGCACGAUGAUCGUUUAGUUUGUUGCUAUUGAUUUCUCCAUAACUAUACAUGUUCCUAUGACUAUGAGAUCAUGCAACUCCCGAAUACCGGAGGAACACUUUGUGUGCUACCAAACAUCACAACGUAACUGGGUGAUUAUAAAGGUGCUCUACAGGUGUCUCUGAUGGUGUUUGUUCAGUAGGCAUGGAUCAAGAUUAGGAUUUGUCACUCCGAUUGUCGGAGAGGUAUCUCUGGGCCCUCUCGGUAAUGUACAUCACAAUAAGCCUUGCAAGCAAUGUAGCUAAUGAAUUAGUUACGGGAUGUAGCAUUACAAAAUGAGUAAAAAGACUUGCCGGUAAUGAGAUUGAACUAGGUAUUGAGAUACCGACGAUCGAAUCUCGGGCAAGUAACGUACCGAUGACAAAGGGAACAAUGUAUGUUGUUAUGCGGUUUGACCGAUAAAGAUAUUCAUAGAAUAUGUAGGAACCAAUAUGAGCAUCGAGGUUCCACUAUUGGUUAUUGAGAGGAGAUGAGUCUCGGUCAUGUCUACAUAGUUCUCGAACCCGUAGCGUCCACAUGCUUAACGUUCGGUGACGAUCGGUAUUAUGUGUUUAUGUGUUUUGAUGUACCGAAGGUAGUUCGGAGUCCCGAAUAUGAUCACAGACAUGAUGAGGAGUGUCGAAAUGAUCGAGACAUAAAGAUCGAUAUAUUGGACAGCUAUAUUCGGACACCAAAAGUGUUCCGGGUGAUUUCGGAGAAAACUGGUGUGCCAGAGGGGUUACCGGAACCCCCCGGGGUAUUGGGCCUUAGUGGGCCUUAGGGGAGAGAGAGGGCAGCAGCCUAGGAGGUUCCCCCCAAGGGGAUUCUGAAUAGGACUAGGGAAGGGGGCGCGGCCCCUCUUUCCCUCUCCCUCUCCCUCUCUUUCCUUCCCCCUUCCUCCUUCCUAGUAGGACUAGGAAAGGAUGAAUCCUACUCCUACUUGGAGGAGAAUUCCUCCUCUCCUUGGGCGCCACUAGGGCCGGCCGGCCUCCCCCCUUGCUCCUUUAUAUACGGGGGCAGGGGCACCCUAGAACACACAAGUUGAUUGUUCCAAGCCGUGUGCGGCGCCCCCUCCACCAUAAUCCACCUCAGUCAUACCGUAGUAGUGCUUAGGCAAAGCCCUGUUCCGGUAGCAACAUCAUCACCGUCAUCACGCCGUCGUGCUAACAAAGCUCUCCCUCGAAGCUCUACUGGAUCAUGAGUUCGCGGGACGUCACCGAGCCGAAUGUGUGCAGAUCGCAGAGGUGUCGUACCUUCGAUGCUGAGAUCGGUCGAUCGUGAAGACGUACAACUACAUCAACCGUGUUGUCAUAACGCUUCCGCUUAAGGUCUACGAGGGUACAUAGACGGUACUCUCCCCUCUCGUUGCUAUGCAUCACCAUGAUCUUGCGUGUGCGUAUGUUUUUUUUUUGAAAUUACUGCGUUCCCCAACACGGACAAGUAAAGUUAUAGAUUUUUUCCUAUAUAAUGAAGGGUGGUGUUACCGUGUUAGAGCAUGUACAGCGGUUCUCCUAUCUUCCUUAGACGUCCACGAACACGCUCGAUCAGUGACUAAACAGGAGAGAGAAGAAGAAAAAUAACCCAACCGGACCCCUUGUAUCAUCUCUAUACGUCUGAGUUGUCCCCGAACCCUCGUAUUGAGGACAAACAUAAGGAGGGUAUGACCCGCCUGGCCAGUUCACCAUAUAGGACGCAACCCAUCCGAACCACCUUUUUUAAGUAACCACAUAUAUUUAAUUUUAAUUACAGAGAGUACAUAUAAUGUCACUGUCGGUGUCAAAACCGGCGGAUCUCGGGUAGGGGGUCCCGAACUGUGCGUCUAGGCUGGAUGGUAACAGGAGGCAGGGGACACAAUGUUUUACCCAGGUUCGGGCCCUCUUGAUGGAGGUAAAACCCUACAUCCUGCUUGAUUAAUAUUGAUGAUAUUAGUAGUACAAGAGUAGAUCUACCACGAGAUCAGAGAGGCUAAACCCUAGAAGCUAGCCUAUGGUAUGAUUGUAUGUUGUGGUCAUUGUCCUACGGACUAAAACCCUUCGGCUUAUAUAGACACCGGAGAGGGUUAGGGUUACACAAGAUCGGUUACAAAGGAGGAGAUAUCCAUAUCCGUAUUGCCUAGCUUGCCUUCCACACCAAGUAGAGUCCCACCCGGACACGAGACGAAGUCUUCAAUCUUGUAUCUUCAUAGUCUAACAGUCCGGCCAAUGGAGAUAGUCCGGCUGUCCGGAGACCCCCUAAUCCAGGACUCCCUUAGUCACCACAACAGACAUACAUAGAUGUCUUGCAAUAUUGCACCAAAGAUUCCACAAGAAGUAAAACUAAAAUUUCACCCCGGCAGAAUUUUGUGCAAUGCCGAAACAUCGUCCACCAUCUUCUUCCGUUGGGAGCUAACAUCAUGCCUAGAUCUAUAGGAGCACCUUUGCAUACAAGGAUACUUCUCGAGCCGGUGAGUUGGACCGCUGCAAGCGACAAGAUCGAGACUUUGUGGCACGUCGGCUGGGGUUCUUGUGCCCGCUAGAUCCUAGCGUUGUCAACUUCAUACGACCCUAUCAAAGAAGAGAAAUGAUGAUGUUCAUCGCCAUCCACGCACCCCACUGCAAGACUGUUGGAAAUAUGCCCUAGAGGAAAUAAUAAAAUGGUUAUUAUUAUAUUUCCUUGUUCAUGAUAAUUGUCUAUUGUUCAUGCUAUAAUUGUGUUAUCCGGAAAUCAUAAUACAUGUGUGAAUACAUAGACCACAACAUGUCCCUAGUGAGCCUCUAGUUGACUAGCUCAUUGAUCAAUAGAUGGUUAUGGUUUCCUGACCAUGGACAUUGGAUGUCAUUGAUAACGGGAUCACAUCAUUAGGAGAAUGAUGUGAUGGACAAGACCCAAUCCUAAGCCUAGCACAAGAUCGUGUAGUUCGUAUGCUAAAGCUUUUCUAAUGUCAAGUAUCUUUUCCUUAGACCAUGAGAUUGUGCAACUCCCGGAUACCGUAGGAGUACUUUGGGUGUGCCAAACGUCACAAUGUAACUGGGUGGCUAUAAAGGUACACUUCGGGUAUCCCCGAAAGUAUCUGUUGGGUUGGCACGAAUCGAGACUGGGAUUUGUCACUCCAUAUGACGGAGAGGUAUCUCUGGGCCCACUCGGUAGGACAUCAUCAUAAUGAGCUCAGUGUGAUCAAGGAGUUGAUCAUGGGAUGAUGUGUUAUGGAACGAGUAAAGAGAUUUGCCGUAACGAGAUUGAACAAGGCAUCAGUAUACCGAUGAUCGAAUCUCGGGCAAGUGUUAUACCGGUACACAAAGGGAAUCAUAUACGGGAUUGAUUGAAUCCUUGACAUCGUGGUUCAUCCGAUGAGAUCAUCGUGGAGCAUGUGGGAGCCAACAUGGGUAUCUAGAUCCCGCUGCUGGCUAUUGGCCGGAGAGAUGUCUCAAUCAUGUCUGCAUGCCUCCCGAACCCGUAGGGUCUGCACACUUAAGUUUCGAUGACGCUAGGGUUAUAGGGAAUAGAUGUACGUGGUUACCAAAUGUUGUUCGGAGUCCCGGAUGAGAUCCUGGACGUCACGAGGAGUUCCGGAAUGGUCCGGAGGUAAAGGUAUAUGGGAAUUCUAGUUUCAAUCACCGGAAAGGUUUCGGGGUUUGUUGGUAUUGUACCGGGACCACCGAAGGGGUUCCGGGGGUCCACCGGGAGGGUCCACCUGCCCCGAAGGACCUAAUGGGUUGUAGUUGGGUGGGAACCAGCCCCUUAGUGGGCUGGUGUGCCCCCCAAGGGCCCAAGGCGCCUAGGGUUGGAAACCCUAGGGGGCCGCUGCCCCCCGGGGGGCGGGCGCCCCCCUAGUUGGAAACCCUAAGGGGGCCGCUCCCCCCCCUCGAGGGCUGCCGCCCCCCUCUAGAUGGAUCUAGGGGGGCCGGCCCCUCUCCCCUUCCCCCUAUAAAUAGUGGGGGGUGGGAGGGCAACCGCACCCCUUCUCCUGGCACAGCCCUACCCCUCUCCCUCCUCGUCUCUCGUAUUGCUUGGCGAAGCCCUGCUGGAGUGCCACGCUCCUCCACCACCACCACGUCGUCGUGCUACUGCUGGACGGAGUCUUCCCCAACCUCUCCCUCUCUCCUUGCUGGAUCAAGGCGCGGGAGACGUUGUCGGGCUGCACGUGUGUUGAACGCGGAGGCACCAUUGUUCGGUGCUUAGAUCGGAAUCGAUCGCGAUCUGAAUCGCGUCGUGUAUGACUCCACCGACCGCAUUCUUGCAACGCUUCCGCAUCACGUUCUUCAAAGGUAUGAAGAUGCACUCCCCUCUCGUUGCUAGUAAACUCGAUAGAUUGAUCAUGGUGAUGCGUAUAAUUUUUCUAGUUUUUGCAACGAUCCCCAACAGUGGCAUCAUGAGCUAGGUCUAUGUGUAGUUUCUAUGUGUAGUUGCCACGUGAUGAUCAGGUGUGAUAGGUUCUAACGUUCGCAUACAACGGGGGUAAGGCAUAUUUACACACGCAAUACACUUAGGUUGACUUGACAAGCCUAGCAUGUACAGACAUGGCCUCGGAACACGGAAGACCGAAAGGUCGAACAUGAGUCAUAUAGAAGAUACGAUCAACAUGAAGAUGUUCACCGAUGAUGACUAGUCCGUCUCACGUGAUGAUCGGACACGGCCUAAUUGACUCGGAUCAUGUAUCACUUAGAUGAGUAGAGGGAUGUCUAUCUGAGUGGGAGUUCAUUAAAUAUUUUGAUUAGAUGAACUUAAUUAUCAUGAACAUAGUCUAAAACUUUGCAAUAUGUCUUGUAGAUCCAAUGGCCCAUGCUAAUGUUGCCCUCAACUUCAACGCGUUCCUAGAGAAAACCAAGCUAAAAGACAAUGGGAGCAACUACACGGACUAGGUCUGUAACCUGAGGAUUAUCCUCAUAGCUGCCAAGAGAGCAUAUGUCCUUGAAGCACCGCUAGGUGAUGCACCUGUUUUCCCAGCAACUCAAGACGUUGUGAACGCCUGGCAGUCGCGUAGUGAUGAUUACUCCUUGGUUCAGUGCGGCAUGCUUUACAGCUUAGAACCGGGGCUCCAAAAGCAUUUUGAGCAGCACGGAGCAUAUGAGAUGUUCCAAGAGCUGAAAAUGGUUUUCCGAGCUCAUGCCCGGGUCGAGAGAUAUGAAGUCUCCGACAAGUUCUAUAGUUGUAAGAUGGAGGAGAAUAGUUCUGUCAGCAAGCACAUACUCAAAAUGUCUGGGUUGCACAACCGCUUAUCUCAGCUGGGAGUUAAUCUCCUGGAUGAUGCGGUCGUUGACAAAAUCCUUCAGUCGCUCCCACCUAGCUACAAGAGCUUUGUGAUGAAAUUCAAUAUGCAGGGGAUGGAAAAGUCCAUUCCUGAGGUAUAUUCAAUGCUGAAAUCAGCGGAGGUGGAGAUCAAAAAGGAACAUCAAGUGUUGAUGGUGAAUAAAACCACUAAGUUCAAGAAAGGCAAGGGUAAGAAGAACUUCAAGAAGGAUGGCAAGGGAGUUGCCGCACUCGGUAAGCCAGUUGCUGGGAAGAAGCCAAAGCAUGGACCCAAGCCUGAGACUGAGUGCUUUUAUUGCAAGGGAAACAGUCACUGGAAGCGGAACUACCCCAAGUACUUAGCGGAUAAGAAGGACGGCAACACCAAAGGUAUAUGUGAUAUACAUGUUAUUGAUGUGUACCUAACCAGCGCUCGUAGUAGCUCCUGGGUAUUUGAUACUGGUGCAGUUGCUCAUAUUUGUAACUCAAAACUGGAGCUGCGGAAUAAGCGGAGACUGGCGAAGGACGAGGUGACAAUGCGCGUCGAGAAUGGUUCCAAGGUCGAUGUGAUCGCCGUUGGCACGCUACCUCUACAUUUACCUACGGGGUUAGUUUUAAACCUCGAUAAUUGUUAUUUAGUACCAUCUUUAAGCAUGCACAUCGUAUUUUGAUCUUGUUUAAUGCGAGAUGGCUAAUCAUUUAAAUCUGAGAAUAAUGGUUGUUCUAUUUAUAUGAGAGAUAUGUUUUAUGGUCAUGCCCGCUGGUAAAUGGUUUAUUCUUAUUGAAUCUCGAACGUGAUGUUACACAUAUUCAUAGUGUGAAUGCCAAAAGAUGUAAGGUUGAUAAUGAUAGUCCCAUAUACUUGUGGCACUGCCGCCUUGGUCACAUUGGUGUCAAACGCAUGAAGAAGUCCAUGUAGAUGGACUUUUGGAGUCUCUUGAUUAUGAAUCAUUUGACACGUAUGAACCAUGCCUCAUGGGCAAAAUGACCAAGACUCCGUUCUCUGGAACAAUGGAGCGAGCAACCAACUUACUGGAAAUCAUACAUGCCGAUGUGUGCGGUCCAAUGAGCGUUGAGGCUCGCGGUGGUUAUCGUUAUGUUCUCACUCUAACUGAUGACUUAAGUAGACAUGGGUAUGUCUACUUAAUGAAACACAAGUCUGAGACCUUUGAAAAGUUCAAGGAAUUUCAGAGUGAGGUUGAGAAUCAACGUGACAGGAAAAUCAACUUCUUACGAUCAGAUCGUGGGGGAGAAUAUUUGAGUCACGAAUUUGGCACGCACUUAAGGAAAUGUGGAAUUAUUUCACAACUCACGCCGCCUGGAACACCUCAGCAUAAUGGUGUGUCCAAACGUUGAAAUCGCACUCUAUUGGAUAUGGUGUGAUCCAUGAUGUCUCUUACCGACCUACCGCUAUCAUUUUGGGGUUAUGCUUUAGAGACUGCCGCAUUCACUUUAAAUAGGGCUCCGUCGAAAUCUGUUGAGAUGACACCGUAUGAAUUAUGGUUUGGGAAGAAACCUAAGCUGUCGUUUAUGAAAGUUUGGGGAUGCGAUGCUUAUGUCAAGAAACUUCAACCUGAAAAGCUCGAACCCAAAUCGGAAAAAAUGCGUCUUCAUAGGAUACCCUAAGGAAACUAUUGGGUAUACCUUCUACCUCAGAUCCGAAGGCAAGAUCUUUGUUGCCAAGAAUGGAUCCUUUCUAGAGAAAGAGUUUCUCUCGAAAGAAGUAAGUGGGAGGAAAGUAGAACUUGAUGAAGUAUUGACUCUUGAACCAGAGAGUAGGGCAGCUCAAGAAAAUGUUUCUGUGGUGCCUGCACCGACUAGAGAGGAAGUUAAUGAUGAUGAUCAUGAAACUUCAGAUCAAGUUGCUACUGAACUUCGUAGGUCCACAAGGACACGUUCCGCACCAGAGUGGUACGGCAACCCUGUUCUGUAAAUCAUGUUGUUAGACAAUGGUGAACGUUCGAACUAUGAAGAAGCGAUGGCGGGCCCGGAUUUCGACAAAUGGCUUGAAGCCAUAAAAUCCGAGAUAGGAUCCAUGUAUGAAAACGAAUUACGGACUUUGACUGACUUGCCCGAUGAUCGGCGAGCCAUAGAAAAUAAAUGGAUCUUUAAGAAGAAGACGGACGCGGAUGGUAAUGUAACCAUCUAUAAGGCUCGGCUUGUCGCUAAGGGUUAUCGACAAGUUCAAGGGGUUGACUACGAUGAUACCUUCUCACCCGUAGCGAAGCUGAAGUCUAUCUGAAUCAUGUUAGCAAUUGUCGCAUUCUAUGAUUAUGAGAUAUGGCAAAUGGACGUCAAAACGACAUUCUUUAAUGGUUUCCUUAAGGAAGAAUUGUAUAUGAUGCAGCUGGAAGGUUUUGUCGAUCCUAAGAAUGCUGACUAGGUAUGCAAGCUCCAACGCUCGAUCUAUGGGCUGGUGCAAGCAUCUCGGAUUUGGAACAUUCAUUUUGAUGAGAUGAUCAAAGCGUUUGGGUUUACGCAGAUUUAUGGAGAAGCCUGUGUUUACAAGAAAGUGAGUGGGAGCUCUGUAGCAUUUCUCAUAUUAUAUGUGGAUGACAUACUAUUGAUGGGAAAUGAUAUAGAACUCUUGGAAAGCAUAAAGGCCUACUUGAAUAAGUGUUUUUCAAGGAAGGACCUUGGAGAAGCUGCUUACAUAUUAGGCAUCAAGAUUUAUAGAGAUAGAUCGAGACGCCUCAUUGGUCUUUCACAAAGCACGUACCUUGACAAGAUAUUGAAGAAGUUCAAUAUGGAUCAGUCGAAGAAGGGGUUCUUGCCUGUAUUGCAAGGUGUGGGAUUGAGCACGGCUCAAUGCCCGACCACGGCAGAAGAUAGAGAAAAGAUGAGUGUCAUCCUUUAUGCCUCGGCCAUAGGGUCUAUUAUGUAUGCCAUGCUGUGUACCAGACCUGAUGUAAACAUUGCCGUAAGUUUGGUAGGAAGGUACCAAAGUAACCCCGGCAUGGAACACUAGACAACGGUCAAGAAUAUCCUGAAGUACCUAAAAAGGACUAAGGAUAUGUUUCUCGUUUAUGGAGGUGACGAAGAGCUCGUCGUAAAGGGUUACGUCGAUGCUAGUUUCGACACAGAUCUGGAUGACUCCAAGUCACAAACCGGAUACAUGUAUAUUUUGAAUGGUGGGGCAGUCAGCUGGUGCAGUUGCAAGCAAAGCGUCGUGGCGGGAUCUACAUGUGGAGCGGAGUACAUGGCAGCCUCGGAGGUACCACAUGAAGCAAUCUGGAUGAAGGAGUUCACUACCAACCUAGGAGUUAUUCCCAAUGCAUCGGGCCCGAUGACUCUCUUCUGUGACAACACUGGAGCUAUUGCCCUUGCCAAGGAGCCCAGGUUUCACAAGAAGACCAGGCAUAUCAAGCGUCGCUUCAACUCCAUUCGUGAAAAUGUUCAAGAUGGAGACAUAGAGAUUUGUAAAGUGCAUAAGGACCUGAAUGUCGCAGAUCCGUUGACUAAACCUCUUCCACGUGCAAAACAUGAUCAACACCAGAACUCUAUGGGUGUUCGAUUCAUCACAAUGUAACUAGGUUAUUAACUCUAGUGCAAGUGGGAGACUGUUGGAAAUAUGCCCUAGAGGCAAUAAUAAAAUGGUUAUUAUUAUAUUUCCUUGUUCAUGAUAUUUGUCUAUUGUUCAUGCUAUAAUUGUGUUACCCGGAAAUCGUAAUACAUGUGUGAAUACAUAGACCACAACAUGUCCCUAGUGAGCCUCUAGUUGACUAGCUCGUUGAUCAAUAGAUGGUUAUGGUUUCCUAACCAUGGACAUUGGAUGUCAUUGAUAACGGGAUCAUAUCAUUAGGAGAAUGAUGUGAUGGACAAGCCCCAAUCCUAAGCCUAGCACAAGAUCGUGUAGUUCGUAUGCUAAAGCUUUUCUAAUGUCAAGUAUCUUUUCCUUAGACCAUGAGAUUGCGCAACUCCCGGAUACUGUAGGAGUACUUUGGAUGUGCCAAGCGUCACAACGUAACUAGGUGGCUAUAAAGGUACACUUCGGGUAUCCCCGAAAGUAUCUGUUGGGUUGGCACGAAUCGAGACUGGGAUUUGUCACUCCGUAUGAUGUAGAGGUAUCUCUGGGUCCACUCGGUAGGACAUCAUCAUAAUGAGCUCAGUGUGAUCAAGGAGUUGAUCAAGGGAUGAUGUGUUACGGAACGAGUAAAGAGAUUUGCCGUAACGAGAUUGAACAAGGUAUCGGUAUACCGACGAUCGAAUCUCGGGCAAGUGUUACACCGGUAGACAAAGGGAAUCGUAUACGGGAUUGAUUGAAUCCUUGACACCGUGGUUCAUCCGAUGAGAUCAUCGUGGAGCAUGUGGGAGCCAACAUGGGUAUCCAGAUCUCGCUGUUGGCUAUUGGCCGGAGAGAUGUCUCAGUCAUGUCUGCAUGACUCCCGAACCCGUAGGGUCUGCACACUUAAGGUUAGAUGACGCUAGGGUUAUAGGGAAUAGAUGUACGUGGUUAUCGAAUGUUGUUCAGAGUCUCGGAUGAGAUCCCGAACGUCAUGAGGAGUUCCAGAAUGGUUCAGAGGUAAAGAUUUAUAUAUGGGAAGUCCAGUUUCAGUCACCGAAAAGGUUUCGGGGUUUAUCGUUAUUGUACUCGGACCACCGAAGGGGUUCCGGGGGUGCACCGGGAGGGUCCACCUUCCCCAAAGGACCUAAUGGGUUGUAGUUGGGUGGGAACCAGCCCCUUAGUGGGCUGGUGCGCCCCCCCAAGGGCCCAAGGCGCCUAGGGUUGGAAACCCUAGGGGACCGCUGCCCCCCUGGGGCAGGCGCCCCCCUAGUUGGAAACCCUAAGGGGGCCGCUGCCCCCCCCCCUCGAGGGGCCGCCCCCCUCUAGAUGGAUCGAGGGGGCCGGCCCCUCUCCCCUUCCCCCUAUAAAUAGUGGGGGGGUGGGAGGGUAACCGCACCCCUUCUCCUGGCGUAGCCCUACCCCUCUCCCUCCUCGUCUCUCGCAGUGCUUGGCGAAGCCCUGCUGGAGUGCCACGCUCCUCCACCACCACCACGCCGUCGUACUGCUGCUGGACGGAGUCUUCCCCAACCUCUCCCUCUCUCCUUGCUGGAUCAAGGCGCGGAAGACAUCACCGGGCUGCACGUGUGUUGAACGCGGAGGCACCAUUGUUCGGUGCUUAGAUUGGAAUCGGCCGCGAUCUGAAUCGCUUCGUGUACGACUCCACCGACCGCGUUCUUGCAAUGCUUCCGCAUCGCGAUCUUCAAAGGUAUGAAGAUGCACCCCCCUGUCGUUGCUAGUAAACUCCAUAGAUUGAUCUUGGUGAUGCGUAGAAAAUUUUAAUUUCUGCAACGAUCCCCAACAAAGACACCAAACACAAACCACAACAGUCGACGCCAAUGCCACAACCAAGAGUGUCGUGCGCCCGCCAUCGGACACAAAUCUCAAUGGAACUGAAGAUCGAACCACCUGCUCCUCGGCGCCGCCCAUUAGAAUGCCACUAAGACGGAGGAAGAGCAGAAAUAGAUUAUUCCAACAUGGCGCUAUCUCCACCGUUGAUGUAGCACCUCUGACAUCCCUACCGAAGAUAAACUGUUGGGGUCACCGUCUGCUCCCGCCGCUGGAGCGGCAGGCGAAGGGGAUGAGGACCCACCGUGUCGCUUGUCUCAAGAGAAGGCAGAAGAGUGCCUACCGAUCGCCUCUCUGGAGCGGUUCUAGGAGAGCGAACAAAGCGGUUCGUUGAUUGACUAGAUACCCUUGGAUCAUUUUUUUCAUCACCACCAACCACAUGCAAAUGACAGGAUAUAUAAGGAAGGAAAUAAAAAUGUGGCUACAUGGACAAAUAGGGGGCAAAGCAAACACGUCGGGUCACUGAUUGGACUCGCCCGCAAACGUUUAUGAGAUCAGAUUUAAUAAGUCAGCCUUUUAGAACUUGUGCUACAGCCGACUAUAAGUCUAUAACCCGUUUCUCUUCUCUCUCUUCCAACUCAUCAAUAAUAUAAUAUUUAAAUUGUUACAGUAAGCUACGUGACCUAACCAGACAUCAUGUGCUAGGCUAGCUUUUUAUUUAUAUAUUUUUUGUGAGGAAUACUUUCAAUCUAUUCAUAAAUAUCCAUGGGAGUAUAAAGAACACUAAGAAAAAUUAUAUCCAGGUCUGUAGAACACCUAGCGACCACUACAUGCACUGAAGCGAGCUGAAGUCGCAUCGCCGUCAUCGCCCCUUCCUUACCAGGCAAACCUUGUUGUAGUAGACAAUUGGGAAGUCGACAUGCUAAGGCUCAGUAUGACCAGCACAUUAGAACAGCAACCAUCACCGAUGAAGAGAUGGGUAGAUCGGAAAUAUCCAAUCUGUAGAGCCACAAACGUUGAGCAACGAAGAUGAGAUCCAAAUAGAUCCAUCAAAGACAAAAGCCGACCAAAUCCUGCAAGAUUUGCCAGAGACAUACCUCGACACGCCCUCCAACGACUAGCUUAUAUUUAUUUAAAAUGCAACACUAAAAAAUGCAUUGUUCCUUGUUUGGCUUUCUUUUUUCCUUGUUUCCUCCUUCUUUCUUAAAAGCACAAUUUGGAUGAAUUCAUUAUUUUUUUCAAAAAUGAUGAAUUGUUAUUAAAUUCUUGAUUUUUUCUUCGAAAUUGGUGAACUUUUUUUCCAAAAUUGUUGAUUUAAGAAAUAUAUUCAUGAACUAUUUCUCAAAUCGUUGAACUUUUUUGAAAUUUGAUGAAAUUUUGUAGAAAUCAAUGCUUUUUUUCAAAAUUGAUGAAAUUUUUUAUCAAAUUCGUGAACUUUUUUAAGGUUCGUGAACUUCUCUUUCAAAAUUCGUGAACAUUUUUGAAUUCUUGAUUUUUUUCUGAAUUUUUUAUAUAUAUUUUUCACCUUUUUCUUCCAAAGUCAACAGUUGACCGGUCAACCGAGAUCGAACGAACAAGGCGAGAGGUUGAGCCAACUGAGCGACCUAGGCCGGCCCAGUUUGCGGACGUGUGAGCAGCGGUUAGGAGUUUGGGCACCUAAAGCACCCAAUAGGAGCUUCUGGAAUAACAUGCUUCCGUAGCAUGAGCAGUGGCCACCAUGGCAAGCAAGAAUCCACAGGCUGGUUUGCAUUCAGUUGCAUCUUGCAUUGGCUCAGGACAUAUAGGUUGGGGAGCACUCCAUCUCGUCACUGAGGCCCACAUAGAAUCUUGAGAUCCUGGUGCAAUGCAAAAGGUUUAGUUCCACUCCCACACCGCCGAGGCAAAUUUGACAAUUUUGACCUUGGGACGAAAUCAAUUCACGGAAUGAACUGCCCAUGAAACUAUUUCACAGCACUGACCCUUUUGUGUAGCGCCCGCCAUGCAGGCGCCACACCCUACGAUGCAACGCCCAGCUCUGGGGCGUUACACGCCCGUCCACCGUGGCAGCCCUUGGGCCCGCACCCAGUAGUGCAGCGCCUCCGAGCUAGGCGCCACACAUGUAAUUGAACUCCAUGGUACUCCGGCCAUAGUUGAACUCCAUGGUACUCCGGCCAUUGUGUUUGGUCAAAGUAUGGGUGAAAGCGGGGAGCCUGUGUUUUCUUGACCGUCAUGAUUGAGAACUCCAACUCCCUCACGGUGCGUGGGUGAUUGAUGUCCACAUUUCUAACGCGACCGGCGGUAUACAAAUGUGAGCAUGGGAGAUGAAGCAACAAUGGCCUCCCGCAAGAGCAAUCACAUUGUGUUAAAGACACCUUGAAAGCCCGACCUCCAUGUUGUCGGCCAUCGUUUGUGGUUCCUCCUGGCUCUUUCACUUCAUACUUCCACUCUUCGUUGUCAUAUAAUAUAGCUUCUUCUGAGUCCUCCUUUCGUGAUUGAAAUUCUAACCAUUCAUCAACCUUGGGUGGGAACUUGUACUUGCGCGGGUUCUCACCCGCUAUCUAUGCAUCAGUUUCCAUCGAGUACUUUAGAAAGUACGCAUUCAUCUUGUCAAAUGUGUAUUGAACUAUUGCCGUCACGGGUAAUCCACGUGCACCUUUGAGCACCCUAUUGAAGCAUUCAGCCAUAUUGCUUGUCAUUUGACCGUAUCUCCGGCCAUCUUCAUCAAAAGCACGUGCCCACUUGUUCCGGUGUUGAAUGUGCCUAUUCAUAAAGUCUUGACCCCCGUGAUCAAGUUUUUUGUGUGCGAGCAAUUUGUUCAAAAAAGUGGCGAGCCGCUUCUCGGAGAAAGCAAGACAACAAUCUUGAAGAUCAUCGGCCAACUCCUUAAGGCCACAUGCCCUAUAGAAGUUCGAACAAAAGUGCCUCAUGCACCAUCGAUGGUGCAACGGAGCAUGCCCGGGAAUGUCAAUCUCCACCGCGUUAAGAAUUCCUGCAUGCCGAUCCGAUAUGACACAAAUUUCCCUUUGAGCGGGUAACACCUUCGUCCUCAAAAGACGCAAAAACCACUCCCAGUUGUCAUUGUUCUCCGCCUCAACCAAAGCAAAUGCCAAUGGCAACACCCGGUUAUUGGCAUCACUUGCUAUCGCAACCAACAAGGUCCCCUUGUAUUGUCCGGUCAAGAACGUGCCAUCAAUGGCGAUGACCGGCCUACAGUGUUCGAAAGCCCUCACGCAUUGCUCGAACGCCCAAAAUGCAUGGCCAAAUACUCGGACUUUCUUUCCUUCAUAAACCUUUGUUUGGUGCCCAUGAGGCUCGACAACAUGAACCAUGCCCGGGUUUGUGGCGGCCAUGGCUAACAACAACCUAGGGAUUCGGUUGUAUGCUUCCUCCCAAGUACCAUACAACAUAUUAAACGCGGCUUGCUUCGCCUUCCAUGCCUUGCCGUACUUUACCUUGUAAUGAAAGAUGGCUUUCACAAGGUCAAUGACAUGUUGGACGCUCAUUGUUGGAAGUGUGGAUAUUGAGUUGGAGAGCCUGUAAGCGAUGAACUUGGAUGUGAGUUGUCUGUGGUCUUGGGACACAAUCUUGCCAUCCACCCUUUUGCCUCGGCACAUGUGAGUCGGCACACAACUCACUACGUGUCAAGCGGGACCUCCUUUCCAUGGUCUUGCACGCACAAUCCACGGACAUAUUUCAUC
rnacentral:lncRNA from 1 species